UCGUCUCAAAAGUCCAGAAAGCCAUACUCCAAUUGAACAAAAUCAUGACAUAACAAGGUCAAACUAAGAAGAAUUCAAACAUGUAUUCUUAAUCUUUCUUGAAAGGAUUACAUAAAUGGCAUAUGAACUACAAGGUUACAUUUCCAAGAAAUAAUCUUAUUGAAAGUAUUUCAAAUAAUUUUUUUCCAUUCGCUUGUUAAAAAUAUAGAGCACAACACGACAUAGGUUAUCCUACUUCUAGGUUCCGGGACAACGAGGCAUGCCAGAGGCAGGGGGCGGAAGGAUGCUUGUUGCAACGGCGGUUCCAUUCUUCACAAUGAAAACAGUGUCCAUACCCCAGCUACUAUGCCUUUCGAAAUGACAGUGCAUAAACCAUACCCCUGCAAAAAUAUAUACGUCAUUCGUAUCAAUAACUCACUCUCUGACUUGCAAAAGGAGGAGGAAGAGUUCUCUUUCCUUCAUUUAAUUCAGAACUUACCGGGAUUAGUUGCAAAAAAUCUGACGGCAACCCAUCCUCUAGCAUGAACAUGGACAGUGUUAAUUAGUGGUGGAUCAACCAAGUUGUAAGAGCUAGGAUCGGUGACAUUAUUGAAAUUUCCCGAGCCAGUCCCGACCCAAUAGAAACUGAAACCGUGCAAAUGCAUUGGAUGACUUCCGCCAGCACCUAAUUGGGUUGUUUGGAGAACAAUCUCAACUGCUUCACCGUAAUUUAGCACAACGGCCUUUGUCCCUAGAUCAGCAUUCCGAUUCAAACCAGUCAAGUCGUCUCCAGUGAAGUUAUAGAACACGGGUGGCUGAAGGGGAAAGUCUUCCGUGAAAACACCACUGAUACUCCUGUCAUAAGAAAAAUGAUAAUUAUUAGCUUUAGUAAUGAAAUAGAAAAGAUAGGAAGGCCACAAUGGCAAUAGCUCCAAACAACAAAUUGUAAUAAUUAAAUGUAAUAUAAAUGCUAUCCAUAUACCUGUUGUAGUAUGCUUGGAGAACGUCAAUUUGUGGAAAAUCAAAACUAACAUUGUUCAAACUUGCAGCUAAUCGAGUCGGUUGAAUAGGACAAUUAUCGCAAGGUAAUGUAUUUGUGGCAAUUGCAACGUAGACACGCCUAUCGAUAUCCAUAGGUACUUUCAUUGGCGGAUUUUGGGUGACGUUUGAAUUUUUAAUUCGUCUGGUGAAGUUAGCUGCAGCAUCUAAAUCAGUCAUUGCGGGCAGCGUUACUAAGGAAGCAUUCAAUCCACCAACACUGUUUGUAUAUUGCAGAACACCCCUCGUGAUAUUAUUGCGAGGUGGAGCAGCGCUAUCAGAGAAAGGCCUUGUAGCCAUGUAAUACUGGCCCAUGUUUUGGUUUGCACAGACCAAAACAUCCAUGGUUUGCCCCGGGCUUAUCAUUAUAUAAUCGUUUGUAAAAAUUUGAACGUAGGAAGCAUCUUGUGCAACGACUGUGAGGCUGUGGUUUGCGAUGGCAAAGAAUUUCUGUUCAUUCAUUGCAGCAUUGAUUAUGCGGAGAAGGUAUGUCUUCUGGUAAUCAACUUGCAUACGGAAUAAAGUUUCUGCAGCAGGUCAUGUGAAUUGUGACUACGAGAAGGUCAAUUUAGAAACAAAAAUAACAGCAAGAAAGUUCAAAUUAAGGAGUAACUUUUCCUGAUUUAAGCGCUAGAAGAACUUCUAUUAAUGAUUCGCAUACGUACCAUUGGCACAUGCGUAUGUGUCUCCUAAAUGCCCAUUGAUAGCGUAAGCAUCUGCUGGCGCUACAGCCAUACCGUUUGAAGUUGCUUCAUCAAUAAGUUCCUUGUAGUCUCUAUUAUACCAUGAUUCUGUCAAUAUAGUAAAGAAACAAGAUUAACAUUUUCAUAUAGUUUAAAUAAGACAAAUGAUGGGGAAUGUUCCUAUUCGUAUCAUUUCAUGACCAUCCAUUUAGUCAAUUAUGAAAAAAAUAAUUUUGAAAAGAUGUAAAUCCGUACGAAGAAUGAUUGUUUGAUCUGCAUCAGGCGUAGGAAAUGGAUAAGUUUCAUUCUCAGCAGGUAAAAUGACAAAGGCACCAUGGACGGAGCCACGAGUCCAAUCACUGUGGGCAUGCCACCACAAGGUUCCUAUUUCAUCAGACAGUAUAACUUCAUAAGUGAAGUUUGUUCCUGGUUGAAUCGGGCACUGCGUUACGAAUUCGGGGCCAUCUGACCAUGGAUUUCUUGGUUGUUUCACACCGUGCCUAUCAAAGUAAUUUUCAAUGAAUCAAUAUUUAAUGAAAGCAAGAAGUAAGAGAGAGAGAGAGAGAGAGAGCGAUUGGUAAUUACCAAUGAAUGGUAAGGCCAUAGUUCCCUUGAUUGUGGACAUUAACAUACACAGUGUCCUGUCUGUGAACCCGAAUCUCCGGCCCAGGAUAACUGCCAUUUACGACUAACAUCGACUUGGUGGUGUUACACAGGCUUGUAAAGUUCUUCUCUCGUACCUGCAACCAAAGAGGCAAGCUACAUUAAAUCUCAAUCUUUCAGUCACUGCUAAUCUUCCCUCUCAGGAGGUUUGCCAUGAUUCUUGAAGUCAUAUACUACUAUUAUUAGAAAAACCUGAUGCAUAAUCAGUUAGAGUAAACUAGCACUUACAAAGAAAUCAUAGUAGUGGACGUCUGCCCUGCAAAGGAGCAGGUUGCUAAGAAACAAAACCCCUAGCAACCAUAAGACUAAAUCUUGCUUCAACAAACCCAUUACUGUUCUCUCGAAGAUAAGAAAGUCACUUUUCUGUUUUCUCUCUAAUUAUGUGUUCGUCGGGUCACCUCUUUUUUUCUUCUGUGAUCUUUGGGCUUAUAAAUUUUGACAAUUUAUAGGAGAAAACGUGUGCUCCUAAGUUUCUUCUUCCAAGUCUUAAGUUGUUGACUGGGUAAAAGAAAAUUUCAAAGUAAAUACGUAUCGUCAAACAUGGCAUUCAGUCAACAAAUAUCAAUCACAUGUCUCCAGGCACCAGGCAUCCAUCGGAUUAUACAUAAAACCAUGCAAAAGCUAGUCUGCCCAUGUUAAUAUAUUUUUCUGAAGUUUUCUUUAUCUUAAUUGUGCUUGUGGAAAAACGCUUGUCUUAAGGUUAAUAAAUAGGUUUUGGUGUCUCAAGUCAGGUUGUUCGUUGAGGUUCUGUUUUUUUUUUUUUUUUGGAUCAAGCGUUUGUUUAAAAUUUGUUAAGUCAACAAAAUAAGUUGGGCACAGUUCAACAAAGGUCAAUAAUUUUUGAAUACAUGAUUUUUUUUCUUAUAUGUUUACUGAAAAUAUUAGAUUUUGUCAAUAGUAAAAUUUGAACUUAUAUUAUUUAAUUUGAUUUUUCUUUUAUAUAAAAACCGGCUUAGCAUAUUUGGUCUUGACAAUAAUAUGAUUAAGUGGGCUAGAUUUCAAUAUUACAUGUAAACUUAAAAAUAUAGGCCUCAAUACAAAAAUUUUAAAUCUUGUAAUAAAUAGAAUGAAAUAUUCACUAUAUAAAGGAAAUGUUAUAAUAUCUCAUUUCCUUUCCACAAUGACAUUAAAGUCUCACGAGCGUUACCUAAAAAAAAGAUGAAGAAGAUUCUAAUACAUUGAAUCCCAACAAUGAUGUGAUUAGUAUUGUUUAUGUUAACGAAUCAUGUAUCAAAAGUCGAGUAUAUUUUUAUAUUCUAAAUUCUUGUUAUAAUAAAUCUUGAAUUAGUAUGAAUUUAUUUUAUAUAAAAUCUAAAAAAAAUUCUCAAAAAAGAAAAGUUAUAAUUGAUAUCUUUUACCCAUUCAAUCAAUUUUGAAUUCAAUGUUACCAACUAAUUAACUAAAGCUUGUAUUAUCUGCAUGGGAACCAAAUUAAGGUUGGUUUGUUAGGACAGAAGCUUCCUGAAGCAACUGAAAAACAAGCAUCAGAAACAGUAUUCAAGGAAAAGUAAAGGCGGAAAUUUUAUCAUUGUCCCUUUGAAUGUCACUACUUUAAUCAGCCUGCCAUGCACGACUGUUUUUGUCAACUUUUUCCCAGGUUAGUUAGAGGAAAGACACGUGAUGGACAUGUAUCCAUUUAAUGCUUCUAGGAAAGCUCCCUAAGGAACGCUUUUAGUAAGUUAUAUAAUUUGUACUAAUAAAAAUAUAAUCACAUUUGUUAACGACGAUAAAUAUACUCACAGAAUUAAAUUAAAUAUAAUCUAUAUCAUGAACUUAAUUGUACUUGUUAUUGAUAUAUUUUUUAUUUUAAAAAUAUUUAUAUUUUUAUUAUUUAGCAAUAUUAGUGUUAUCAAAAAAUAUAUAAAUGUUAAUGUCAGCAUAUUCUUUUGAUGAUAACAACGUAAUCCUAAAAUUCAAUCAUAAUUCAAAACAUAACAUUUGAUAAUAAAAUUAAAGUUCUAUUUUUAAAUGGGCCUUACGCAUAACGUGUUUUUAACAAUAGGUCUCUUUAUAAUUUUAACUAUUUUUAGUCAAGAGAAUUAAAAUUUGGACAAAAUUACCCUUAAUGAAAUCGAUCCAUUUAUUUGGCUUCGCGUCUCAACCCAAAACCUAUUAACGAGUCAAGUAUGUUUAGGCCUACGCCUCAAACUGACUCAUAUUUUUUGAGCUUUCCUCACCAGAUUAUUCAAAUCUGGAGUAUUCCUUACUAGAAAGAAAAACGUUUAAGCAUUUUGAGUAUUUUGGAGUAGUUUUUGAUACAUGAAGAAAACUCGUGAGCGUUUUGAGCAUUUUUUAAGCAUUUUGGAGUGAUUUUUGAUAUAUGAAGAAAAACUUUUGAACAUUUUGAGCAUUCAUAUUCGUUAAUUAUGUUGUUAAAUGAAAUAUGAUGUAUCGUUUGAAGUUGUUGAUCUUGUUAAAUGGAAUUCAGUAGUUUUGGUGAUUUUUGGGAAUUACAUGACUAGUUUUUAGGCAUUGCGUGACUGACUUUGGAUAUUGCGUGACUGACUUUGAACAUUGUGUGACUAGUUUUUGAUAAGGCGUUGCGUGAUUUGUUUCUAAUAAGGCAUUGUAUGACUAGUUUCUGAUAAGGCAUUCCGUGACUAGUUAAUAGACAUUGCGUGACUAGUUUUUGAUAAGACAUUACGUGAUUAGUUUAUGAUAAAGCAUUGUGUGACUAGUUGAUAAGUAUUGCAUGACUAGUUAGUAAAGUAUUGUGUGACUUAGGCAUUACUUAAAACUCAAUCACACAAUGCCUAAAAACUAGUCACGCAAUGCCUAAAACCAAUCACGUAAUACCUAAAAACUAAUCACGUAAUGAUUAAAUCACGAAAUGCCUAAAAACUAGUCUCGUAAUACUUAAAAACCAAUCUAAUCAAUUUUAAUUCCUUAACUUUGAGAUUCUAUGAAUAAACCAAUAAACUCAAGAACCUAAAACACAUACUUUUUUUUUUGUUAAGCCAUGAAAUUGUGCAUGUCAUAAAAGAUAGGUUACAAAACUCUAUAACCCUCCAAAGCAAGACAAAAUAAAUCUCUAUCGGGAGGGCCUUGCUCACUCCCCUUAUGCAAAAACAAAAAUACUCCCUUUACAAAAUAUUUCUUGAACAAUUUCAAUUCAAAAUCCCAUAAAAAAAAUCAAAAUCUCCAGCAAACAUGCUUAACAAUCAUCCCAAUUCUUGACACAAUAAAACCGUGAACCACUAUAAAACCCAUCAAACAUACUUCAGCUAUUUUUUUUCCCUGAGCCCAUCAUCUUAACCAAUCUGAUCCAAGUCAUCAACAUAGGCAUCUCCAUCGCAACACACGUUUCGAAACAAGUCAUCACCAGAAAGCAUCCAAUUACUAAAUUCAUUAUGCUACCUGCAAUCACCAUAGAAGAGUAAAAUCACUAUUCAUCAUCUUUGAGAACCCCAAGAUCCACUAUCUAAAAAAAUAAAACAAAAUAAGAAAGAACUUGAUGUCAUUUUCGAAUGGUGAGAUAGACAGCAUUUGACCAGAGAGAGAAAUCGAGAUUUAAUUUUAAAAUUUUUGUCUGAAUGGCGGGAUAGAGAAAACUGAAACCAUUUUAACUUGUCUGAAAUUGUUUAAAAGGUAUUGUAGUCAAGUCAUGUCAAAAAUAGGCUAAAAAUAGUUAAAAUUAUAAAAAAUGAUAUUUUUGAAUUGAGCUUAUGAGGAAGGUUAUUUCUCAUAAUUUCCUCAUAAAAUUAUUUCAUUAACAAAUUUUGAUUCAAUUUUUAAUAACAAAUAUCAUAAAUUAUAACAUUCUUUGUUUAUAUUUCUUCUGUAGCUGUGUAUAAGUUUAUUAUAUUUAUAACAUAGCAUCGAAGAGGCUAAGUAAAAAAAAAAAACCAUAGCAUUGAAGAAACAUAGAAUUUAAAUUCAUUCACAACAUUUAUAAAUUAGUAAUUAAAAUUGAUAAAAUAUUUUUACUAUUAUUUUACAUAAAUUAUAUUAUUAUUGAUAUAAAAGUUUAAUGUAUUCAUCAUUUUCCUGUGCCAAUGAAAUUAUCAUUUAAUCAAUUACGCAACCAUCUUUACUCUUCAUUUUCUUUUUCUUCCAUCAUUCCUUUCUUUUGUUUCCCUUUCCUUCCUAUCUCUCUUUUUCUCUAGCAAAAAACAUUGACACAUGACAAUCAAUUGUCAGCCUAAUUAAUGACAAUCAGUUAGAAAUUGUCUCCACUUGGGAACAACUUUAAUUGUACGUGUACAUCACUACAACGUGUAAAUGUAAUAAAAGUAUGAUAUUAUUUGUUAUUGCAUUAAUUAUAAAUUAGGUAAUAUAAUUCAUUUUAUUAUUUUUUCUUUUAUUAUUUUUAAGUGAAAAAAAAAGAGCAAACAGGGUGUUUGGAUAAAAAUAACAAUAUGUUUGAAGUAUUAUAGGUAAAAACAUGUAUUUGUUUUAGAUAAUAAAAUCAAUAAUUCUCCUUCUAUCGAGAUUAAUUAUAUUAUAAUCCAUGUCAUGCUUAAUUACUUGUUCAAUUUUAAUCAAUUCUUGAUUUCCAAAUCUUUAAUCAAUUAUUUUUUUUGUUGUUUAAAAUAAUAAUUUUACAUAUGAACAAUGGAUUUAUCCUCUCCUCGUUAGACUAGCGUGGCAAUACGCGCCACGCCACUACUUAUAAGUCACCACAUAUUAUCUUACCUAUUUGAUGUGGGAGUUUUUGAAGCACUCUACCUGCUUUCUUCCUAAGGCGUUAGGCAUGACAUAACAAUGUAGUUAAUUAAAAAAAAAAAAAGAGAGAGAGAGUUGAGCGUUUUUUUAAAGGUAGGCAUGAAGGAGGAGCAGCACCCAUGGGUUUCAGUCAACAAGAACUAGGUAUCGUGGGCAAUCUAAGAUAGCACGGUGGAGGAGAUCUCUUUACACUGUCUUUGUAGAUAAUAUGGUAAUGUCAUGGGCUAGCAUCAAAUCAGUGUUUGAUCAGUUUGGCGUUGUGGUUGAUGUGUUCGCACCAAGGUCCAUUACAAGGAAAGGUAGGCAUUUUGCUUUUGUGUGAUAUAGGUUUGCCAGAGAAUAACACAUGGCAAUCCUUCAUGGAGACGGAAUGAUUGUUUCUGGCCAUCGAAUUUUCGUUAAGAAGGCUUUAAAAAGCGGGUUGCCUAGAAAUGAUACACCACUAGGUAGAAUAAAAAACCAUUUUCCUUAUCAAAAUUCCUUUAGAGAUGCAGUAGUGAAUGGCCAUCAACCUGGAAAGAAGGAUACUCGAGCACAACCAAGGGUGAUUAGAAUAAAGCUAGGGUUAUGGACAAUGAUAAGGAGAUGAAUGCUCGAGUGCAGUCAAGGAAGGUCAAGGACAAGCCUAAGGCUGUGGAUAAAGGUAAGGAAAAUAAUGGUGCUUGUGUCUUCAUACCUAAAUUGAAUGAUGUAUGGUUGAAAGAAAGUGUGUUGGGUUUUGUUUGGGAGGGUAUGUGUGUAGAAAAAAUUGAACAGAACUUGACAGGGAAAGGGAUAAAGGUUCGAAUUAGAGAAGUUGAGGGACUUCGAGUGUUAGUUACCUUCUAAAACAAAGAUGAAAUGGACAUCCUUCUUGUGGAUUAUAAGGAUUCAUUUCUAGAGUGGUGGAAUAGUUUGGUGCCUUAUGAAGCCUGUAAUGAUAAAUUGGAAUUUUUAUGUUGGGUGAAGGUGGAAGAAAUUUUGAUUCAUUUAUGGCAUGUCGAUCUUUUUAUGGCUUUAAGAGAUUCAUGGGGAAAAUUCAUGAAUAUAGAGCAGGAAACUCUGAACAUGAAUCGAUUCAGUUAUGCAGUGAUUUUGGUAAAGGGUAAUAGCACACGGCAGAUUCCAAUGUAUCGUAGAAUUAAAGUUGGGAAGGAUAUAAUCAUGCUGAGAGCCACUAUUUUGAGUGUUGUGACUGUUCUGCCAAAUGACAACCAGUUACUAGCCACCAGUGUUCAAAGGGAAGAGGUUGUACAUUUGGCCAGGCCUUGUUUAGUAACGUAUAUAUCCAAGGUGGCAAAUUUGAUUUUGAAUUAAAUGAAGAAUUAGGUAAGGAGAGUUAGUAGACAGUUAACCACUUAAAAAAUUUAAAUUAAGAGAAGGUUGAAUUGAAUUCAAAUUUUAUCCGGGUGGAAAAAAUACUUUCUAGAAUUUUAAAGGAUUUGAAUUAGAGGGUGAUUGCAGAAUGGAAUCAAACAGUGCUAAUAAGUUAGACAAAGAAAAGAUGUUGGAGUUGUCUUGUCCUAAAAUUGCUAAGAGAGAAGAUACGGAUUUGCAUUGUGCUGGGUGUACAUCUAUCUCGCUUAACAAGGCAAAAAAAAAAAAAAAAAACUAUAGCUCAUGAUGAGGUUAAGUGGUGCGGUUUGGACACUACAAAGAGUCCAAGUAUUAAUGGGAAUCAGAAUAAUGGUGAGAAAAAAUAUAAAGGUGGGAACUAAAUUUAUGAUGAUGAUAAUGACAUAAAUCUGUUGUUAAUAUGUUCCCAAGUAGAUAGAAUUUAAAUGGUGAAACGGAUAGGAUUCACAAUUGAUUUUGGAAGUCCUAUUGCAAUAAAAUGCUUAGAACUGAGGGAAUUGAACUCUCCAUUAACGUUAUCCUCAAUUGUAGUAGAUAAUAAUUUUUUAAGGUCAUUAAAAGAGGACUUUAGCCUUAUAGUUCAUACACCAAGGGAUAGGCUUAAUGUUAAUUGCUCUCAAGAGGUCAUGGACGUUUCUCAUUUUAUAAAUAAAGAUUGGAGCAGUCGGUUGUUUGACAUAAGAGAAAGAGAUGCAAAAGUAGAAAUGAGGGAGGAUAUUGAAAAGGUCCAAUUGAGUAAAAAGGUAAGAGUUGACUAAAAGGAAGCAAGAAUUCUGAGAAUAAACCUAAAUUUUGGAUGGUGGAAAGAUAUUACACAGCCACUCAAGAUUGAGGGAGGUUACGAGCAGUAUGUUGAAUACAAAAAAUCAGAAUGUAGAUUGUGAUAAUUUACAUGAUGAGUUUAAGGCCACACGGGCUGUUAAAGGGAAACUUGGGAUAGAAUUUAAAAAUUCAAAUGAUGAUGUUGUGGAUACUAUAAUGAAAUUAGAAGAAGAAGAGUGGCAAUUUGGAAGUUCUUAAAUGAACUUUGGUGGUUUGUGCAUAUUGCAUUUUAUAAAUGUUUAUACUUACUUGGACUGUUAGAGGGAUAUACAAAGGUGAGGAGAAAUGUAUAGCUAGGAGGGUGAUCAAUAAGGAAACCUCGAAUAUUGUACUUCUUCGGGAAACAAAAUAGAAAAAUUCAAGGAAUAACUCUUUUGAGUCAGUUUGGAGAAAAGACAGUGUCACGAUCCAGUACUCUCCUCGAGCCCGUGACAACCGCCGCUAUGUCCCGAUAGACAUACCUUACCCGGAAUGUCAACCGAAACCUCGCAAGGCUCUAGCAUCAGUUUUUCGCCUCCCCUGUGAGCAACAAUUACUAAAUAUCAUGUUUUAAAGGAAUAUAGACUAUUUUCAAAUAAAAAACAAUCAAAAAGUAAUUUCUACCGCACAGGGGUAUUUUGGUAAUUUUACCUAAAAAUUUCGAAACCUGUUAAAAAUAUAAUAUAUAAAUGAAAAAUAUACAUUUCAUAUCUAAAAAUAAAUUUAGGUAUCUAAAUCAUCCAUUUAAAGUGAAUUUAUAACUAACAGAAAUAAAUAAAAAUAUUGGAUAAAAUAUUCCAUUUUCAUAUAAAACAAUAUUUAUAGAAUUCUACGUAAACAAUUACUGUAGCGUAAUAACAAAAUAAAUUCAUAUACAUAAUAGCACAUAGCGCUAGGGUAUGCAAAAAUAUUUUACAAUGCCAUGUGAGCCCCCAAAAUAACAAAAUAAACAAGGCUGUAGACCUACGAUUUCUAAAGGUGCAAAACCAAAAGCAAACCCUCGACAAAAUCGACUGUCUAUAGACUACUCUGAACCUGAAAUGGGUGAAAAGAAGGGGGUAAGUUUUUAUAAACCCAAUGAGUAAUCAAAGUUCAUCUAUAACAUCUAAAGCAGAGUAAAUGGAGACAAUUGAAACAUCUCUUCAUAAUAUGAUUCAUAACAUUAAAACUAAUUUCAACCAUAUAAAACAAUUACAUUUCAUCAAAAAUAAUCAACAAGGCUUAUGACUCUCUUAAAACUUGGCUCGUGCCAAAACUCGUACUCGGUGACACCUUGCACCGGGCAUCCAACCGAGUCCGCCAAGGCUGUUAAAAUAACAUAUACACAUAAAACAUGUUUUUACGUUUAGAAACAUAGCCGAUCCUUGGCGUUGGCUAAGUUUCACCCUCACAUGGUGGUUUGGUGUGAAGUGAACUCUAAACUACCUUAGGAGAUACCCUCCACGCCUCUCCUACUAAGGUAAAAUAUAACGGGGUUUACUGUGCCCCUCUAAUAGGCCGAUCCAUGGAAACCUGCCCACUGCAGUAAGCUAAUCAAUUACCCCACCAAAUUAAUAAAAAUUUCGGCAGUAUGACAUGGCUAAUAUGAUAUUACCUAGUCUGUCAAGGUAAAACAAAACAGUUCAUAUAUUCCACACAAACACAAAUCCAACCAUUCAUGCCGUCACAUUGUCAUAAGCCAUCAAUUCAAACCAUAUGUCAAUUACAAAUCCUGUUAUGUCGAUACAUUUAUUACAAAGCCGGGUCGACAUAACUAACAAUAGUCAAAAUAUAUAUAUAACACAAGUAUAUAGUCUCCACUUACUCAAUUUUCAAAACCAGGAUUCAAUUUCAAAACAAGUUAUAAAUCUCAUUUCGUUUAGCCAACACUUCAAUUUUAAAACAUAAUAAUUUACAAUUUAAACUCAUUAUUCUUUAAAACAUAAAAACGAGUAUAAACUACUUUAGAUAGUUAAGAUGAUCGUCUGAUUACUCACUAUAAUGAGAGUACUCCUACUCCUGGUCCUCGGGUACGAUAUCUUUACCCUUACCAAAGGGCUCACCACCUAUACAUAAUGCACAACAAGUAAUUCAAUACACUUAUGCCAAACUGUUAUAAGACUAUUUCAGGCUCUUUUAUGAAUGCAUGAAAUUGAAUGAGAAGUGUUCGAAUAAUCACUUAAAGAUGGUGUUCUACGUAGGUUCAAUUGUUGUUGGACUGAAAUGGUAUUCGACCUAACUCGCACUAUACACUGUUUAAUUAGCCAAAACAUCCAAUUCAACUCCAAAUAGAUUCAUUGCACUUUUGGUACUCCAACAAGUCCGUAUACCUCAUUAGAAAUCAAUUCUAAGUCCAUUUACUAUAAUUUUCUCAUUAUCGUUCAAGUCGUUUACUAAAGGAACUAUACUUUUCGAUAACCGUUUUCGAUAUCCGACAUCACGAAUCAUCAAAUGCGAGCUAGAUAACAUGAAAUAUGACAAAAUUCAUCUUCAAAAUAUUCCCUAUAGAAUUUGGCCAAUUAGGGUUUGAUAAAGAACAUGUUAUUUUCUUGCUUGUUUUUCAUACCGAAUAUCACAAAACACUAAAAACACCUAGAUUGCCUAAAAUCUAUCAAAAACCAUCAUCAAAACCUUCCCCCCUUGAUUCGGCCAGCGUGCUUCCAUCAUGAAAACUUGAGUUUCAACCAUAGAAAAUGAAAAAGAAAGAAUGGGUAAGAUAGAUCUUAAGCUAAAUCGCGAAAUCUUACCUUCGAUCACUUCGUUUUUCGAAAAUCCAAUGAAUUUCUUUUGAAUUUUUCUUCCUUAGGGUUGUUUCUAUUCUUUUUCCCCUUUUUUUUUUGGCUUUCACAGCAAUGAACAGUGAAUUGGGAAUGGUUUAUGUUGGUUUAUAAAGGAAAUUAUAAAAAAAUUAAAACUUGACACGUGUCGCCACUUGAUUGGUCCAUGGUUAAAACUUAACAAUUAAGCAUUCUCUUACCACCAUAUAUAAUCCCAUAAUUAUCCAAAGUAUAAAAUGAUAAUAGGUGAAAUUCAUGGGCUUGACAAGUGUCAUGGUGGUGGAAAAUUUCUAAAAUUUCAAUUACGUCCUCAUGGACACAUGGAAUGACCGUUUUGUCCUUAUGUUCGAAAAAUGUCGAAAUUGAAAUUUUUUUCACUUCUCAAAUUCAAAUUAUGUUCCAACUAGUCAAACUUGGUCAAAAAUCUCUUCCAAAAUUCCAAUUUUUGCCCUCGGGUGGCAAAAUGACCAUUUUGCCUCUUCGUUAUAAAAAUUCUUGAUUGGACUCCAAAUCAAUCCUCGAACUCCAAAUCACCAUAUUAAGACAUUCUAAGGUUCAAUAACUUUCAAAUACAUCCUAAAAUCUCUAUUUGGACUAGUUCGAGGCUUUAAUCAACUUAAUUGUACCACUAGGUACGAUAUCAACUUUUAAUAAUUUUUCGAGGCAUCCAAAUAUGCAGACGUGCUAUCAAGUACAUGAAUGACAUGGUAAGUAUAUUAUAGAGCUGGGCUUGACAGACAGGGUUAAAGACUUAGUGUAUUUCUCCAGAGAGAUUGAUGAUGAUUUGGCAAGAGGAUUUCUUUAAGAUAGAGGAACAUGAUGUGAAUAAAAAUUAUAUAUUGUAUUUCUUCAAGGGGAUUGAUGAUGAUUUGGCGAGAGGUUUUCUUUAAGACGGAAGAGCAUCUUUUGAAUAAAAAUUAUAUUUUAGCCACAAGCUUAAUUAAUGGGUAGCCUCAUAAGUGUGGUUUUCUAAAUAUAUAUGCACCUAACGACGGAACAAAAAUAUUUUUCUUGUGGGAUUCAUUGUUGCAUAUAAUUCAAUCUCAUGAUAUUUGGUGGUGUUUGGGAGGAGAUUUCAAUACAGGUAUGAAGAUGAGAGGAUUGGUAAAUGUGAUGUCUCACAAUUUGCCAGUGUUUUUAGUAAUUUUAUACAAGAUGCUUUUCUGGUUGAUAUGCCAAUGAUGGGGGUUCAAAUACGGAUGGUGUAGUAAAAGGGAGGAAACAAGAUUUUAUAAGCUGGAUAGAUUUUUGUUGGAUGCUAAAUGGUUAGAUUACUAUGGGGAUAUUAUCCAAAAAUGUCUUCUGAGUUCAAUAUCUAAUCAUAAUUUGGUGAUGGUGAGUAGAAGCUAUGAUUGGAGACCACAACUUUUUCGAACAUUUAAUUAUUGGUUUGAUGAUCAUUCCUUUCAAGCAUUGAUUGUAGAAACUUGGGAGAAUGCUAAAGUGGGGAACCCUAGAAGUCCAAAGCUUUUGUGAGGACCUAAAAAUCUUAGACUUAUUAUUAAAAAAUGGCAUAAGUUAAAGUAUGGUGGGAUAUCUUCUAAAAUCGAGAAAUUAGAAGUUGAGAUUCUGGAUUUAGAGGUUGAUUGACAGGGAGAUGUGGCUAAUUUGGGGAGAAAGGAUAGUGUGAAGGAAAAAAAAGUCUAAACUGUGGCAAUUAUAUCGAAUAAAGGAAUGCAGAUAGAGACCAUUAUCCAAAUUUAAAUGGAUUAUGGAAUGGGAUAGAAAUACAAAGUAUUUCCAUCACAUGAGCUGAUGAGCCGGUGGUUGUAUACAUGUUUACACAUACCAUAGAAAUGUUAGAGAAAAGAUUAUGUGAUUGCAAUGAAUGUUGAAUGUUGAAAUUGUUAAUUGCUUUCAAAUUGAUUUUCAAUGCAAUGAGAAACUCUCUGUCUUGCUUGGAUAUUUACUGUAGUUUUCACUCUUUUCAACUUCGUUGUUGAUCAUAGAUCCUUCACUCUAAAGGAUUAAAUAACCAAAGGUUGAAUUAAGGGGCUUUACAAAAAAUUAAGCUAAAUUGCAUUGCUUUUAACAUAAGUGCAUCAUGUUUUCUACAACUUUUCGUAUUGUUUGCUUGUUCCCUUUCUAUGUUCACUCACUAGGUUUAUACUCACUCUUUGAAACUUCAUGUUUUCAAAGUCGGAGGCAGUUAGGACCUAGAUUGAGGUGUUCACGUAUAUUCAUCUUUUUGGUAGGUAACAUGACAUUCAGUAGUUGUACCUUCACCCAAAGUCACUCCGUUGGUAGUUAAGAGUCUUUUGUCUGUGUAUGCAUACGCGUGAUAUAAAUCACUAAGAUUCAUAGUAUAAACAAUAUAUGUAUAUUUUGAUUGAUGUUGCCACUAUGAGUUGACAAUAGGUGAUAUUAUUUUGGAUGAUCUAAAUGUAAGUAUUUGAUUGCCAUAGUAUAUCACUGAAUAUUUUUAUAAUUGAGAAUUACGAAAUGUGACUUUAGGAAUGAUUGUUGAAAUGAUGAUCAAGAUUACAUAAAGAGGCUUGCUUGGGCUUAGUGGGCUAUGCCCAUUGGGCCCAUGCGCUAGUUAUGGCCCGAAAAUUAGAUUGUGAUAGGAAACUUUUGCAUCCAGCUUGGGAAAAGGGUACCUAGUUCCGACCUUUGGAUAGAUCAUAAUAACCCCAUAAAUAGUAGCCCUUGACCAGUCAUUGUGAGCAUGCCACCAUAGGGUCCCUUUUUCCAUGGAAAAUAUAAUUUUUUGCUUGAACAUUCUUCCAGGUUAUAUUAGGCAUUGCGUGAUAUAUUCGGGACCAUCUGACCAUAGAUACCUAGGCUGUUGAACUCCGUGCCUGCAAAGGAAUUAUAGAAACAAAAUUAUUUCCUUUAAAAGGUGAGUAGCAAACCAGAAACUUGAGGGAUUUUUCAACACAAUAAAAACGGAAUUGUUUCUUUGACUUGAAAUACUAGUGAAUGGUGAUGUUGUAUUUCCCUUUGUUAUAAACCUUGACGGUAACUGUUUCUCCGUACCAAACUUGUAUAAUUGGUCCUAGAAAUUGUCCAUUUACCGUUAAAAUUUUCUUUGAAGUGUAGAGUCUUGUGUAUGAAGCUUUUUUAACUUGUAGAUAUGGAUAUUAAUGUAAGGAAGGCAGCAUCACCGAGCAUAAGAUAUACAAUGUGAGGAUCCCAUGCCAAGAGUACAAAAGGACUGAUAUUAAGCACUUACCAUAAAGUCAUAUUCAUCUGUAGCUAGGGAGAAAUGUUGGUCGUGACAAAGUAGAAACCAAAGUAUUUGGAAAAGAUAGCUUUUCUUGGGUAAUACCGUUUUUUUUUUGUAAUAGAAGAACUUUGGCAAGAACCCUUCCACUAUACUUGCAUGGAAUUUCUUAAGAAUUUUAUAUACAACUUAGUGAGGAACAACAUUAAUUGGUGAAAUUGAUAAACUUUAGUAUCUUUCCAAAAAGUUGGUAUGCUAGAUUGCUCAUGGUAGCCAAGAAGGAUAAAAGAAAAGAAAGGCACCCACAUUUUGUAUACUUUUGAAACCUCAAUUAAGACUAUUUUCGUUUAGCUAUUAACCUUUUAUGUUCUUUCUUGAAACUCGCUGGUAUCAAAUGAACUCAACACGACCCUGCAUCUUAUCAAUUCCAAUAUCUCCUUCUUAUCAAUUGGUUUUGCCAAUUGAAAUCAUGAUAAUGAAGUAUGAUAUUCAUGGAGCAAUCAUGAUAUACCUGAAAUGAAAAUAAAUUAUAAUAUUUAUUUGCCUUUGAUGUAUGAUACUGCCUGGUAAAACACUACAAGUAGGAAACUGUUUAGAGAUUUAAGUACAUCCUUUUGUUUUUACAUCAUCAUAUCAACUUAAAUUUCAACUUAAAUUUUUAAUUAUAGCGGUUCCUUUUUAUUGGUAUUAAACUCACAUUGACCUAAUAAUGUUCUCUCCUAUACCAAAAAAAAUUAGCCAUAUUAAUGUCAUUAAACAACUGUGUAAUAUUAAUUAAAUACACAACUAUGUCUUCAAUUUAUUUUCUCUUCUAUAAAAAUUUCAUUUUCUUAUAUUUUCUUUUUAAUUUUCAUUUACGGAUAUAGAAUAAUUCAUGUAAGCUUAAAACUUAUAAAAUAACUCAAAUUUGACCUAACAAAAUUUAUGAUGCUAAUUUGCAAUACGUGAAAUUAACAGUGUAAUGCUCAAUGACCUUGAUAGACAAGACAAUACCAAUAAGGGUAACAUAUCGAAAGAUGGCCAAUAUGUUAAGCUCCCUAUGUUGCUUUGACCUUGAGGCAAACAUUGUCCAUUGCUCUAAAAUUUAUAUUCAGACUAAUGUAGAAUGAACUUGCCUCAAAUUUAUUGUUCAUAAUCAACAUAAUUAUAGCCAUUAGGAAAUACUAAAACAUAGAUACUUAGCUAAAGAAGAGAAUACUUCACCAAGCUAAGAUUUUUGUUCUAUUUCAAUUUGAACCUCAAAAACUCAACUCUAUUGUCGAUUUAGCAACUAUGAAACUUUAUUGAUGUAAGAAAAAUACUGCUGAUGGAAAAUUUAAGUUUAAAGCUAUGCUACGACCCUUCUUUGAUUCUGUUAUUAUACUUGAUACUUAUAAUUUUAGCAACAUUAUUGUGUGUUUUUUAUUGUUCUAUUUAUUAAUUUAUAAGUCAUCAUCCUCAAAAGGCAGGGUUGGAAAUCUUAUUGGUCUGAAUACUAAAUUAAUUGUUAUUUGAAAAAGGAAAAAAAACUUAAGAAUAGAAAAUUUAAGCAUAUGUUUAGCUUCCAUUAGAGUAACUUUACAGUAAUUUUAUUGGCAAACUGGUUUGACCUAGGUAACUAAUUUUACUGGCCCUCCUUACAUGAUAUUCCUCAAAAGAAAGCCAUAUGUUUGGCUUCUAAAGCAUAAUUGAGCUCAUGGAUGAAAAUUGUGGUAAGCAUUCUUAAGAAAAGAAUAUAAUUUCAAGGAAAUGGUUUGGCUGAAACUUAGUUUUCAAUAUUUUUUGAAGGAUGUACAACCGCGAAUCUACUAGUCUAGAAGAAUACGACUUUCAGGCUAUAAUUUGGUUAAAUACAUGUCUAUGUCAUUAUAGGGUUUCCAUGAAUAGAUAUUGAAUUUUAAACCAAGCAACUCUUGGUAAGGAAAUUUCUUUUAAAAAAUCUAAUGAUGUAUAGAGAUUAUUCAGUAAUAAUUUAAUUUCCAAUCAAUAUGUUUUUGUCAUCCUAACUAGGAAGCAAUCUCUUGUGGGGAUUCGUUUUAUUGGGUAGUAAAGGAAUUGAUCCAUCUAAACUAAAGGAGAAAUUAACCCCAGUACUAUUUUGUUGUUUGUUACAUUAAAAGAAAUUUAGAACAUAUGUUUGAGAAAACUCCUUUAGUAGCUCCAAUGAGCUAUAUUUGGAAUUCAAUCAUGUGUUAGAUUUAAUUUUGUAAAAUUAUCCUUCUCCUUUUACAUCAUUCUUUUUUGGAACACAUUUGGUUGGAGAAAUGAAUAUUCUUCUCCUUUUACAUAAUUCAUAUUAUGAAAAAAAAAUUAGUAAUAGUGGGGGUGUGCUAAUGAAGCUUGAUUUUUAAAGGCUGUUGAUUGAAAUUUCUUGAUCUUUGUGAUAGGGAAAAUGGGUUUUGGUGAAAAAUGAGGGCAUGGAUAUAUGAGUGCAUAUCUACGGUGCGAGUGGUGGUUUUGGUAAAUGGAUUCCUACUUCGGAAUUUCCAAUGAAAAUGAGUCUUCUACAAGGGAAGAACUUGCAUACGUGCUGAGGGGUGCCAAUGUUAGAAAACAUGAUGACUCUAUAAUUUGGUGAUGACACUAUACUUUUUGUGAAAUCGGAAGAGGUAGGUGUUUGCAAUGUUAGGAGAAUUUUACGAUUGUUAGGGUUAAAAAUUAACUUCUCGAAGUUUUGCCUUUACCUGGUGGGAGUUGAGGAAGUGGUUGGGAGAGCCAUGGCUAAUGUUUUUCAAAGCAAUUUGGGUCAUCUACCUUUUUUUGAUCUUGGUAUUCCUCUUGGAGUAAACUUACAAAGCAUGCAUACAUAGGACCCUAUUGUGAAUAAAUUUCAGAGUAGAUUGGAACUUUGGCGAUGAAAGUACUUAUCUAUUGGAGGUAUAGUUACUUUAAUUUAUUCUAUGCUAAACUCAGUACUUUUGUUUUCCUUUUCCAUUUUUAAAGCACCUAUUACUGUCUUAAGCAAGCUAGAACAAAUAAGGAGGAAUUUUCUUUGCGGGUGUGUCAACCAAAAAUGUAAGGGGUUUGGAUAUCUCUAAUUUGACUAAUAAAAUGUGGCAUUAUUAGGUAAAUGGUGGUGGAGAUUCAAGAAUAAGGAGAAUGCACUUUGGAGGAGGCUUCUAGCAGUAAGUGUAGAAAGAGAAAAAUUAUUAUCCAAUUACAAGGCCCCACAUGGACCUGAUAACAUCCUUAAAGAUAACCAUAUAAUUAAUUAUAAAAUAAUGAAGUUAUUAGUUAGAUUAUUUCAAAGACACAUAGUUGGACUAAUUAAAAUUCACCUUUGUGUCAUACAUAUUAAUCUCUUGAGAUAAUUUAAAAAUAAUAUUUACAUUGGAACAAUUGAAAUUUAAUUAUUGGUCAUCCAAUUUUUCUCUUAACAAAUUAAGAUAAUUUAGAGAUAAUAUUCAUAUUUUUUACCAAUUAGUCAUCUAAUUUGUCUCUAAAACCAUUAUGAUAAUUUGGAGAUAAAACAAUUUUGAUCAUUUAAUUUAUCUCUAAAUAAAUUAAAAUAAUUUAGAAAUAAAACUUAAAUUUGAACAAUCAAAAUUCAAGGACUCAAAGUUUAGCCAAUCAAAAGACUAUUUAUGAGUCAUCAUUAUUUUUCUCUAAUUAAAUAAAAAUAAUUUACAGAUAAUUUAAAGAGACUAAAUCCUUAUGAAAAUAUCUCAUUUAGUGCUAUAAAUACAGUGCUCCUCCAAGCCAUUUGAGGAUCAUGCGGAGAUUGAGAAAAGAAGAAGAUUUCUGAAGAUGAAUUUCUCAAGUCUAGUUUGUGUUCAAGAUUAAGUCACUUAGACCCUUGAAACGAAGUUCUCAAGUCUAGUUUGUGAUCAAGAUCAAGUCACUCAAACACUUGAAAGUGAAGUUCUCAAGUCUAGAUCAUGCUCAAGAACAAGUUCGAGUUCAUGACUCUUGAAGACAAAGUGAAGAAAUUAAUUAAAGGAAUUCUAGGGACUGUAGCUUGCAUCAAAUCUUUGUAAUUUGUCUCAUAAUUUUCAAGUCCAAAUAUUCAAUGCAAAAUGUGUGUUUACACUAAGUAUGGAGAGAAUAAGCUAAAAUGGUUACCAUCUACGAUAUACAAGUACAAAUUAUGACCUCAAUUUGUAGGAAUAUUUCCAAUUUACUGAGGAGUAAUGGGAGGGGUAAGCUUGUUGGUUUUGAUAAUUAUGGGUGGGUGAUUGGGGGUAAAGUGAAUGUUUCCUUUUGGCUUGAUUAAUGGUUGUUAGACUCUUCGUUAUGGUGUAUGAUAAGGAAAUGAAGGUUGCCAAGGCUUGGAAUGAUGGUAGAUGGAAUAUCCCAUAUCGACGACAUCUAUUUGUUUGGGAAAAUACCUUAGCUUGUGAGCUAAAGGCAAAAUUGUAAGGGGUGGUACGUAUGUCUCAUUCAGAGGCUUCAUUUGUUGGGAAAAGGAAUAAGGUGUGAAACCUCAAUUUUUGCUUAAGGUUAGAAUUGUAACUUAACUUGGUGAGUUGGAAACUUGACAUUUUUGAACAUGAUUUAUGAACCAUAAUAACUUAGAAAAUGUAUGCUUUGAUAGCCAAAUAAGUUUACUUGAAAGUUUGGACAAAAGGAUUUAUUUUUAGUCUUAAAAUUGCAUUUUGGAGCUAAGGUAUUGAUACUUGUUCAUUAAGUAUCCAUACAUGGAACUUAGAAAUGCAUAUUGAUGAACAUGUUUAAUAAUAGUUCAUAAAGUAUCGAUAUGUUAGCCAGAAACCAAAGGUAUCUAUACUUAUUGAAAAGAAUUGAUACCAAUGUCAAAAAUUUGAAAAAAAGUAAAGGUAUUUCAAACUUUUUUCCCAAUAAAAUAAAGAGUUCUUUUUUAAAGAGAAAAUUGUGAGAAAUAACCUUCCUCAUAAGCUUAAUUCAAAAAUAUCAUUUUUUAUAAUUUUAACUAUUUUUAGCAUAAUUUUGGCAUGACUUGACAACAAUACCAUUUAAACAAUUUCAGACAAGUUAAAAUGGUUUCAAUUUUCUCUAUCCCGCCAUCCAGACAAAAAUUUUAAAAUUAAAUCUCGAUUUUUCUCUUUCGUCAAAUACUAGUUAUCUCGUCAUCCGGAGAUGACAUCAAAUUCUUUCUUAUUUUGUUUAUUUUUUUAGAUCGUGGAUAUUGAGGUUCUCAAGGAUGAUGAAUAGCGAUUUUAAUCUUCUAUCGUGAUUGUAGGCAGCAUGAUGAAUUUGGUAAUUGGAUGCUUUCUGGUAAUGACUUGUUUCGAAACGUGUGCUGCGGUGGAGAUGCUUGUGUUGAUGAGUUGGAUCAGAUUGGUUAAGAUGAUGAGCUCAGGGAAAAGAAAUAGCUGAAGUAUGUUUGAUGGGUUUUAUGGUGGUUCAUGGUUUUGUUGUGUCUGAGAUUGAGAUGAUUGUUAAGCAUGUUUACUAGGGAUUUUGAUUUUUUUUAUGAGAUUUUGAAUUGAAAUUGUUUAAGAAAUAUUUUGUAAAGAGAGUAUAUUUUGUUUUUGCAUAAGAGGAGUGAGCAAGGCCCUCCCGAUAGGGAUUUAUUUUGUCUUGCUUUGAAGGGUUAUGGAGUUUUGUAACCUAUCUUUUAUGAAAUACACAAUUUCAUGGCUUAGCAAAAAAAAAAUACGUGUUUUAGGUUCUAGAGUUUAUUGGUUUAUUCAUAGAACCCCAAAGUUAAGGAAUUGAAAUUGAUUAGACUGGUUUUUAAGUAUUGCGAGAUAGUUUUUAGGCAUUACGUGACUUAAUCACUGCGUGACCAAUUUUUAGACAUUACGUGAUUGGUUUUAGGCAUUGCGUGACUGAUUUUUAAGUAAUGCCUAAGUCACACAAUACUUUACUAACUAGUCACGCAAUGCUUUAUUAACUAGUCACGCAAUGCCUUUCUAACAAGUUACGUAAUGCCUAUCAACUAGUCAUGCAAUGCCUUAUCAGAAACUAGUCACGUAAUGCCUUAUCAAAAACUAGUCACGCAAUGCCCAAAGUCAGUUAUGCAAUGUCCAAAGCCAGUCACGCAAUAUUUAAAAACUAGUCACGUAAUUUUUAAAAAUCACCAAAACUACUGAAUUCCAUUUAACAUGAUCAACAACUUCAAACAGUACACCAUAUUCCAUUUAACAACAUAAUUAACAAUUAUGAAUGCUCAAAAUGUUCAAAAGUUUUUCUUCAUUUUCAAAAAUCACUCCAAAAUGCUUAAAAAAGCUCAAAACACUCACAGGUUUUCUUCGUGCAUUAAAAACUACUCUAAAAUGCUCAAAAUGCUUAAAUGUUUUUCUUUCUAGUAAAAGAAUACUCCAGAAAUGAGUAGUCUGGUGAGAAAAGCUCAAAAAAUAGGAGUAAGUUUGAGGUGCAAACCUAAACAUACUUGACCUGUUAAUAAGUUUCGGGUUAAAACACGGAGCCAAAUAAAUGGGUCAAAUUUAUUAAGGGUAAUUUUGUCCAAAUUUUAAUUCUCUUGGUUAAAAAUAGUUAAAAUUAUGAGAAGGUCUAUUGUCAGAAACACGUUAUGCAUAUGGCUCAUUUAAAAAAAGAACUUUUUUUUAAAUGGGUCUCAUGCAUAAGGCGUUUCUGAGAAUGGUCCUUCCUAUAAUUUUAACUGUUUUUAGCCAAGAGAAAAAAAAUUUAGACAAAAUUGCCCUUAAUGAAACCGACCCAUUUGACCUAAUUCAUUUGACUCCGCGUCUUAACUCGAAACCUAUUAACGGGUCAAGUAUGUUUAUAUAGACCAUAACUCCUCAGUUUUCAUCGAGAGAUAGUACAUAUCCUCAGAAACAAUUCUAUCAAAAGCAUUCCUCGCCAGUUCAACUUUCGAGCAUUUUCGUAGUGGUAAGAGCAUUUUGGAGUGGUUAUUAUUUGCAUAAAGGUAGUUCACAUAUUGAGAAGUGAGAGAAAGUUAACAUUACCCUGAGAAAGUUAUAAUAUUUUUUUAUGAAUUUUUUGUUUUAUUUUGAACCAUGUGGAGAAAUGGUUAUUCUUCAUGUUUAAGGUUAAGGUUUUUGAGCAUAUACCUAUACAUAUUGCUUGUUGAUGUUGAUAUUCAUGUUGUUUGAAAUUUUUGAAUAUAAACAUGAAGGUGGUAUUGUUGGUUUUGUUAGGGUGGAAAGGUGAUCGACCAUGCAUGACUGGUUGAUAUGUAUGUGUUAUAACCCUUUGUUAGGAAUUCGGUUGAGGGUUUAGAUAUUACGUGAGUGAGGGCUUGCUUAAGUGGUUGGCACUUUUUGCAUGAGUGGAUUUUGGCAUGGGGUCACGUAGGGUUUGUGUGAUUGCAAAAAGGUUUAACUUUGCGUGAUUGAUUGAUAGAUCUUUGCGUGACUGGUUUCUAGAUUAUUACGUGAAUAUUGUUCAGGCAUGGCGUCAGUUAGUGUGUAUGUGAUUCAAUUAGUUGUUCUUAGAAUUACGUGACUUAUUUAUAAAUCAUUGCAUGAUUUAAUCUUAGUAAUUGCAUGAUUUAAUCUUAGUAAUUGCAUGACUAAUUGAUUAGGCAUUUUGUGACUUUUGUUGUAGGAAAUUGCACGAGUGUCAUAACUGCAUGAAAUUUAUCUACAUGGCAUUACAUGACUAACAUUGGGUUCAUUCUAUAUUAUUUUGGGUCAACUGUAAUACUUUAAUGUGUAUAUGUUGAUUUACUUAAUAAUCCAUGCUCCGCACUUGAAUUAAUUAUUCUGUUUUAGAGUUGUCUAAAAAUAGUUAAAAAUAUUGUAAGGGUUAUUUUUUGAGUGAGCUUCUAAGGAGGGCUAUUUCUAAGAAAUUCUUCUAGUUUUUUGUUAAUCUACAAUGAUGGUAUUGACAUGACUAAAAUGGAAAUGUUAUCUAUUUUAUGUUGCAAAUGGCCAGCACAGGAAUAGAGCAGGAUAACAUGGAGUCUUUGCUUUGUGUGCCGAGGCACUGGUGGGGGUUCAAUGCGGGCAUUAACAUCCACUGUAAGUGGUUGCAUCUGCACGUGAUAUGUGAAAUGCUAUGUCAAGUAAAUGAGUUGGAAAACUUUAAGAGAACAUGCUUUAGGCACAUGAUGGAUGUCGAAUUGGACAAGAGUUUAUUCUAUGCCAGUCUCGUGCACAAUUUAAUGUUGCGCAAAAUCAACGAACUUGAUGCCAUGGAGGCAGAGUUAUAGUUUACAAUAGGGAAAAUGAAGGCCCGUUUUUCUAAGAGGGAGUUCUGUUUGGUAAUAGGAGUGAAGUUUGGUCCCCUACCAGCCCUCAUUGUCAAUCUAUACGAGGCCCUCCCUAGAGGAAUUCACCUACGAUAUUGGGGACCGGGGAAAGAGGUGAAAAUCCAAUAGGUUUUAGAUAUGUUCAAGGGAGGGCAGUUUCAGCAAGAGGGAAACGCGACCAAGAUGACCCUUAUCUUGAUCGUGACUAAUGUUUUUUUCUGUUAAGACUAUAGACGAUUAGUGGUUCCAUGGUUGUUGUCGUUGGUCAAGAACAUUGACGAGUGGAAUACAUUCUCAUAGGGCAAAUAUGUUUGGAGUCUGAUCAUGGAUUACUUGCUGAGGUGUUUCGAACCUCUUGCUGUGGGCAUAGCAGAGAAGAAGCGCUACCACCUUUACGAAUUCAUAUGGGCGUUUCAGGUAGUUUGCCAUACCCUAAUGUUUAUCAUUAUCAUUAUUCUUUUCACAUAAGAAUUUAUGAGGUGUGUAAAAAUGUUACACAAUUGAUGUGCAGUUUUAGGCGUUGGAAACAAUACUUGAAAUCAGAAGCUUGUUCGAAAGGCAGCAACAGUCCGGACAGGUUUGGCCAAGAAUGCUUAAAUGGCAAUGUGACGAGAGGCCUACAAGCUUCCACGCCAAUAUUGCAAGUUUGGAGAGAGAGGGCAAGGUGAGUAAAGAAUCCAUAUUUUUUUAUUUUAUUAAAUUUUAUUUUUACUAUCAUAGGGUAGCGAGGGUUAUACCUAAUGACAAUGUAUGUUUUGGUGCAGUUAUGUGCAGUGAGGACAUUAGAGCCAACGACAGAAAAGAUGUUAAUCGCAUAUUGGGUAGACAUUGAGGUUAAUAUCUCUGAGGGGCAGCAAUACGUUCCAUUAUGAAAGUUACAGGGUCGACCAGAAUUCAAUCCCCAACAAAAGAGGAAAAUAAUGGAUCGUAAACGAAAAAGUCCGAAACGAUGAGCCGUUAAGCGGAGAUGCACCACGGAUGAGGAGGUCCAUUUCGAGUUCGUUGCUAUUGAGGCACUUGAAUCUCCUCUUGCAGCUCUUCAUGGUGCUUCUCCUACUGCUUAUCAUGUUGUUACUCCUGCUACUCCUCUUCUUGCUUCUGUUGCAACCCCUCAUUCUGCUUCAAGUGUUGGCCCUCAUGUUGAGCCAUACAACCCAUCGCUACGUCUGCAAAUGACCACAAGCAUUAAACGAGCUGCAAAAGAUGCGGACACAGUGGAAGAAAAAGACCUCCAAUCAUUGCAGAUGAAUAUGCAGAUGUAAAUGCAUGCAAUGCAGUUGGAGAUCUAACGGGUGAUGGAGAUGCAGAUGCAGUCAUUGCAUGAGCAUAUCCAGCACUUAGUGCAAGGGAUGAAGGAUCAAAUUAUUGGUCAUUUGAUCGACCAUUUUGAGGUAUGAGAUUUUAUAUUAUUCAUCGCGUGAGUUAUAACAUGUACGAUGUAUACACUGUUCUAAUGUGUUUGAUUUUUUUUAUCGUUUAGGGUCGAUUGAUGGGUGAAGAGGAUGGUGCGUGUGACAAAGAAGGCAGCAGUAUUGGGGUUGAUCUUGAUGAUGCAGGUGGCAUAAAUUAGUCAAGUGCAUCAGCUUGAAGCUCACCUCCCGCUGGCUCGAUUGAACAUCAUCCUGCUCCUAUCCCAUUUCUAGUAAAGGUAGCCCAGCAUUUUCAGCGCACACCUUCUCUCAAGGCUCCACUUCCUCCAUCUGAGGUUGAAGAGGGACCUCAUCCUGCGAGUAGUCAAACUACAACUUCUACGUGUCCUGCUCUUGUCCCACUCCAGCAGAGGCCCCCCCCCCCGCAUAGUGAGAUCACACCUUCUCCUGAGGCUUCACCUCGACCUGAGCCCUAAGAUGCACAUGUGAGCUUGGCCAGCAAACACCUUCGAAGCCCAUACGUGAACCCGUUAUUAGUCCAGUGCAAAGCGAAGGAUGAUUUGAAGGACAAAUAUAAGUCUUUCAUGAAAAACGAGCAAGCCAAGUAAAAUGAAAAUAGUAGACGAUAUUAGAGUUAGUGCUUUUAAUGUAUUUAUUACAUAGAACUUUUGACUUUUGACAUGGGUAUUAUUAUAAAAAGGAAAUUGUAAGAAUUGACCUUCGUAGUAAGGUCACUUCACUAUAAUUUUAAUUUAACUCUCAUAUUAUUCUUUGUUGUAUCAUUUACAUAUUAUUCUUUGUAUUCAUUCAUGUGAUAAGCAUACGAGUCCAAUAAUAACAACAUUGUUUUUUUCUUAUUCAUAUCGUUAAGUCUAUUAGUAUUUUACACAAUUUACAUAACAACGUUCAUGUGUUUGCAUAUGCCAACCCCCCUUUACUUCUUUACUUUAUAGCUUAUAUGACAUGUUGAAUUGCAUUGCGUGACAUAGGUUGUAACCAGUUGAUAUUGAAUUGCGUGAAUGGUGGAGAUGGAAUUGCGUUACCAGUUGAUAUUAAUUCACAGGAGUAUUUGAUAUGAAAUCACACGAGUACUAAAUUUUGAAUCACGUCAAUAGUUAAUAUGGAAUCGAUUGACUAAUCAACUUGGAAUCGCGUGAGUAAUAAAUAUGGAUCGCGUGAACCGUUAAGAUUUAGAAUUGUGUGAGUAGUAAAUAUGGAGUGGCGUUACUAGUUAUUAUGGAAGCACAUGACUAGUUUGUGAAAUCGCGUGACUAGUUGAUAUUGACUCACGUGAGUAAUAUAUAUGGAGUGGUGUUACUAGUUAUUAUCGAAUGACGUGAGUAUUUAUUCUAAAAUCACGUGAGUAGAAAAAUGGAUUCGCAUGACUUGUUAUUAUGGAAUUGCGUUACUAAUUGAUAUGGAGUCGCGUGACUAGAUGAUAUGGGAUCGUGUGACUAGUUGAUCUUGAAUCGCGUGACUCACUUAUUGUGUGUAACGUUCUUUGAAGAAGAGUAAGCCAAUUAUCAUGGACAAUAUCAAACCAUAACCCAACUCCAAGCAUCAUCAUAACAAAAUAUCGAGUUGAACACCCUAAACCCUUGACCAGAAGUUACCCUAAACACAUGAAAGUUAAAGCACAUGUUGAGCGAAUUUAAAAAAAACAAAAUACCACAAAUUCUGUGAAAUACAAACUACAGUAUCCCUAAUCCAGCUAACCCAUAACUCUCAAAUAUGAAUGUUCAUCUGCUAUGGUUGACUCAACCAGAACCAAUGACAAUUGACUUCCUUUUUCUCUGAGGUUCAUGUCGGAGAAACUCAUCUCAUGACUGUUUCUUUUGACUCCGCUUUUGUUACCCAAAUAGCGGUAUCUGUUCUUUGCAUUAGAAGAUUCUCAAUAUUCUGUAUCCUUAAUUCUAAUGUCUGCAUUCUAGCAGUUUGAUUAUUGAGUUUCUCAUUAAUCCUCAGAAGCAUAUUGUAGAUCACAUCAUUGGAAACAGGAUCUGGAAUAACUCUAGACGGUCGACUAGAUGGAGUAUCAUGGGCAUGAUGAACUGGGCUGCCUUCGACAGAGUGCAAUGGCUCAUCAAGGCUCAAGUCAUAUCUCUUUUUCAUGAGCCAUCCAAUAGAGAGAUUACGAGGCCUGCCACUGGUCUAAUCAGCUAGAUACCUAUUGCUCCAUAUCCCUUUCUUAACUGGAGCCAAUAUGAUGUUCUCGCAUGGAAGGGUCAUUUCUUCCCCCAUGGCAACUAGUCUCAUUCUCAUGAUCAUAUAUUCUACAAUAUUCAGGCCAAUCUAGGUUUCAAUUGCUUCCAUCAUCCACAGAUUCUCAACAUUAACAUGCUUUAAACGACUGAUCCUUCCUUGUAAUGUGGACACCAGAAAAUUAUGUACUAGCUUAUCUGGUGCAGAAUUCAAAUGACGAGCAGACAUGAAUUUGUCAUGUAUGGUUCUUUUCUACCUCUCACAUGGGCCCACAUGCUGAACGGUUCAUAUAAUGGGGGAAGUUUGUACUGUCCGUGUUUGUACUCCGUUUUCAAGAGCUUCCCAAUAUCAAAGGCAGUCACUAUAAACUCUAUUGCUCCCAAAAACACGUUCAAAACAAAUGAGUGAAAAUCUCUAGGAUUUUCAAAUUCAUUUUCACUCCGGCGAAUGCUGGAGUAAAAUUCCCUAACAAGAGUUGAGCUAUAGUCAAAAUAUGGAAAGGUACUUAGACCCUUAAGUUUACCUAUAUCAAAAAACGAAUUUAAGUCACCCUUAAGGUGUACGUUUUCCUUAAAGCUUUCCUAAUCUGCCACUUUCCUGCAUGAUAUGAUGGCAUUCUCUAUUACCCUAUACCUAGCAACAUGUGAGUUGUCCCUAAACUGUGAGGUUGGGGACAGAUCAUUACCAGGUUCAAUUGAAAAACCAAUUGAUGCGGCAGGCAGUUGAAGAUCUAGUUUCCAUUUCUUCCUUGAUCGUAGGCUUGAGUAUUCAUCAUCACCCAUACUUUGGUCGUCAUUGUCACCAACAUUGGGUCUGCUUGAAAAUGCAGCCAUUCCUUAAGACAGUGCAAGAGGGUUCGACUUUAGUGGUUGAACUUACAACUAGACAUAGGUUUAAGAGAUUUUUCAUUUAAAUAUGGGUUAGGGUUUGGUAUAUUGCAAGGAAUGUGAUAUCUGCGAAUAUCACUUUGCAACAUUUGUUAUAACUAGGGGAACUGAUGAUUACAGGGAAUGUCAAUGUAAUUGCCUAGAGGAUCACAUUAUAAUGUUUGGGAAUAGAUAAGUCGAAUGGUUAGAAGAUGAUGAAACGGUAGCUAUCGAUAUAUUUAUAAUGUAUCGAUAGAUAUUUUGAUUGCUUGGAAGAUGAAACGGUAGCUAGCGAUAUAUUUAUAAUGUAUCAAUAGAUAUUUCGAUUGCUUGGAAGAUGAAAGUGGAUCAACAACUAUUGAUAUAUUUAUAAGCUAUUGAUAGAUAUUACGAUGCUUGAAAGAUGAAAGAAAUGGUAUCUAUCGAUAUAUUUAUAAUCUAUCGAUAAAUAUUUCAUUCAUAGACCACCCAUGCCGCUACCUCGUUCUUAGCAUCAAUGCCUCCAAAACCCUCUCACUCUCAAAACCUCUGAAGUUACUUGUCAAUUUGUCAGACCUUAAACUAUUUAAAGGGUUUCCCUGUCAAGUUUCGCCCACGAACUCAUAAUUAACCAAACUCAUUUUUCGUUUCUGUCGAUUAAAUCAUUUACGUCAUACUCUUUGACAUCUCUACCAAAUCGUUUUGCCUCAAAACACUGAAAGCCUCCAAAUUUCUCAUUUCCUAAUUUGGAAAAUGAGUCGCAGAACUAUACAUACAAAGGUGACUCAAAAUAGUGGUUCAAGUGGCUCUAGUGGUGUGAAAACAUCCUCAGCCUCGGUUGUCGGUUCUUUUUUGCAAAAUUUCACUCAUUCAUCGCAUGCUGAGAGAUUCAACUCCAAUUUCGCCAAACACAAGGUAAUGCCUGAAUGUGUAAUUGACUUUGAUUAUUUAAAGUCUAUAAAUUUCCCAUACCUUGCGAACUUUGAAAAUUUAGGGAGGACACAUUAUUUACAAUUGAAUAGGAAAUAUUAUGAGAAUUUGGUCUGGAUUUUUUACUUCAGUGCAACAUAAAAAUAUGUGGAGUUGGAAACAGGUCAACUGGUCAACCAUGACGAUACGUUUGUCACCCACGUCAUGGGACAACGGAUCCUUGUUACUCGUGAGCUGAAAGAACGAGUCCUUUACCUUACUUCCCUCGAAGAAGAUCUCCAUUGUGUCUUUGAUAAUGGGAACCUUCGCUCGGCGUUUAUCUACCCUCCACCAAAUGAGAGAGACAGUGCUAGUUGCACAAGGCUAAGUUUUUUUUUAUCGAGUCUUGUACCUCAUCAUCAUUCACACUAUCCUUCAUCACGGCUCGAACUACUCGACUGUCACCACAAAUGACCUUUAGUUUUUAUUUAACAUCAAAUUAAACCAUCGUAUUAACCUUGCUAAAUUCUUCAUGGAUGACAUGAUCCAGACUAUUCAAAGUGGCAUCAAAAGCCUGUUUUACUGCAUGUUGAUUAGUGAGAUCAUAGACUACUUCAAAGUUGACUCCCGUUGUGAUCCGUCAAAAAACCAUGCUUUGUUCAAUCCUAUCGAUGAGCAUAGUAUUGAAAAGCUAGGUUUUGAGUUCAAAAACAACAGUUGGGUUAAGAAAGGGGUAGUCGAUAACUCAAAAUUUGAUGAGGAGGGGAAUGAAAGAGAGCCAAGUGCAUAUCCCACGGGCGCGUCUACUACUCAAUCUAGUGCACCUAUUUCCACCAUAUUCGAUGUUGAGCAAGCUUUCACUAGACUCUUCUCAUUUAUGGAAACAAUGGACUCUAGGUUAACUGUUCGUAUGGAAUUAUUGGAGGCAUAGAAUCGUGAGAUGUUGCAGCGCCAAAAAGAAUUUGAGGAUUAAUUCUGCUCUCAAUUUCCUCCACCAUCAUGAAUUAUCUCUACAUACAUCUGUUUUACUGACUUUUUGGACCGUUCGAUUCCAUGGCUACCUAUGCAUCAGAUUUUGGUUGUAUUUACAAAUAUUUGUAUCUUUGAUGUAUCGGGUACAUUGAACUAUUGUUGCUUGCCAUGCUUUUAUGUGAGAUUGUUUCGCUUGAUUGAUUGUCUUUUGUUUAUCUUAUGCCUUUUAUGUUUUUUAAAUUACAACGGUCGAUAUUAAGAACAAGUACCAUAAAACCUUUAACCCUUCUACUCUAGCUAUCCAAACAAUGUUAUUAUUAUACAUAAUUUUCUGAGCAAAAAUAUGAAAUAGGAUGCCAAAAUCAAUCAGGCAAAUAUUAUUAAAUAUUUUAUGUUUUAAUUGUUUAUAAAGAAAAACAAAUUAUGAAGGAGUACAAUGAAUUUGAUGAUCCCACAAAUGGGCUAAGUAAUUGGAAGUGUCUGCUUUGAAACAUUCGUAUCUAACAAACUUGACCAAAUCCUACAGCUUAAAAGAAUCAUGAAAAUUCUACAAGAACCGGUACCAAAUAUUGGAUGUGCAAAUUUCUCAUGUCUUCAAAGCAAAAUAGAGUAUCUAAUUAACAAGAAUUUUCUGACUCAAGUAGGUUCAGAUCAACUGGACAUGGGUAAAGCAGCAAAUGUAAGAGAAAUUUACCCAGACUGGUGCAUUAUUUUUUUCAUUGACUGCAUCACUAGCUUAACAUGUGAGAGAAUAUCUUCUUACUCAGAAGUAAACAUGUCUAAUCUUUGUCUUGUAGCAGUGUACAUUGCAACCAUACUGGAAUCAUCAUUCAUCACUUAAGCUGACUUCAUAGGACGAUUCUUCUUACUAACAUCCGAAGCCCAACGACUAACGAUUCUUAUUUUUCUUAAUAGUAUUAUUUAAUGCAAAUAUCAAUGGCUAGUUCGAAACAAUCCCUAACAACUGACGUUUAAAGGGCCACUAUCUUCAGGUACGACACCUAUAACAUUAUCAGAGUUUGUAGUCCAUAUUGGACAGCGAUUUCGUGUGUGCCCGGGUUGUCUACAAAUUGCACAUGCCUUGGGUCAUCUUCGUCGAGCCAUCGGCUGAGUAGAUGAUGUUUCCCCUUUUGUUGGUGGAGCUACAAAUGGAGUCGGGUAAUUUUGUCUAUUAUGACCAUAGCUUUUGCACUGUAAACAUCUACAUCGUCCACUGUCUUACCCAAUUGAUGGAAUCCUUUUCCUCUUAGGUCGACUUGCUUGACCUCACCAACUUGGCGGCAAAAUGAAAAUUUGUUGCACGUUAUGGGGGAUGUCCCACUCACUGAGAUGCCCAAUCGGGCGAAUAGGAACCGCAUGUCCCUCCACUAAAGACCGAGUCUUGUAAUAAUCUGAGCAGAAUUCAAUGGCUGCACGUUUGCACUUACUACCAAGGCAAUGAAAUCACAGUUGGCGAACAAUGUAAAAAUUCAAUUCAUCAUGCAUAAAAUAACAAAACAUGAUGGUUCAUACCUUAUUGCUGCCAUGGCACGCGUGCAAGGGAGUAGAUCAGUUUGGAACUCACCGCAUGAACACGUCUUGGUGGAGAAAUUGACCAUUCUGUCCUUAGUCCUGCCUAUAACUUGAAACUCCACCCGAUCGGUUACUUGUAUGGAAAAGUGAUAUGCUUCAUUGAACCAUUUGUUCAACAGUUCGGUAGCCUAAGGGCUGAGGAGCGUGGUCAAAUUCAAUGCCUCAUUAUGCCGGUCAUGGAACCAAUGUUGAAACAUGCCUUUGAUGCAUUAGAUCAACACCGUUAUUGGCAUUUUUCUUGCAUGCCUCAAGCAGAAGUUAAUACACUCCGCAAUGUUAGAUGUCAUUAGCUUGUAUCGCCUUACAAGUGCCCAUAUCUCAAGGCCUAAUCUCAUAAGGUUGUCAUAAGCAUGUUUGCGAGCUAUUUCAACUGAUUCAUAUGUCUGUAAUAAUCAACUAGCCUAUAGAAAUUGGCAGCCAAGGUGAAAAUUAAGGCAACAACUUUGCACUUGAACCUGUUUUUAAUGUUUUUCCCUAAGUGGUAAUUGCAUAGACCGUGAUGAGUGUCCUUGUACACUUUCUCAACUGCAUUCUUAAUGCCAAGAUGCUGAUCAGAAAUGAACAUUGCAUUUUUAGGACAACCAAUCGCAUUACGCAAUUGGUUAAGAAACCACGAUCAAGACUCUUUGUCUUCAACGUGGCCAAUGCCAAAUGCAAGUGGAUAUAUCUGCUCAUUCCCAUCUUUACAUUCCACCACAAAUAGAAUACCCUUGAAUUUGCCUUUCAGAUGUGUGGCAUCGAUAGCGACUAUAGGCCGUAUUACAGCACUGAACCUCUGAAUACAUGACCUAAAUGCCCAGAAACAAUAUUUGAAUCGUUGUUCCCCAUCCGUAGCGACAUAUGUGACAAUACUGAGAUUUUCACAUUCCAACAUAUGGAAAUACGAGGGGAGGAGUUGGAAUGACUCUUCCAGGGGACCGAACACAAGACUCUCCACAUACUCUUUUGCUUACCAGGCCUUACCAUAUAGGCAUUGCAAUCCCCACUUAUGAUUCAUCUCUUCCAUUAUUUCCUUUGGUCUCAAUGUGGUUACAUAAUUUCCUUGCACCCUGGUGGAGAUAAGCUCACCAAUUAACCUCGCACUCGUAGUUCGAUACCCAUAUUGCAAACCAUCAAUAAUACAUGUGUGUACCUUCUGGAACUUUCGAAGUUGCCAAUAUUCUCCCUCAGGCAACUUCGUUGCAUGCAAAGCAAACUUGCAUGCCUUCUCCUUACAACCAACCUCAAAACGAGCAUGACAUGACUUUUUAACUCCAACCUCAAAAUGCUCUUUUAAUGCCAACAUGCUCAAAGCUUGUUUCAAUUCAGCCUUCGAUGGAAACACUUUUUCGCGAUAGAAGUGGUUGUCCAUUGAUCUAGAUUCCUCACUUCCAACUGUUUGGAAAGAUAUCAUAUCUAGCCCGGGAAUAAUCCAUUGACAAGAUACCCCUGUAUUUACCCUUUCUUGAUCACUGUCAUCAGACAAAUGAAUGUUGUUCUCAAGUGCGAUGGCGCUCUUGUCAAUAGGGUUGGCACCCUCAACAUCUUCUAAUUCAGCGGUUGUGGCAUGGUCAUCUAACUCAACCUUUUCUAACACAACAGUUGUGGUAUGACUUGUACCGCCAUUUGCAUGAUUGCAAUCAGGAAUGUUGGUCUGCUUAACACUGUCAUCCUAUGAACAGCCUUUAUGUCCGCCAACGUAAUCAUCUUCACAGUCAUCAUACAACUCAUCGUUCCAAUCCUCUGUGUCGUCCUCUUCAACAUCAUCUUUAAUCUGAUCAUAUGCAUAGUCAUCACUCACAACCAUCACAGUGUCGUUUGCGAAUGACAAUGGACCUAAUGCAUUUAUGAGCGACAGUUGUGUUUGUUGCAAAGUACCAAGUAUUUCGUUUGAUGCACAUUCCGAUCGGAAUUGUUCAGACAUCAUUUGAAGAAAUCUCAUGUGUGUGUUGGGUUGCUGAAACUCAUGAGGAUAUGUCAAAAGUGAUUGCCAUGGUUGUUUUAGGAAAUGCAUGGUGUGGUAUGUCAAAAUAAUUAACAUUCUGUUGUAGGUGAUUACUCUGUUGGAUACUGUGUUCAUGUAGAAUAUCGUUUGCAUUUCAUACCUUAACUAUCACAAACACAACAACUGCCCUCUCAUCUCGCAGAAUACUUGCUACCUCUUCAUCAUCCCUGAUAACUGCACACGAAACCCCUACAGCAUGACUGAGCGAUGCAUGUAGCUCUAUUUCAUUAUUAUGUGAGUUGACCCUAACAACCUCUUCAACCAACUUCACUACUCCCGAAAAUGACAAAUCACUCCCAACACCCCUCACUCAUGUCUCACCACCCUUGUAAGUAUCAUCGACCCAAUGACCACCAUAUGUAAUCAUAAGCUUCACAUUUGGUAGGCCAUUAAAAUUUAAUAGAAAAUAAGUGUCACAAUCAGUCAAUUUAUCCAAAAUUGCCCCUCAAUGCAUAGAAACCACUUACAGAAUGACUAAGUCACAUUUAGUCGGGCGCUAAAAUUUAACAGAAAUUAAGUGCCGCAAUUUCUAAUACACAUUCAUGCAAUGCCUAAAAACUAGUGAACAAACGUCGCAAAACAAUAGGCGAAUUGUACAAGUCACGCACCACCACUCUCGUAAUACAUAACAACAGGUCACACUAUAUAUAAAAACCAGUCAUGCAAUGCCUAAAAAACUACUGAAUAAAAGCCUCAAAAUAACACAUGAAUUGCACAAGUCACGUGCCACCACUCUUGCAAUACAUAACAACAGGUAACGCAAUAUAUAAAAAUAGUCACGCAAUGCCUAAAAAAAUACUGAACAAAAAGCCUUAAAACAACACAUGAAUUGCACAAGUCAAUCAUGCAUCGCCAAGCUCGCAACACUUAAAAAUAAGUCACUUAGUGCCUAAUAAUAAUAAGCCUCAAAACAAGAGGUGAAUUGCACAAGUCACGCACCACCAAUCUCCCAAUACCUAAUAAAAAGUCAAUCGAUGCCUAAUAUCCACUCACGUUAUGCUAACUUAUCUAGUCACAUACUGGCCCAACGUCACGCAAUACAUAACAACACGUCACCAUCUGUACUCUAUUCCAUAUACAUACAAACCACUCACACAAUGUCUCAACAAAAGAUAUGCAUUGCAUAAUUCACGUACCACGUAUAACCUAGUCUCUCAAUACCUAAUAAUAGGUCACACAAUGCCUAACAUCCACUUACAAAGUUAUUCAGCAUAAUAUAACUUAAAUAAAGAAAAUAAAAAUAAGAAAAGACAUAAGAAAAUAUAUGCUCAAUGAAAAUUAUUAAAAUAUUAUUAAUUACAUUCUCUAAAUAAAAGGAGAUGAUACAAAAAAAUGAACCGUAGUUUAUUUCUUCCUAAGUUCAUCUACUAUUUCAUAUAUCUCAGCGAGAAUCUUGUUGUUGCUCAGGAUGUCAGCCUCCAGUUCAAAAGUCCUAGCCAUCAGCUUGUCGAUGAAGGCGUGCAUCUCUUGCUGGAAUAUCUCCAACUUCUCCCUCAGAGGCAUCUCCUCCUCUUUAGAGGUUGCCUCUUCCCCAUUAUCGACUUUUGGAUCUUUGGAGGCCAUUUUACAAUAAUCUGAGAUUUAUUAGAUAAUUGAAUUUGAUUCAAAUGGUUAAUGGUUCCCUUUAUUUAUAGGCAUGAAUGUUGACUUUUCAUUUUCUACACCCAUAUAAGUGUAAUGAAGGGGGGCUAAAUUGGUUAUUAAGUACCUGUUCGGUCUGGCAUUUCAUCUUAUCUACCUCUUAAAAGCAAAAGUCAAGCCAAACAUCAUUUUCCAAGAAAUUCUUAAUAGAAAACAACUAAAAGGUUUUCUCUCUUUUUCAUUAAUCAAAAGGAUUUUAAUGUUCCAUAUAUAUAUAUCGUUUCCUCUUUUCUCUUCUUUUUUCUUAAUUUAACCAUCAUGGUUCGAUUGCUUGGUAGACCAACCAAAAUCUAAUACUAUUGCUACUAUAUAAGUCUAAAAAUUGUUUCGUUUCUUUAUUGAUUUCUUUGAUUUUAACAUCUGAAAUUAUAUAUAAACUCAAGCAUUACAUUAUAGCUUAUUAGGUUAUUGAAGAUGACACUCAAUAUCCUUUAUGGUAAUUUUAACCAAAAUUAUAGCUUAUAUAAUUUAUUUUGUUAAAUAGUUUACCAAACAACUUUAGCCUAUUUCUUUUCUAAUUUAAACAAUUUGUUAUUAAGAGGACUAAAUCAGUAUAUAAUCACUUUAAGCAUUAGGUAGAUAAAGUCACGCAAUGCCUACAAACAGGUCACGCAAUGCCUACAAACAGGUCAUGUAAUGCUCAACAAAUAUUCAGUCACGUAAUGUUCAAUCACGUAAUGCCUAUAAACAAGUCACGCAAUGCUCAACAAAUAUUCAGUCGCGUAAUUUUCAAGCACCUAAUGCCAAAUAAACAAGUUACGAUUCGUAAUAUCUAGUCACACACCCUAAUAUCCAGUGACUCAAUGCCUAACAAAUAUUCACGCAUCGCCUAUAAACUGAUUGAUUUCGCUACUCCCAGCCAGAUUUAAGUUUUCAAACUCAUAUAAUUUACCCAUCAACUUUUUCAUUCUAUGAAUAACCUUAAAUAAACCCAAGAACCCAUAACAAAUACCUUGAUGUCAUCUUUGCACUUUGCGAUUGUGAAAAAGUUGGCAACCGAUAUAGACCUCGAUGACAUUGGAGAGCUAGACGGCCAUAUAUAUAGCCCAAUGUCGUUGGAGAGCUGGACGGAGGGAUAACUAAAUCUAAAUCGAGAUUUAAUUUUGAAAUUUUUAGCUGAAUGGCAGGAGAGCAGAAAGAAAAAAAUCGAGACAUGCCUUCAUUUGGAUUAAUUGGUUUAAAGGGUAUUCUUGUCAAGUCGUGCCAAAAAUUGACUAAAAACAGUUAAAAUUAUAAAGAAAGUCAUUUUUUAAGUGAUCUUACUACAAAGGUCAUUUCUCACAAUUUUCACUAAAACAAAGCCCUAAAACCUCAAACUUUUCCCCAUUUGACUAAAAACAUUUAUUCUUUAAAAGCAAGCCACCUUUUUUGCUUUUGCUAUCUUUACACUUUUUCAUCCUUACAAAUCAUUUCAAAGCUCUAAAUUUUAGAUUUGAAGUCAAAUUUUGAUUUUAAGUUCAUAUAAAGAUAAUGUUUUACUAUUUUUAAACAACUAAUCUUGGUUUAUGAUUUCCAUAAAUUUUGGUUUAUUAAAAAUUUGUUUUUCUCUUUAAAAAUUUAUGUUUUGGAUUGUUUUGGUACACACAAGCUCACCAAAGUAAAGUUACUAUAGGCUUUAGUUAUUUGAAUUUUAAUCUCUUAGUUAGAAUUAAAUUUGGGUGUUGAUUUUAGGUUAAGAUUAAGUUAAAAGUAUAUAGAAGGAUAAAUGGUCAUUGUUACGGAUAGAAUUAGAGAACAAGGUAUUAACAAUGGAAAUUUGAACGUUAGGUGUUGUUGAAGUAGUGGGCAUUUUUAGAGAAGUCGACCUUUCGAUGAAAGUUGCUAAGAGGAAAGUCACAUUUCAAUGAGGUGGGUAGAUACGAUGUUUUUAAUUAUUUUCAUAUAAUUAAGCAUGCCUAUUUUAACAAAACAUGAGCACAUAAGUUCCAUAAGGCUGUGUUGUGAACUAUGGUUUUCUAAUAUGUUUUGAUGAAAGCUAUAUAAGUUAUGUAGAUAUGUCUAUUAUGAAUUUAGUUUUGCGCAUAGGGAAUAAGAAUCUUAAAUGUUUUGAUACCUCAAAAUUAUGAUUAUUUUCUAUGGAUUGAUUGAUUAUGUUACUUCGACAUUUUAAAUGAAAAAUGAAUUUUCUUUGAAUGGACCAUAACAUUGGGUCAUUUUGUCUUUGAGAUAUUUGUUUAUGUUAAUGAAAAUGGAUUAAUCUUGUGAAGACUCUUUUGAUUUUGUUAGUGAAUGGAUUCACUCAUUUGUUUUCGAAAUGAACUUUGGUUAGUCUUGAAACUUGGAAAAACAUUUUAGUGGAGCUUAUUAUGUUAAGACCUGUAGUUAGUGACAGUAGAUAUUAGCCAUUGUGCACAAUGCUUUGUAUCCUUUAUAGUUGGUGACUAUAUUUACCGAACCACCCUAGUGCUAAGGCAUAACUUUGUCUUGAUAGUUGAUGUGAUCUUACCUCCUUUGUUAUUCAGUUGAUCCCUAUAUGCCUGAGACUCACUUUGCUAUUGGUUCUUCUUAUUGGUGCUCCUAACUCAAUUUAAUUUGAUUUAAUGUGUCAAUUUUGAUGACUUAAACAGAAUGAUUAUUGGACUUGUUUGAGAACAUAGAACUAUAUUUUAUGUUGGAAAAUUUGGUUUUGUGAAAAAGGUAUCGAGACUUCAAGUUGAAGUAUCGAUAAUUUCUCUUUGGAAUUCUUAGAAUUGCAUUAUAUUUGAAAAGUAUCGUUACUUUGAACAAAAGAAUUGAUACCACGAGUCCGCAAGGUCUUAGGAGACAUUCUGUUUGAAAUUUAUCAAUCCACUUGAGCAAUGUAUCAAUAGUUAAAGCUUAUAUAAAAAUUUCAAAAUUUUUGACAGUAUUUUAAAAAUUCAAAUGGUUUGUUUUUAACUAUUAAGUUUUAUAAACACUUGAUUUUAUUGAAAAUACUUUGAAACAAUAGAGUUACAUUUUUUGAAGUGAAUUUUGAAAAUAUUGGAAAACUUGUUUAAUUGUAAUGAACUUCGAAACAUGUUUUAAGAUUUUAAAAUAAAAAUAAUUUUGUUUUGAGCUAUUAAACUUUAUAAUUUAUGUUUUCCUUUGAACUACUUUGAAAAGAGUGGAUACGUUUGGAAAGCGAAAUUUUGGAAAUAAUUGGAAAUUUGAUUUGCGCCUAUGGAGUGAACUUUGGAAACAUUUGGAAAUGUGAUAACGCUUACGAAGUGGACUUUGAUAAUAUUUUUAGAAAUUGUUAAAUUUCAUUAAUUUGAAAGUCUAUUUGUCAAACACUAUUUUGGUUAAGCUUGUUCCCCCUCCUUGUAUAUGCUCAUAUAGUUAUUUAUAACUCACACAUGUAAGAUGUAUUGGUUAUUUCAGAUUAAUAGAUUGUUUGGCUUGUUGUCCUUUAGGAUGAGUUGCUAUUUCUAUUACAGUUGGUUUGGGUAGGUGUUCGAUAAGGCAUCCAAUAGGCGUUAACCCCUUUGUUUUGAUUUAUACUUUGUUGGUUUGGUCAUGUUUUAUUUGUUAUGUAUUUUGAACUCUGUUUAAAUUUUGUAACAAGUGUUAUACUUUGGAUUUGCCAUGAGGUGGCUUAUACUUUGAUAUUUUAGAAAUGUUUUGCUUCCGCACUUUGAGCACGGGAUCUUGCACAUUGAUAUAUUUUGACUUUUGAUAUAUAUAUGUGUAUGUGUGUGUGUACAUGUAUUGUACAUGAUUUCAUGAUGGCAUGUCCCAUAAUGUAAUUUGAGUAAUUGGAUUUAUUUGUUUAAGGCUUGUUUAGAUUAAGUGGGACCUUUCCAUUAUACCCUUGUACUGGUCAUAGGUUUUUGGUUGGGAUCGUGACAAUCUUAAUAUUAGAGCUCUAGUUUUGUCUAAGUCCUAGGCAUUUUGUUUUGAGUCAUCAAAGUUGUUGGGUUUCCAUGUCAUAUCUUAUUUUCGUUUAUGAACUACAAUGCAACCACAAACGAGAGGCUACAUGGAUUUUUUUGUUUUUUUAAAACCUACCUUUUGUUCAUUUGUAUUGAGUUUAGUGUUCACUCUUAUCUAGGUAAGGUUGCCACUUAGGACUUGAGCUAUAGUUAAGGGUACACCAAAGCAUGAUGCUCCCCUUGAUAUGUAUACGAGGGUACAAACUUCCACUGAUAGAGGGAAUGGUAAAAGAGGUAGGACCCUCAAAUUUGCUAAGGUAGAGACACCUGUAGUUGGACCCAUUGAUGCUCAAUCUCAAGAGGUGAGAGAUGAGAUACCUAUUGGGGAAACUCUAGGAGUUUGAGUCUUUGGUGUAAACCUUGGGGAUGACAGUGGUAGAGUAUGAUGUCAAGUUCACUCUGUUGGCUUGAUAUGCACCAUAACUUGUUUCCACAAAAAGGAUUAAGAUUAAGAGGUUUAUGGAUGGAUUUGUGAGGACUUUGUUUAAAGGAAUGGCAUCUCAAGACUUUGAUUCCUAUGCCUCAACCAUGGAUUGUGCUUAAAGGAUAAAGAUGAGGAUUGUUGAGACUCGAACAGCUAAUGAGGGGUCCAAAAAGGCCAAGACUAACCAUCAAAGGGAUUUUAGAGGUAGUAAAGGAUCUUUUUUUACAUUACAGGUUAACUAAAAGACACUCAAUCUUCCAUUAGGGGAAUAGUUCUAAAGGUAAUGGUGCUAGAAGAGAUAGGCAUGAUGGUAGACCACCCAAACAGUAAACUUGAGGGCAUGACUGUCAAUUUACUCCAUUGUGGCCUACUUAUAAUAAGAGGCACCAAGGACAAUGUUGUAAGGAGAUCCUUUCUUGUUUCACCCUUUUUUGUUUCACAUGUGGUUUACUUGGACACAUCACUAAGAACAUUCUUGAGAGCCAAUAGUCACAAGGAUCUACCUAACUAGUUAUACCACUUGCUCUUAUUGCUACACAACCUAUCAAAGAGGUUAGAGCAUCUAAGGGCAAAGGUGCCGCUAAUGCUUGUCCAGGUAGAGCAUCAAGGUCUAAAACUCAAGGUACAACUGGUUGAGGACAAACCAGAGUUUAUGCAUUGACCCCACAAGAUGUAAAAGCAUCCAAUACAAUUGUCUCAAAUAUUUUACUUAUCUAUUCGAUUAAUGCACGUGUGUUAUAUGAUCCCGGUGCUAUGCAUUCAUUUGUUUCCUCAUAUUUUGCAUCAAAGUUAGGCAUAAAGUGCUCCAAGAGGGAGUAAGGUCUAGUGGUAACCACACCCCCGAGAUAGGUAUUUUGUCAUAGAACAUGAGUAUAGAGCUUGUGUAGUCUGAAUUAAGGAGAAUGACACCUAAAAAAAUUUAGUGUUGUUGGAUACACUUAAUUUUGAUGUGAUACUUGGGAUGGAUUGGUUAUCUUCUAACUAUGUUGUGUGGACUGUUACCAUAAAAGGGUAAAGGUUGAAUACCCUGGAGAGAUAUCAUUCUAUAUUCAUGGAGAUUGCAACAUUGGCUCAAGUAGCAUGGUUUUGGCCAUGACUACUAAUAUUUUCACGAGACAUGAAUGCCAAAGACUUUUGGCAAUAGUCUUGGAUACCCAAGUCAAUAUGGGUAAUGUUGCAAAUAUGCCAGUUAUGGGAGAUUUUUAUGAUGUGUUUUCAGAGGAAUUACUCAGAUUGCCUUCAGAAAAAGGAGAUAAAGUUUUGUAUAGACUUGGUGUAAGACACUAAUUUGAUAUCUAUAUUGCCUUACUGAAUGGCACUUACCAAGCUUAAGGAGCUCAAGGAUCAACUAAAGGAUUUACUAAACAAAGGUUUCAUAUGCCCUCAUGUCUCACCAUGAGGUGUACUAGUAUUGUUUGAGAAGAAAAAUGAUGGUUUGAUAAGACUUUGUAUCGACUACAAGCAAUUGAACAAAGUGACCAUAAAGAACUUCUAUUCUCUCCCAUAUAUUAAUGAUUUGUUUGAUCAAUUACUAAGGGCAAAGUGUUUCUCAAAGAUUGACUUAUGAUCAGGCUACCAUCAAUUGAGGAUUAGAGAUGGGGACAUACCGAAGAGUGUUUUUGGCACAAGGUAUGGUCAUUGUGAGUUUUUGGUUUUGUCAAUUCGUUUGACUAAUGCCCCCAUAGCUUUUAUGGAUAUGAUGAACAAAGUGUUAAAACCCUAGUUGGAUAUGUUUGUGGUUGUGUUCAUUGAUGAUAUUUUGGUAUAAUCAGGAAGUUGAGAAGAACACGAGCAACAUUUAAGGAUUGUGCUACAGACUUUAAGGGAGCACUAGUUGUAUGCCAAGUUCUCCAAAUGUGAGUUUUUGUCACGACCUAAACUCGAGGGUUUGUGACAAGUGCACGAGCCCAAUAGGCAAAGCCCAUGUGACCCGAGUAAGCUUAAGAAUUCAAUCAUACUCAAAUACUCAAACAUAAGAUCACAACUCCAAUCUAAGCAUCAAACUUUUGGAUUCCUCAAAUAUGUUCAUAAAAUUGUUGCCUAAGUAUCAUAAGGAAUAAUUUCCAAAUCUCUAACUCAUCGUAUACAACAACCAAAAAUUAAGAUUAAGAUUGCUUGGUAUUAAUAUUAACAAAAAUUAUGAAAAUAAUUCCCUAGCAAUAGUGCCAAAAACUUAUUGUUGGAUUUACCAUGCAAGUGUAUGUAUCAUUAACAAGUAAUAUAAUAAAAAGUAAAGUUCACUCCCAUUGAGAAUUGCCCAAAUCCAUUUGAUAAGUACUAAAAUUAAAACAACUUAAUCUUAUUCAAAUAAUCGAAUUUUAACACUACUGAAAAUUAGAUAAACAAAAACUAGAACUGAAAGCAAAAAUAACAAUCUAACUAAUUAAUCAACCAACCAAAAGUCUAGAACCACAAUAUCCCCUCAAUAUUUCACCUGAGUCUCUUCUAUAAUUUUUUACUUACUAUAUAAGCCUAAGCUAUUAACCUAGAGUUCUAAUUUAUUUAUAAGUCUCUUUCGAUGUUCUUAUAAAACUAUCUUCCUUAAGCAAUUUACUAUAUUCCUAUGAAAAUUGAAAUCAAGGAAGACUCAUUAAGCUUAUACUCUAAUUAUGGCUACAUAUGACAUGUAAGUGUAUUCUUACCCUACAUGCAAAUCAAAUUAAUCAUCUUAUGCAAUUGAUAUUGAACAUAUGCUAUUUCAUCUAUAACUUACUCUAAACUCUCUUUUUUAGUUUCGUUUAGGUUUUCAAAUCAAUCUAAUUGGUGGCCAAUUAAUCAAACACAUUAAGAACAAGAUUAAAAUAAACAACUCAAACACUAUCAGUCAUUAGUAAGAAAGAAUAUUAAAAAUUCAAAUUACGCAUUGGGUUUAAUUACAUUUCUAGAUUAAAAAAUUAUUUCAACAUAAUUCCUGAAGACAUCAUCUAAAAAAGAAAUUUAACCAUCAAACUGAACAAGAAAGUAUGGAGAUAACAAGAAAACAAAGAACUCCAAUAUUUAUCAAGUCUUUGAUCUGCAAUUUUCCUUGCUUUCCUUGCUUUCUUGUUAGCUUCAAUGCCUCUUUUUCUUUAAAAAAACCUUGCUUAAUACUUACUUAAAUCUUGCUAUGGAAGGGUUGUUUACAUAGGCUUCAAAACCAAUGAGAAUAGAAGUAAAAAACAACUCAAAUUCUAGUCUCUAUGUUGGGGGCCCGACUGUGGAGCUAGGUGGCCCGACCACGAAGCUUGACUUUUAUUUUUUAAAUUUCCUUGUUUAUGGCCAUGGCCAUGGGCAGGUGGGGGCCAUGUCCACAAACUCCCUGAAGGUUCAAAGCAUGAUGGUGUAGUCGAGGGGAUGCAGCCACAAAGUGGUGAAACUCGCAGCCACUAAAUGUGCACUUUCAAUUUUUAGGUUUUACUGCACUAUUUUGAAUUUUGAUGCAAUUUUCUCCUAGUUGGAGGCUGAAUUGGGAGACAUAGUAAACAUGAAACUUUUAGAUCUGUCUCUUAUGUUUCCAAGGGUCCAAGAAUCACAUCAUUUGGACCUCUAUAGUGGAAGAUAUACUUGAAAUACCAGAACGUGUGCAAUGAAAGUUUGCACCUAGAAUGCACUCUCCUACUUCAAUUAAAAUCCUUUAUCAUAACACGCCUACAAAAGUACAAUUUAAUCAAUAACGGCCAUACUUAGAAAAAUCAACAACUAACUUAACCUAAAAUAAUCUACAUUCAAUUGACCCAACAUAAUUUACUUAUUUUAAAAUAAAUAGCUAAAACACCUAAAAAUUUAAGAUAAAACUCAAGAACAUGGCAAAUUGUUAACCAAAAUUAAAACCAAAUAACUCUAUAUCAUAGAGUUAUCAAGUACUAGCCUUAAAGUCUAACUAAUAAUCAAGUGCAAAAUUCAGUCCGUCAUGGACAGCCUAGUAAUUGAGUCAAGAGCACUAAUAUUAUUCACAUAAAGAUCUCUCUCUAAAUCUUGCACUACUGGAUUAUCACCAAUGUAGGUGAAUGCACCAAGUGCACUAUGAAGUCCAAACACAUCCUUAAUCAGCUCAGGAGUUAUCUUGAUUAAUCUACCCAUGAUGUAAGUGGUGAAAGCAUUAUCAUAAGUAUGAAGUGCAUCAUUCUCAUGCCUAUAAUUUACAUUUGCAUUGCUAUAGAAAACUUUAACCAAAUUUUCAAACACAGGGAUGUUCAAACUCAAAUAUUCAUGCCAGCCUAAAUUUCUAAAGUUCUCAAUAUAAAGGAAACCAAACUCUCGUAAGAUUUUAAGAUCAAUUACACGACCAUGGUAGACGGUUCUUGAGGUGAAAAGAUUCUUGUAACAAUCAUAAACAACCGCAUUAAAGAAGUUUAGAGCAUCUAAUCCAAGAUUGACACAAAAAUGGGUAUAAGUACCCAUCCAUCAACCAAGAGUCAACGGAGAGAAUGGAGAGGGAAAAAAUAGAGAAAGAAAUGCUUUUGGAAGGCAAAAAACUUUACUUUUAGUAGUAAGGGAUUGGUUUUGGGAAAAUCUAAGGGUUUACAAUUGGUGAAAGGGAAAGAAGAGAGAAAAGGUGUUACGUCGCUAAAGAGAGAAAAGCUUUAGUAAAAAUGGAGCUAGGGUUUUAUUUUAGGUUUAUAUAGUGAGAGUACUAAACGACAUCGUUAAAAUGAAAAUAAAAAAAUAAUAAUCAAUUGGCGCCAUAGCUUGGUUGCUUGGUUAGAUUGUAGUUUUGUGUUGGUACCACAACUUGAUUGGUUGGUUGGACUGUAGUUUGCUUUGAUUGAGGUCAAUUUCAAUCCAAUCUUAGCCUAUGGUCUAUUCGAAGUAGCAAGCUCUAAAAGAGAGUAGACCCAAUUCACAUAAAGAAUGUAUGGGCUUAUUUUCUCUUUUCUUUAUCAUUAUAUUUUGGUAUUUAUUUUAAUUUUUAUUCUUAGUUUGUUUGUUUUUCUUUAUUUAUUAUUUCAUUUUUAUGGUAACAAUAAAACCAAUAAAAAUAUAAAAAUAAAAAAUAAUAAUAAAUAAAUAAACAUUGGAAAUAUUUAGUAAUUUGAAAACUAUAUCAUGAUAUUCACUUGUGAGCUUAGCUUUAAAAAAAUUAAUAAAUAUAUAAAGGAUUUAUAUUUGAUACAUUGACAGUGUAUAGAAGCUAUAUAUUGUCAACUCACCAAAUGUUUCCACCUUAUUAAUGAGAUAAAACUAAAAUUUUUUUUGUUAAAUGUAAAUAUUAAAAAGUUGUUAAUAAUUAAUUAAAUAAAAAACAUAAAAAUCUCUUUUUCUCUCUCUCCAACUCCCUCACAAUUUUUUUAUUGUUUUUUUUUUUUUAUCUCUCUCUAGCUCAAUCUUCUACUCCCUUCUUCUUCCAUUAAAAUUAAAAAUUAAAAUAUAUCACUUUUCCUCAAAACCUUUCACCUCAUUUUCUUAUUCUUUCAUAGGCAUUCAAACUUAAAUCUUAUUGAAUUCUUAGGAGAGAGUGUUGCUGAAACCCUAAGAGAGAGAGAAAAAGUGAAGAAUUUGGUAUGGAGAUUUUCUUUUUGUUGAGAGAAAGAGAGAGAAAAAGGAUUGUUGAACCAAAAUGCCUUGUUGCUCAACUAGAAAGUAAUUCUUUUGUUAGUUAGCACUGAAACCUGAUGGGGUGGGCAGCAGGUCAAUUUGACCACCAAUUGCGAUAAAGAAUCUUUUCUUAAGUUGUGACUGUAGGGUAGUAUUAGUGUUAGAAAAAUUUUGGAAGAAUUUGAAAAACAUUUUGUCACAACUUCUAUUGGAAUUUUAAUUUGAUAUUAAGUUGAUGUUAGUUAAGUANGUUGAUGUUACCAGCUUUAUCAUUUACCUUUAAUGGUUAUCACAUUAUAACCUUAAAUCAAACUAAAAGUAAAAUCCUAAUUUAUUUAUUUGAAAAGAAACAAUUGGUUAUCACAUUAUAACUCUAAAUCAAUUGUAAGAAUAACUUAAAAAAAAUCUCUAAAGUCAAUAAGUAAAAAUUAUCUUGAAAUCCCUUGAAGUUGAAUAGUUUUGCCAAACCUAAUUUUAAGAGUAAAAUACUCUCACCCUCUAACUUUAAGUCAUAAUUUCAUAUGGGUCCAUUAGUUUUUGAAAUGGACAAUGAGACCAAAAGUAUAAACACCGUUAACAAAAAAUAUGAAAGACUAAAAUGGCCUUUAUUUUUCUCUCAUUUUUUAUUCUCUCAAACAAUAUGGUUAGUUGGCGAAGCUCCCAGUAGCCAUCUUCUCUCUUGAUCUUUACCUAUCAUUAGUCAAUUUCUAACUUUUUUUUCUCAAUAGUCAAUUUCUAAUUUGCGAGUUGAUCGUAAAGGUUUCCAUAUUUCAUCCUUUUUUUGACUCAGGGUUUCACAUAUUCGAUACAUUAUGUGCUUUGUAGUAUUGUAAUAAUUAGCCAAUUUCAAUUCCAAUGAUUUACUGUGUUUAGGACGUAAUUAAUUAUUUAGAUGUGAUUUAUUAGAUGUAUACAUUAUGUGCUUGUAGUAUUGUAAUAAUUGGGCAAUUCAAUUUCAAUGAUAUACUGUGUUUAGGACAUAAUUAUUUAUUUAAUUGUGAUUUAUUAGAUAUAUAGUUAAAAUUCAACAUUAUUGUUAAUGGACUGUUAAAAAAUUGGUCUAGCAGGGUUGAAUGUUUAUCUUUUCUCAGUGGAGACCGUAAAUUUUAUUGAAAAAGAUGAAGAAUUUACCAUGAUAAAAAGUUCCCUAAAAAAAGAGGAAAAAGGAGCGAAAGAUCUUUGUUUAUAGUCGUCUCCAAAGUCCAGAAAGCCAUACUCCAAUUGAACAAAAUCAUGACAUAACAAGGUCAAACUAAGAAGAAUUCAAACAUGUAUUCUUAAUCUUUCUUGAAAGGAUUACAUAAAUGGCAUAUGAACUACAAGGUUACAUUUCCAAGAAAUAAUCUUAUUGAAAGUAUUUCAAAUAAUUUUUUUCCAUUCGCUUGUUAAAAAUAUAGAGCACAACACGACAUAGGUUAUCCUACUUCUAGGUUCCGGGACAACGAGGCAUGCCAGAGGCAGGCGGCGGAAGGAUGCUUGUUUCAACGGUGGUUCCAUUCUUCACAAUGAAAACAGUGUCCAUACCCCAGCUACUAUGCCUUUCGAAAUGACAGUGCAUAAACCAUACCCCUGCAAAAAUAUAUACGUCAUUCGUAUCAAUAACUCACUCUCUGACUUGCAAAAGGACGAGGAAGAGUUCUCUUUCCUUCAUUUAAUUCAGAACUUACCGGGAUUAGUUGCAAAAAAUCUGACGGCAACCCAUCCUCUAGCAGGAACAUGGACAGUGUUAAUUAGUGGUGGAUCAACCAAGUUGUAAGAGCUAGGAUCGGUGACAUUAUUGAAAUUUCCCGAGCCAGUCCCGACCCAAUAGAAACUGAAACCGUGCAAAUGCAAUGGAUGACUUCCGCCACCACCUAAUUCGGUUGCUUGGAGAACAAUCUCAACUGCUUCACCGAAAUUUAGAACAACGGCCUUUGUCCCUAGACUAGCAUUCGGAUUAAAACCAGCCAAUUCUCCAGUGAAGUUAUAGAACUCGGGUGGCUGAAGGGGAAAGUCUUCCGUGAAAACACCACUGAUACUCCUGUCAUAAGAAAAAUGAUAAUUAUUAGCUUUAGUAAUGAAAUAGAAAAGAUAGGAAGGCCACAAUGGCAAUAGCUCCAAACAACAAAUUGUAAUAAUUAAAUGUAAUACACAUGCUAUCCAUAUACCUGUUGUAGUAUGCUUGGAGAAUGUCAAUUUGUGGAAAAUCAAAACUAACAUUGUUCAAACUUGCAGCUGAUCGAGUCUGUUGAAAAUUACAAUUAUCGCAAGGUAAAUUAUUUGUGGCAAUUGCAAUGUAGACACGCCUAUCGAUAUCCAUCGGUACUUUCAUUAGCGGAUUUUGUGUGACGUUUGCAUUUUUAAUUCGUCUGGUGAAGUUAGCUGCAGCAUCUAAAUCAGUCAUUGCGGGCAGCGUUAUUAAGGAAGCAUUCAAUCCACCAACACUGUUUGUAUAUUGAAAAACACCCGUCGUGAUAUUAUUGCGAGGUGGAAAAGCGCUAUCAGAGAAAGGCCUAGUAGCCAUGUAAUACUGGCCAAUGUUUUGGUUUGCAAAGACCAAAACAUCCAUGGUUUGCCCCGGGCUUAUCAUUAUAUAGUCGUUUGUAAAAAUUUGAACGUAGGAAGCAUCUUGUGCAACGACUGUGAGGCUGUGAUUUGCGAUGGCAAAGAAUUUCUGUUCAUUCAUUGCAGCAUUGAUUAUGCGGAGAAGGUAUGUCUUCUGGUAAUCAACUUGCAUACGGAAUAAAGUUUCUGCAGCAGGUCAUGUAAAUUGUGACUACGAGAAGGUCAAUUUAGAAACAAGAAUAACAGGAAGAAAGUUCAAAUUAAGGAGUAACUAUUCCUGAUUUGAGUGCUAGAAGAACUUCUAUUAAUGAUUGGCAUACGUACCAUUGGCACAUGUGUACGUGUCUCCUAAAUGCCCAUUGAUAGCGUAAGCAUCUGGUGAAGCUACAGGCGUACCGUUUGAAGUUGCUUCAUCAAUAAGUUCUUUGUAAUCUCUAUUAUACCAUGAUUCUGUCAAUAAAAUAAAGAAACGAGAUUAAGAUUUUCAUAUAAUUUAAAUAAGACAAACGAUGGGGAAUGUUUUUAUGCGUAUCAUUUUAUGACCAUCUAUUUAGUCAAUUAUAAAAAGAACAAUUUUGAAAAGAUAUAAAUCCAUACGAAGAAUGAUUGUUUGAUCUGCAUCAGGCGUAGGAAAUGGAUAAGUUUCAUUCUCAGCAGGUAAAAUGACAAAGGCACCAUGGACGGAGCCACGAGUCCAAUCACUGUGGGCAUGCCACCAUAAGGUUCCUAUUUCAUCAGACAGUAUAACUUCAUAAGUGAAGUUUGUUCCUGGUUCAAUCGGGCACUGUGUUACGUAUUCGGGGCCAUCUGACCAUGGAUUUCUUGGUUGUUUCACACCGUGCCUAUCAAAGUAAUUUUCAAUGAAUCAAUAUUUAAUGAAAGCAAGAAGUGAGAGAGAGAGAGAGAGGGAGAUUGGUAAUUACCAGUGAAUGGUAAGGCCAUAGUUCCCUUGAUUGUGGACAUUAACAUACACAGUGUCCUCUCUGUGAACCCGAAUCUCCGGCCCAGGAUAACUGCCAUUUACGACCAACAUCGACUUGGUGGUGUUACACAGGCUUGUAAAGUUCGUCUCUCGUACCUGCAACCAAAGACGCAAGCUAGAUUAAAUCUCAAUCUUUCAAUCACUGUUAAUCUUCACUCUCAGGAGCUUUGCCACGAUUCUUGGAGUCAUAUACUACUAUUAUUAGAAAAACCUGAUGCAUAAUCAGUUAGAGUAAACAAGCACUUACAAAGAACUCAUAGUAGUGGACGUCUGCCCUGCAAAGGAGCAGGGUACUUUGAAACAAAACCCCUAGCAACCACAAGACUAAAUCUUGCUUCAAUAAACCCAUUACUGUUCUCUCAAACUUUUCUUUUUUUCUCUCUAAUUAUGUGUUCGUCAGGUCACCUCCUAUUUUCUUCUGUGAUCUUUGGGGUCAGAAAUUUUGACAAUUUAUAGAAGAAAACGUGUGCUCCAAAGUUUCUUCUUGGAAGUCUAAGUUAUUGACUGGGUCUAAGCUUAUUGGAAGUCUAAGUUAUUGAAAAUUCCAAAGUAAAUGCCAAACCUCAAACAUGGCAUUCAGUCAAUAAAUACGAAUCACGUCUCCAGGCACCAGGCAUCCAUCGGAUUGUACAUAAAACCAUGUAAAAGUCUGCCCAUGUUAAUAUAUUUUUCUGAAGUUUUCUUUAUCUUAAUUGUGCUUGUGAAAAAACGCUUGUCUUAAGGUUAAUAAAUAGGUUUCGGUGUCUCAAGUCAGGUUGUUCGUUGUGGUUCUGUUUUUUUUUUUUUUUGAUCAAGCAUUUAUUUAAAAUUUGUUAAGUCAACAAAAUAAGUUGGGCAUAGUUCACACAAAGGUCAAUAAUUUUGAAUACAUGAUUUUUUUUUGCUUAUAUGUUUACUCAGGGGCGGAGCUAGCCAAAUUUUAUUAGGAGGGCCAAACACAGUUAAAUAAAAGUUAAAAAUUUUAAAAAAUUAAUAUGUUAAAUUCAAUCAAUAAUAAAAAUAUUGGUAAUAGAAAUAUGAAACUAAAUAUAAAACUAUAAUUUGUAAAAUAUAAAUAGUUAAAAACGAUAUAUAAGAGUAAUAAUUUUUUCUUAUAUAAUCAGAAUUAUUUAAAUACUAUAUAUUCAAGCAAAUUUCAUUUUAACUAAAUAUAAAAUGUAAAGUAUAUAAAGACAAUAUGCUCAAGUUAAUUUCCUCUUACAUAAUCAGGAUUAAUAAAAAAAAUAAUACGUUGAUGAAAUUUUAAGUAACAAUAUAAUAUUACAAUUUAUAUUUGAGAACUAUAUAAUAAUUUAUUAAUUUUUAAAGAUUAAAAUCAUGGACAAUAAAAUUUAUGUAACUUAAAAAUGAAGAACAUGGCAAGUAGAAGGUAGCUACCACAUAUUACAUAACAAAAAAGAAAGAAAAAGAACCUGGUUAAUGGUUUGUAGAAAUUUGGGAAAGAAUAUUUAUAAAAACUUAUAACAUACGAAUAAAUAGAAUAAAAAUAAAUAAAUAAAUAAAUAAAUAAAAUAAUAAUAAUAUAAAUUAAAAAAUUUAAAGUUGAGUGAGAUAAGUGAAAUCAUUUUAUUAUUUUUUAUUUAUAUUAAUCAUUAAAUAAAAUAUUAUUUUGAGGGAGUAAGUAAUAAAAUAUAUAAAAAAGUUUAAAAAUUUUUAUAUGUUAUGAAAAAAAUUUUAAAAGUUUUGAGGGGGCCAUGGUCCCCCCAUCACAUAAGGAGGCUCUACCCCUGUGUUUACUGAAAAUAUUAGAUUUUGUCAAUAGUAAAUUUUGAACUUAUAUUAUUUAAUUUGAUUUUUCUUUUAUAUAAAAACCGGCUUAGCAUAUUUGGUCUUGACAAUAAUCUGAUUAAGUGGGCUAGAUUUCAAUAUUACAUGUAAACUUAAAAAUAUAAGCCUCAAUACGAAAAUUUAAAACAUUGUAAUAAAUAGAAUUAAAUAUUCACUAUAUAAAGGAAAGGUUAUAACAUCUCAUUUCCUUUCCACAACUACAUUAAAGUCUCAGUUAUUGAAAAGUUAGCUAAAAAAAGAUGAAGAAGAUUCUAAUACAUUGAAUCCCAACAAUAAUGUGAUUAGUAUUAUUUAUGUCAAUGAAUCAUGUAUCAAAAGUCAGGCGUAUCUUUAUAUUCUAAAUUCUUAUUAUAAUAAAUCUUGAAUUAGUAUGAAUUUAUUAUAUAUAAAAUCUAACAAAAAUUCUCAAAAAAGAAAAGUUAUAAUUGAUAUCUUUUACCCAUUCAAUCAAUUUUGAAUUCAAUGUUACCAACUAGUUAACUAAAGCUUGUAUUUUCUGUAUGGGAACCAAAUUAAGGUUGGUUUGUUAAGACAGAAGCUUCCUUAAGCAACUGAAGAACAAGCAUCAGAAAAAGUAUUCAAGGAAAAGUAAAGGCGGAAAGUUUAUCAUUAUCCCUUUGAAUGUUACUACUUCAAUCAGCCUGCCAUGCACGACUAUAUUUGUCAACUUUUUCCCAGGUUAGUUAUUGGAAAAACACACGAUUGAGAUGUAUCCAAUUAAUGCUUCUAGGAAAGCUCCCUAAGAUACGCUUCUAGUAAGUUAUAUGAUUUAUACUAAUAAAAAUAUAAUCACAUUAGUUAACAGUGAUGAAUAUAAUCAUAGAAUUAAAUUAAAUAUAAUCUAUAUCAUGAACUUAAUUGUACUUGUUAUUGAUAUAUUUUUUAUUUUAAAAAUAUUUAUAUUUUUAUUAUAUAUCAAUAUUAGUGUUAUCAAAAAAUAUAUAAAUGUUAAUGUCAGCAUAUUCUUUUGAUGAUAACAACGUAAUCCUAAAAUUCAAUCAUCAUUCAAAACAUAACAUUUGAUAAUAAAAUUAUUUCAUUAACAAAUUUUGAUUCAAUUUUUAAUAACAAAUAUCAUAAAUUAUAACAUUCUUUGUUUAUAUUUCUUAUGUAGCUGUGUAUAAGUAUAUUAUAUUUGAAACAUAGCAUCGAAGAGGCUAAGUUGAAAAAAAAAAACAUAGCACUGAAUAAACGUAGAAUUUAAAUUCAUUCACAACAUUUAUAAAUUAGUAAUUAAAAUUUAUAAAAUAUUUUUACUAUUAUUUUACAUAAAUUAUAUUAUUAUUGAUAUAAAAUUUUAAUGUAUUCAUCAUUUUCUUUUCCCAAUGAAAUUAUCAUUUAAUCAAUUACGUAACCAUCUUUACUCUUCUUUUUCUUUUUCUUCCAUCUUUCCUUUCUUUCGUUUCCCUUUCCUUCCUAUCUCUCUUUUUCCCUAGCAAAAAGCAUUGACACAUGACAAUCAAUUGGCAGCUUAAUUAAUGAGCUGAGAAUCAAUUAGAAAUUGUCUCCACUUGGGAACAACUUAAUUGUAUGUGUAGAUCACUACAACGUGUAAAUGCAAUAAAAGUGAUGAUAUUAUUUGUUAUUGCAUUAAUUAUAAAUUAGGUAAUAUAAUUCAUUUUAUUAUUUUUUCUUUAAUUAUUUUUAAGUGAAAAAAGAGAGCAAACAGUGCGUUUGGAUAAAAAUAACAAUAUGUUUGAAGUAUUAUAGUUAAAAACAUGUAUUUGUUUUAGAUAAUAAAAUCAAUAAUUCUCCUUCUAUAGAGAUUAAUUAUAUUAUAAUCCAUGUCAUGCUUAAUUACUUGUUCAAUUUUAAUCAAUUAUUGCCUUCCCAAAAACUCUAAUCAAUUAAUUUUUUUUGUUUAAAAUAAUAAUUCUAUAUAUCAACAGUAGAUUUACCCUCUCGCCGUAAGGCUAACAAGGGAGAUUGCUCAGCGCCACUGCUUAUAGGUCACCAAAGACAAUCUUCCCUACUUGAUGUGGGAUUUUUGGAAGCACUCUACCUGCUUUCUUCCUGAAGUGUUAGGCAUGACAAAACAAUGUAGUUAAUUAAAAAAAGAGAGAGAGAGAGAGAGUAGAGCGUUUUUUUAAAGGUAGGCAUGAUGGAGGAGUAGCAGCCAUGGGUUUCAGUCAACAAGCACUAGGUAUCGUGGGCAAUCUAAGAUAGCACGGUGGAGGAGAUCUCUUUACACGGUCUUUGUUGAUUAUAUGGUAAUGUCAUGGGCUAGCAUCAAAUCAGUGUUUGAUCAGUUUGGCGUUGUGGUUGAUGUGUUCGCACCAAGGUCCAUUACAAGGAAAGGUAGGCAUUUUGCUUUUGUGCGAUAUAGGUUUGCCAGAGAAUAACAUAUGGAAAUCCUUCAUGGGGACGGAAUGGUUGUUUCUGGCCAUCGAAUUUUCGUUAAGAAGGCUUUAAAAAGCGGGUUGCCCAGACAUGAUACACCACUAGGUAGAAUAAAAAACCAUUUUCCUUAUCAAAAUUCCUUUAGAGAUGCAGUAGUGAAUGGCCAUCAACCUGGAAAGAAGGAUACUCGAGCACAACCAAGGGUGAUUAGAAUGAAGCUAGGGCUAUGGACAAUGAUAAGGAGAUGAAUGCUCGAGUGCAGUCAAGGAAGGUCAAGGACAAACCUAAGGCUGUGGAUAAAGGUAAGGAAAAAAAUGGUGCUUGUGUCUUCAUACCUAAAUUGAAUGAUGUAUGGUUGAAAGAAAGUGCGUUGGGUUUUGUUUGGGAGGGUAUGUGUGUAGAAAAAAUUGAACAGACUUCGAGUGUUAGUUACCUUCUAAAAUAAAGAUGAAAUGGACGUCCUUCUUGUGGAUUAUAUGAAUUCAUUUCUAGAGUGGUGGAAUAGUUUGGUGCCUUAUGAAGCCAGUAAUGAUAAAUUGGAAUUUUUAUGUUGGGUGAAGGUGGAAGAAAUUUUGAUUCAUUUAUGGCAUGUCAAUCUUUUUAUGGCUUUAAGAGAUUCAUGGGGAAAAUUCGUGAAUAUAGAGCAGGAAACUCUGAACAUGAAUCGAUUCAGUUAUGCAGUGAUUUUGGUAAAGGGUAAUAGCACACGGCAGAUUCCAAUGUAUCGUAGAAUUAAAGUUGGGAAGGAUAUAAUCAUGUUGAGAGCCACAAUUUUGAGUGUUGUGACUGUUCUGCCAAAUGACAACCAGCUACUAGCCACCAGUGUUCAGAGGGAAGAGGUUGUACGUUUGGCCAGGCCUUGUUUAGUAACGUAUAUAUCCAAGGUGGCAAAUUUGAAUUUUGAAUUAAAUGAACAAUUAGGUAAGGAGAGUUUGUAGACAGUUAACCACUUAAAAAAUUUAAAUUAAGAGAAGGUUGAAUUGAAUUCAAAUUUUAUCCGGGUGGAAAAAAUACUUUCUAGAAUUUUAAAGGAUUUGAAUCAGAUGGUGAUUGCAGAAUGGAAUCAAACAAUGCUAAUAAGUUAGACAAAGGAAAGAUGUUGGAGUUGUCUUGUCCUAAAAUUGCUAAGAGAGAAGAUACAGAUUUGCAUUGUGCUGGGUGUACAUCUAUCUCACUUAACAAGGCAAAAAAAAAAAAAACCAUAGCUCAUGAUGAGGUUAAGUGGUGCGGUUUGGAUACUACAAAGAGUCCAAGUACUAAUGGGAAUCAGAAUAAUGGUGAGAAAAAAUAUAAAGGUGGGAACUAUAUUUAUGAUGAUGAUAAUGACAUAAAUCUGUUGUUAAUAUGUUCCCAAAUAGAUAGAAUUUAAAUGGUGAAACGGAUAGGAUUCACAAUUGAUUUUGGAAGUCCUAUUGCAAUAAAAUGCUUAGAACUGAGGGAAUUGAACUCUCCAUUAACGUUAUCCUCAAUUGUAGUAGAUAAUAAUUCUUUAAGGUCAUUAAAAGAGGACUUUAGCCUUAUAGUUCAUACACCAAGGGAUAGGCUUAAUGUUAAUUGCUCUCAAGAGGUCAUGGACGUUUCUCAUUUUAUAAAUAAAGAUUGGAGCAGUCGGGUGUUUGACAUAAGAGAAAGAGAUGCAAAAGUAGAAAUGAGGGAGGAUAUUGAAAAGGUCCAAUUGAGUAAAAAGGUAAGGGUUGACUAAAAGGAAGCAAGAAUUCUGAGAAUAAACCUAAAUUUUGGAUGGUGGAAAGAUAUUACACAGCCACUCAAGAUUGAGGGAGGUUACGAGCAGUAUGUUUGUAAAACCCGACCCUAUAAAUACAUGUCAUGACAUACAUGCAUUGAGUAGCAUGUUAUUAUGUUAGGAAAGCACCUAAAAAAAGACAAAACUCGAUAUCAUACCUAACGGUACACUUGAGUUGAUUUAACCUCGAACUAGUUUAAAUAGGAAUUGUAUGAUGAAAUUUAAUAUUUUAUAGUCCAGGAAUGACUAAAAAUGAUUGUUCGGAGUUCGAGGGUUCAUUUGGGGUAAAAUUAGAAAUUUUGAUGUUCAAAGGCAAAAUCGUCAUUUUGCCACCUAAGAUAAUAAUUUGAUCAUGGAGUGAAAUUUUUAAUCAAGAUUAACUAUUUGGAGUAUAAUUUAAUGAUAGGAAGUGAAAAAGUUUAAUUCUGGUAUUUUUGAAGUGUAGGGGCAAAAUCGUAAUUUUACCACCUGCGGACAAAAUUUGAGAUUUUGAGAGAAUUUAGAUCAAAUUUGACAAAUUGGAGAAUGGUAUGAGUAUAAGGGAUGAAAAAUAUGUCUUUGGGCAAUUUUUCAAUUUUUUGGGCAAAAAUGUAAUUUUUCACUUUUACAUGAGCAAAAGUGUAAAUUUCAAAAAUUACUCCACUGAGACUUUGGAUAAGUCUGAGAAUUUUAUCUAAGCUAUGGAUAUGUGGGACAAGUGUAUGGUGAAAAUUUGGAAACAAAUGGAUGAAAUUUUAAAAAUGGGCCAAUGGGAAAGUGACACGUGGCAUUUUUAAAAUGAAAUAAUAUUAUUUUAAUGAAAAGUCAGCCCAUUUAAACCCCAUUUUAAGUGCUGGCCGGCCAUAAGGAAGAACAAGAGAGGAAAUAGAGAGGAAAGGAAGAAAAAAAGAAAAACCAAAGAGAAACAAGAAAAUUCAAAGGGAAAUUCGCGGUUUUCGACCGUUUACGCGUCUAACGGUAAGAUUUUUCGAUUUUAGCUUGAUUUCUACCUUUCCUAUGCCUUUAUUUCCAUUUAGCAUGCUUGAGGAGAGAGAUCAAAAAGUGAUAUCAAGGGCUGGACGAAAUUCUAGGGGAGAGAAAUUGAAAUUUUUAGGUUUUGAUUUUUAGUUAAAUUGAUAGUUUUAGUUAGUUAAAUGUGUUUAGAAAUUAAAUUGGGCAAGAAAUCAUUAAAUUUUCACAAUACCCACUCUUGGCUGGAUGCUCAAUGCUGUACAAUGAUGAUGAAUUGAUUUUAUUCUAAGGAAAAUGAAGAGAAAAUGAUGAAAAACGAUUAAACGUGAUAGAAAAACAAAGUAGAAAAUUAACCGAGUUAAUGUCCCAUUUUUGGCCGAAUUUUCCAAGGAAGGGAGUGAGCUGAUUUUGUUGUUUUUAGAAGGUUAUUGGCUGAUAUUUAAUGGUUAGAAAUGUUGGAGAGAGAAUGGGAUGAUUUAGAGCUAAAAUGGAGCGCGUUAGCAAUUUAUCGGGCAAAGUGCCAAAAAUAGGUUAAUACCGCGUUUAAGCCGUUUUAGGCUAUUGCAUUUCAUACCAUGCAUUAGUAUAGGAUUUAAGUUAAUUAUAUAGUGAUUUAGCAUCAAUGUGAUGAAUUGUGUAAAUUUUUGUAAUGUGUCUAGGAGGAGAGCCUUCCGGAAAAGGCAAAGAAGUCGUACCCGACGAGUAGUGAUCGGGGCGCUUAGAAAGCUUUUAGUUUGUACAAACGGUGAGUAAACUUAUUAUUAUUGUAAAUUAUCUAGAGUUUAUUUUUAAAUGCCCUUUAUGUAUUUUAUGAAAUGAAAACGAGAUUAAAACGGGAUUUUUGAUGUUUUAGGAAUAAAUGUGACAAAUAAAAAUAUAUUGUAUUGAUUAUGAAAUUGAGUAAUUGGAGGCUGCAAAUUGACUUGAAAAAUAUAUAUUUUCCUAGGAAUGGCUUAUGAGAAAUGAGUAUAUGUGGCUAUAUUUUGUGAGUGCAUUGGGAAAUUUAUGUAAGUUGUUUUUACUAUGCAGGCUGGAUAAAUAAAUAAAAGCCACGUUAUACUGUCGAAAUUUUAUUAAAAUUGGUGGGUUAGUCACUGCAGUGACGGGUUUCCGUGGACUGCCUAUUAGAGGGGCACGGUAAACCCAGUUAUAUAGUUACUCCGGUUGUAGAGGCGAGGAGGGUAACUCCCGGGGUAGUAUUAGAGCUCACUUCACGUCGAACCCCCACGUGAAUGUGUAACUCGGCCAACGCCAAGGAACGGCUGGUUUUAAAAAUAAAAAUGUGUUUCACGUGUGAAUAUUUUAACACCCUUGGCGGACUCGGUUAGAUGCCUCGGCCAAGGUAUCCCCGAGGAUUAGUUUUGGCUUGAGCCUUGUUUUAAUAAAAGACAUAAGCCUUAACAACUGUUUUGGUAAAUUACAAAUAUUUUAUGGUUUAAGAAAUAAAUUGAAAACAUUAUGAAAUGGGUUGAAAUUUGUUGUUUAAACUUGCCUCCAUUUUACUCGCCUUUAGAUAUUUAUGAUAAUGUCUGUUUACUCAUUGGGAUUGCAAAAUCUCACCCAACUCCUUUCCACCCAUUUCAGGUUCAGUAUAGACUGUAGAUAGCUGAUCUCAUCGAGGACUACCAUUGGAUCUGCAUUUUCCAAACCGUAGGUUCACAGUCCUCUUUACUUUUGUUUAUUCGGGGGCCCUCUUGUUAUUGUAAAUUAAAUUAAAUAUUUUGGCUUACUGUAUUUCAGUAUGUAUAAAUUUAUUUAGCUUUUACGCUAUAAAAAUUAUUCACGUAUAACUCUAUAAAUAUUGUUUUAUAAGAAAAUAGAAUAUUUUCCUUAAUAUUUCUUUUAUUUUCUUAUUAUAUUCAAAUAACCGUAAUUUCGUUUUAAAUGAAGAUUUUAGACUUUUAAACUCAUUUUGAAUAUGAAUUAUGUGUUUUGUACUUAUAUAUUACGUUUUAGCCAGUUUCGAAAUUUUUGAAAAAAAAUGACCAAAAUACCCUUGUGUGGCGAAAAUUUUAUUUUGAUUGUUUUUUAUCUAAAAUAGUGUAUAUUCUCUAAAAACUCGAUAUUUAACAACGAUUGCUCACAGGAAAGGAAAGAAACUGAUAUGUAAGCCUUACGGGGUUCCGGUUGGCAUUCCGGAUAAUGAGUGUCAAUCGGGACGUCGCGGCGAUUGUCAUGGACCUGAGGGAGGUUCCGGGUCAUGACAAUGUUGAAUACAAAAAAUCAGAAUGUAGAUUGUGAUAAUUUACAUGAUGAGUUUAAGGCCACACGGGCUGUUAAAGGGAAACUUGGGAUAGAAUUUAAAAAUUCAAAUGAUGAUGUUGUGGAUACUAUAAUGAAAUUGGAAGAAGAAGAGUGGCAAUUUGGAAGUUCUUAAAUGAACUUUGCUGGUUUGUGCAUAUUGCAUUUUAUAAAUGUUAUACUUACUUAGACUGUUAGAGGGAUAUACAAAGGCGAGGAGAAAUGUGCAGUUAGGAGGGUGAUCAAUAAGGAAACCUCGAAUAUUGUAUUUCUUCGGGAAACAAACUGGAAAAAUUCAAGGAAUAACUUUUUUGAGUCAGUUUGGAGAAAAGACAGGAUUAAAGACUUAGUGUAUUUCUCCAGAGAGAUUGAUGAUGAUUUGGCGAGAGGAUUUCUUUAAGAUGGAGGAGCAUGAUUUGAAUAAAAAUUAUAUCUUGUAUUUCUUCAAAGGGAUUGAUGAUGACACUUGUCAAGCCCAUGAAUUUCACCUAUUAUCAUUUUUAUAUCUUGGAUAAUUAAGGUAUUAUAUGUGGUGGUAAGAGAAUGCUUAAUUGUUAAGUUUUAACCAUGGACCAAUCAAGUGACGACACGUGUCAAGUUUUUAUUAUUUUAUAAUUUCCUUUAUAAACUCAACAUAAACUUUCCCAAUUCACUCUUCAUUGCCGUGGAAGCCAAAGAACAAAGGGAGAAAGAAUAGAAAAACUCUAAGGAGGAAAAAUUCAAGAGAAAUUCAUUGGAUUUUCGAAAAAUGAAGCGAUCGGAGGUAAGAUUUCACGAUUUAGCUUAUGAUCUAUCUUACCCAUGCUUUCUUUUUCAUUUUCUAUGGUUGAAACUCAAGUUUUCAUGAUGGAAGCAUGCUGGCCGAAUCAAGGGGGGAAGGUUUUGAGGAUGGUUUUUGCUAGAUCUUAUAUUAUCUAGGCGUUUUUAGUUGUUUGUGAUAUUCGGUGUGAAAAUCAAGCAAGAAAACAACAUGUUCUGCAUCAAACCCUAAUUGGCUGAAUUCUAUUGGGAAUAUUUUGAAGAUGAAUUUUUUCAUAUUUCAUGUUAUCUAGCUCGUAUUUGAUGAUUCGUGAUGUUGGAUAUCGAAAAAGGUUAUCGAAAAGUAUAGUUCCUUUAGUAAACGACUUGAACGAUAAUGAGAAAAUUAUAGUAAAUGGACUUAGAAUUGAUUUCUAAUGAGGUAUACGGACUUAUUGGAGUACCAAAAGUGCAAUGAAUCUAUUUGGAGUUGAAUUGGAUGUUUUGGCUAAUUAAACAGUGUAUAGUGCGAGUUAGGUCAAAUACCAUUUCAGUCCAACAACAAUUGAACCUACGUAAACACCAUCUUUAAGUGAUUAUUCGAACACUUCUCAUUCAAUUUCAUGCAUUCAUAAAGACCCUGAAAUAGUUUUAUAACAGUUUGGCACAAGUGUAUUGAAUUACUUGUUGUAUGUUAUGUAUAGGUGGUAAGCCCUCUGGUAAGGGUAAGGAUAUAGUAUCCGAGGACCAGGAGUAGGAGUACUCUCGUUAUUGUGAGUAAACAGACGAUCAUCUUAGCUAUCUAAAGUUGUUUUUACUCGUUUUUAUAUUUUAAAGAAUAAUGAGUUUAAAUGGUAAAUUAUUAUGUUUUAAAAUUGAAGUGUUGGUUAAACGAAAUAAGAUUUAUAACUUGUUUUGAAAUUGAAUACUGGUUUUAGAAAUUGAGUAAGUGGAGACUAUAUACUCGUGUUUGAUAUAUGGUUUGAAUUGAUGGCUUAUGACAAUGUGAUGGCAUGAAUGGCUAGAUUUGUGUUUGUGUGGAAUAUAUGAACUGUUUUGUUUUACCUUGAUAGGCUAGGUAAUAUCACAUUAGCCAUGUCAUGCUGCUGAAAUUUUGUUGAUUUGGUGGGGUAAUUGAUUAGCUUACUGCAAUGGGUGGGUUUUCGUGGACCUACCUAUUAGAGGGGCACGGUAAAUCCCGUUAUAUUUUACCUUAGUAUGAAAGGCACGGAAGGUAUCUCCUAAGGUAGUUUAGAGUUCACUUCAUGCCGAACCACCACGUGAGGGUGAAACUCAGCCAACGUCAAGGAACGACUAUGUUUUUAAACGUAAAAACAUGUUUUGUGUAUAUGUUAAUUUAAUAGCCUUGGCGGACUCGGUUGGAUGCCCGGCACAAGGUGUCACUAACUACGAGUUUUGGCACAAGCCAAGUUUUAAGAGAGUCAUAAGCCUUGUUGAUUUUUUUAUGAAAUGUAACUGUUUCAUAUGGGUUGAAAUAAGUUUUAAUGUUAUGAAUCAUAUUAUGAUGAGAUGUUUUAAAUUGUCUCUAUUUACUCGGCUUUAGAUGUUAUAGAUUAACUUUGCUUACUCACUGGGUUUAUAAAAACUCACCCCCUUCUUUUCACCCAUUUCAGGUUCAGAGCAGUCUGUAAACAGUCGAUUUUGUCGAGGGUUUGCUUUUGGAUUUGCACCUUUAGAAAUCGUAGGUCUACAGUCCUGUUUAUUUUUGUUAUUUUGGGGCUCACAUGUCAUUGUAAAAUAUUUUUGUAUGCCCUGGCGCUGUGUGUUAUUAUGUAUAUGAAUUUAUUUUGUUACUACGCUACAGUUAUUGUUUACGUAAAAUUUUAUAAAUAUUGUUUUAUAUGAAAAUGGAAUAUUUUAUCUAAUAUUUUUAUUUAGUUCUAUUAGUUUUAAAAUCACUUUAAAAAGAUGAUUUAGACACCUAAAUUUAUUUUUUUUAUAUGAAAUGUAUAUUUUUCAUUUAUAUAUUAUAUUUUUAGUAGGUUUCAAAAUUUUUGAAUAAAAUGACCAAAAUACCCUUGUGCGGUAGAAAUUACUUUUUGAUUGUCUUUGAUUUGAAAAUAUUCUAUAUUCCUUUAAAACAUGAUAUUUAGUAACUGUUGCUCACAGAGGAGGCAAAAAACUGAUGCUAAAGCCUUGCGAGGUUUCGAUUGACAUUUCGGGUAAAGUUUGUCUAUCAAGACAUCGCGGCUGUUGUCUCGGGCUCGAAGAGAGUAUCGGGUCAUGACAAUUGAGGUGUCCAUGUAUAGUCAUCUUUUUGGUAGGUAACAUGGCAUUCAGUAGUUGUACCUUCACCCAAAGUCACUCCGUUGGUGAUUAAGAGUCUUUUUCCUGUGUAUGCGUACACGUGAUGUAAAUCACUAAGAUUCAUAGUAUAAACAGUAUAUGUAUAUUUUGAUUGAUGAUGCCACUAUGAGUUGACAAUGGAUGAUAUUAUUUUGGAUGAUCUAAAUGUAAGUAUUUGAUUGCCAUAGUAUAUCACUGAAUAUUUUUAUAGUUGAUAAUUACAAAAUGUGACUUUAGGAAUGAUUGUUGAAAUGACGAUCGAGAUUACAUAAAGAGGCUUGCUUGGACUUAGUGGGCUAUGCCCACUAAGCCCAUGCACUGGUCAUGGCCUAAAAAUUGGGCUGUGAUAGGGAACUUCUGCAUCUGGCUUGGGAAAAUGGUACCUAGUUCCAACCUUUGGAUAGAUGAUAAUAACCCCAUAAACAGUAGCCCUUGACCAGUCACUGUGGGCAUGCCACCAUAGGGUCCCUUCUUUCGUGGAAAAUAUAGUUUUUUGCUUAGACAUUCUUCCAGGUUGUAUUAGGCAUUGCGUGAUAUAUUCGGGACCAUCUGACCAUGGAUACCUAGGCUGUUGAACUCCAUGCUUGCAAAGGAAUUAUAAAAACAAGAUGAUUUGCUUUAAAAGGAGAGUAGCAAACCAGAAACUUGAGGGAUUUUUCAACACAAUAAAAACGAAAUUGUUUCUUUGACUUGACAUACUAGUGAAUGGUGAUGUUGUAUUUCCUUUUGUUAUAAAUGUUGACAAUAAUUAUUUCUCCGUACCAAACUUGUAUGGUUGGUCCUAGAAAUUGUCCAUUUACUAUUAAAAUCUUCUUUGAAAUGCAGAGUCUUGUGUAUGAAGCUUCUUUAACUUGCAGAGAUGGAUAUUAAUGUAAAGAAAGCGGCAUCACCGAGCAUAAGAUAUACAAUGUGAGGAUCCCAUGCCAAGAGUACAAAAGGACUAAUAUUAAGCACUUACCAUAAAGUCAUAUUCGUUUGUAGCUAGGGAGAAAUGUUGGUCGUGACAAAGUAGAAACCAAAGUAUUUGGAAAAGAUAGCUUUUCUUGGGUAAUACCAUUUUUUUUUUUUUUGUAAUAGAAUAACUUUGGCAAGAAUCCUUCCACCAUACUUGCAUGGAAUUUCUUAAGAAUUGUAUAUACAACUUAGUGAGGAACAACAUUAAUUAGUGAAAUUGAUAGUCUUUAGUAUCUUUCCAAAAAGUUGGUAUGCUAGAUUGCUCAUGAUAGCUAAGAAGGAUAAAAGAAAAGAAAGGCACCCACAUUUUGUAUACUUUUGAGACCUCGAUUAAGACUAUUUUCAUUUAGCCUUUAACCUUUUAUGUCCUUUCUUGAAACUAGUUGGUAUCAAAGGAACUCAACACGACCCCGCAUCUUAUCAAUUCCAAUAUCUCCUUCUUAUCAAUUGGUUUUGCCAAUUGAAAUCAUGAUAAUGAAGUAUGAUAUUUAUGGAGCAAUCAUGAUAGACCUAAAAUGAAAAUAAAUUAUAAUAUUUAUUUGCCUUUGAUGUAUAAUACUGCCUGUUAAAACACUACAAGUAGGAAACUGUUUAGAGAUUGAAGUACAUCUUUAUGUUUUCACAUCAUCAUACCAACUUAAAUUUCAACUUCAAUUUUUAAUUAUAGCGGUUCCUUUUUAUUGGUAUUAAAGUCACAUUGACCUAAUAAUGUUCUCUCCUAUACCAAAAAAAAAUUUAGCCAUAUUAAUGUCAUUAAACAACUGUGUAAUAUUAAUUAAUUACACAACUAUGUCGUCAAUUUAUUUUCUCUUCUAUAAAAAUUUCAUUUUCUUAUCUUUUUUUUUAAUUUUCAUUUACGGAUAUAGACUAAUUCAUGUAAGCUUAAAACUUAUAAAAUAACUCUAAUUUGACCUAACAAAAUUUAUGAUGCUAAUUUGCAAUACAUGAAAUUAACAGUGUAAUGCUCAACAACCUUGACAAACAAGACUAUACCAAUAAGGGUAACACAUCGAAAGAUGUCUAUUAUGUUAAGCUCCCUAUGUUGCUUUGACCUUAGAGGCAAACAUUGUCCAGUGCUCUAAAAUUUAUAUUUAGACUAAUGUAAAAGGAACUUGUCUCAAAUUUAUUGAUCAUAAUCAACAUCAUUAUGGCCAUUAGGAAAUACUAAAACAUAGAUAUUUAGCUAAAGAAGAGAAUACUUCACCAAGCUAAGAUUUUUGUUUUAUUUCAAUUUGAACCUCAAAAGCUCAACUCUGUUGUCGAUUUAGCAGCUAUGAAACUUUAUUGAUGUAAGAAAAAUACUGCUGAUGGAAAAUUUAAGUUUAAAGCUAUGCCACGACCCUUAUUUGAUUCUAUUAUUAUACUUGAUACUUAUAAUUUUAGCAAUAUUAUUGUGUGUUUUUUAUUGUUCUAUUUAUUAAUUUAUAAGUCAUCAUCCUCAAGAGGCAGGGUUGGAAAUCUUAUUGGUUUGAAUACUAAAUUAAUUGUUAUUUGAAAAACGAAAAAAAACUUGAGAAUAGAAAAUUUAGGCAUAUGUUUAGCUUCCAUUAGAGUAACUUUACAGUAAUUUUAUUGGAAAACUGGUCUGACCUAGCUAACUAAUUUUACUGGCCCUCCUUACAUGAUUUUCCUAAAAAAGAAGCCAUAUGUUUGUCUUCUAAAGCAUAAUUGAGCUCAUGGAUGAAAAUUGUGGUAAGCAUUCCUAAGAAAAGAAUAUGAUUUCAAGGAAAUGGUUUGGCUGAAACUUAGUUUUCAAUAUUUUUUGAAGGAUGUAUAGUUACGGAUCUACUAGUCUAGAAAAGUAUGACUUUCAGGCUAUAAUUUGGUUAGAUACAUGUCUAUGUCAUUAUAGGGUUUCCAUGAAUAGAUAUUGAAUUUUAAACCAAGCAACUAUUGGUAAGGAAAUUUCUUUUAAAAAAUAUAAUGAUGUAUAGAGAUUAUUCAGUAAUAAUUUAAUUUCCAAUCAAUAUGUUUUUGUCAUCCUAACCACUAAGGAAUCUCAUGUGGGGAUUCAUUUUAUUGGGUAGUAGAGGAAUUGAUCCAUCUAAACUAAAGGCAAAAUUAACCCCAGCACUAUUUUGUUGUUUGUUACAUUAAAAAAAAUUUAGAACGUAUGUUUGAGAAAACUCCUUUAGUAGCUCCAAUGAGCUAUUUUUGGAAUUCAAUCAUGUGUUGAUUUAAUUUUGUAAAAUUAUUCUUCUCCUUUUACAUCAUUCUUUUUUGUAACAUAUUCAGUUGGAGAAAUGAAUAUUCUUCUCCUUUUACAUAAUUCAUAUCAUGAAAAAAAGAUUGGUAAUAGUGGGGGUGAAUGAAGCUUGAUUUUGAAAGGCCGUUGAUUGAAAUUUCUUGAUCUUUGUGAUGGAGAAGAUAGGUUUUGGUGAAAAAUGAAGGCAUGGAUAUAUGAGUGCAUAUCUAUGUUGCGAGUGGUGGUUUUGGUACAUGGAUUCCUACUUCAGAAUUUCCAAUGAAAAGGAGUCUUCUGCAAAGGAAGAACUUGCAUAUGUACCUAGGGCUGCCAAUUUUAGAAAACAUGAUGAUUAUAUUGCUCCUAUAAUUUGGUGAUGACACUAUACUUUUUGUGAAAUCAAAAGAGGUAGGUGUUUGCAAUGUGAGGAGAAUUUUACAAUUGUUUGAGUUAAUAUUAAGGUUAAAAAUUAACUUCUCGAAGUUUUGCCUUUACCUGGUGGGAGUUGAGGAGGAGGUUGGGAGAGCCAUGGCUAAUGUUUUUCGGAGCAAUUUGGGUCAUCUACCUUUUUUUGAUCUUGGUAUUCCUCUUGGAGUAAACUCACGAAGCAUGCAUACAUGGGACCCCAUUGUGAAUAAAUUUCAAAGUAGAUUGGAACUUUGGCGAUGAAAGUACUUAUCUUUUGGAGGUAUAGUUACUUUAAUUAAUUAUGUGCUAAACUCAUUACUUUUGUUUAACUUGUCGAUUUUUAAAGCACCUAUUAGUGUCUUGAGCAAGCUAGAACAAAUAAGGAGGAAUUUUCUUUGGGGUGUGUCAGCCAAAAAUGUAAAGGGGUUUAGAUAUCUCAAAUUUGGCUAAUAAAAAUGUGGCACUCUUGGGUAAAUGGUGGUGGAGAUUCAAGAAUAAGGAGAAUCACUACAAAAAAAUCAGCCUUUUCCAACAGAAUUUUCCAUUGAGAAAAGGCUAAAUUUCGUUGAAAAUGCCUAUUUUCAACGAAAUUUGAACGAAAAAUUCUAUUGGAAAUUCUGUCGGUAAAAGCCUCGUGGUUAAUACUUUCCGUUGGAAAUCCGUUGAAAAUUUCCAACAAAAAAUUCUGUUGGAAAUUUUCGUUGAAAAAAUGAGCUCAUUGUAGGGUACCCGAUUGUAUUUCUAUUGGAAACAAUUCCAUUGGAAAAGCAUUUCCAACGGAAUUCCAUUGUAAAUUUCCAAUGGAAUUUUCCGUUGGAAAUGCUUUUCCAACGAAAAUUAUUUUACUAGAUUACCAAUUUCCAAAAAAAUUACCAAAAAUUGCUUUCCCAAAAAAAAAUACAAAUUUCCAUUUCCAUAAUAAAAUAUCCAUUCACAUCGACAUUUAAAUUUCAUAUUAUAUAAAAGAAACAAAUAUUAAAAAUCGAAAUUCAAAGUGAAACUCAUACAAUUCAAAAUUACCCUAACACAUAAUAUCUAAGAAAAGUUCAACACAUAUGAUUAUAAAGCUAAAAUUGUUAUUAAACAGCUAUACUAAAAAGUAUCUCAGGGUAGCAGUGAAACAUUGACAUCAUAUCAUGAAAUGCGAUCUUACUUGUGCAGAUGCUAGCUUGAAGGUCCCACAUUUCUUUGUUUUAAAAGUGCAUAAGUCAUGAUAAUGCUUUCCAUACGUGCCAUAAAUUCACUCAUUCUUUCCGCCAUUGCAUUUUUAAUUUCUUCACGUAUUUCUCCACAUAAUUCAUCACGUAUCUUACUCAAGUUUUUUUAAAGAUUUUGUACUUUCUCUUCCAAUGCAAUUGCGGGACUGGUAGCGUUUGAGGGCAUAGGGCUACAUGCAGACUCAAAUGUUGCCACAUUGCUGUGUGUUCUAGUAAGUAAAGAUGUAGCAGGGACCCGAAUACCAAACCCAUACACGUGAGUGCGUGUAGUCUCAAUCCCUCCUAUUGCUUCAAUCCAAGCAUUUGGAUCAAAUUUUGACUGAGAAGAUGAAUCCUCACCAUACUUCUGCAAUAAUACAGAAUUAUACAUUUCCUACAAAAAAAAGUUAAAUUAGAUUAGUAUUCAACUACAGUCGUCAACUUUAAUUUUAGAAUUAAUCAAUUUGGUACGUACACUCGUAGACUUGGAUAGUAAAUCUAAUUUCCACCGUUGAUUAUAAUAAAAUUUGUUAACAACUACAUUCCAAUAUUCAAAACUAAGUUAAACAAUUUAAAUAUAAUAACAAAAAAUAAUAACAUAUGAAGAUAGUAAUCAAAUUUCCAUAGAAGAAAAAAAAUUUAAAAACAAGAUCGUUAAUAAGUGUAAAUUUUAUAGAACACAAAAAUUGUAAAUUUUUUAAAAUUUUUAUUUAUAAUUGUCAAUGUUUUCUUAUUUUAUUUUAUUUAUAUCUUCUUCAAUUUAAAGCAGCUCUCUAUUAUAAGUGACCAAUUAAUGUCAUUACUUGACCAGUGUUUUCUUAUUUUAUUUGAUUUGAUUUUAUUUGAUUAAUUUGAUAAUUAGUUUAUGGUUUUUAUUCUUUCUUUAUUUUUAAUUAUUAUUUUGUAAAAAAAUGUUAAUUAUAAACGUAACUUAUUUCUUGUUAACCAAGAUAUCUUAUUAGACUUAACAUAUGAUAGUUGCCCCUAUCAUCCAUUAACUUACCUAGUUCUGCUCAAUCCCUUAGCAAAAUGUAAAAUAGAAUUAAGUUUUUAAUUUCGAUUUAUGAUUAUGGUUUGUAAAUAUAUCCAAAUUACUGAUUUGAAUUUUUUUUCUUUUGACUUCGAAGCAUAAAUUAAGGAAAAAUACAAAUUAUAUGAGCUUAGGAUUAUGGUCUAUAAAUAUAUUUAAGUUAAUUAUUUGUAAAUUUUUCCUUUUGUCUUUUUUUCUUUCAGUUAGGGAGCAUAAUUACCACUAUAAAUAUUAGAUAAGCUGAAUAUAGAUAAUUUCAUUAAAUAGAGAAAAUUUUAUGUAAAACAAUUCUAGCACUAAUAAAAAUCUUUCAAUAUUGUUGCUAAACAUUAAGAAAAUGGUAGCAAUCUUGUUGCUAAACAUGAAGAAAAUGGUAGUCAACUUCUUCUAAGAGAUUAAGAUAUGUGAUUUCUUUUGUUUUUUAUCUUUAGAGCUUAUUUCGUAUGAGCACAUACCAAGACAAAUAUUAUACCUAAUUAUUUGUGUAGAAGGUCUGUACAACUAUCUUCAAAUCCAAGGAGGGGUUUUAGGAAAUACUCAAAUUCAUUUCAGGUUGACCAUAUGAAAGUGUGUCGUUAUUUUUUGUUGUAAAUAUUUUUUUGAAAUUAGAUUUUGCUUAUAGUUAUCGACCUAAAAAUUCAUUAAGUAAAUAGGUAAGAUAAUAAUGUAACAAAGAUAAAUAGUGUCACAUGCUAUUAUUUUAGAAUCUUUAAGAGGAAUUAUAGUCAUCAACAGUUUUGAAAUUCAUUCAUAAACAAACUUUCAAUUACAUAGCAUGUAUAUAGGCUCAGCAACAAGAUCCCGUCCAAGCACUCACUGGAAAAAGUGAGCAACGCACGGAGAUCGGCAGCAACAACGGCCUACACUCAGCAAAACCAAAACUCCACGCUCUGCAAAUGGGCUCAGAUCCGGUCCAAGAACUCAUCAAAAAAGUUAGUGUAGACACCUAUUACACAAACAAAUAUAUAUAAUAAAAAUUAAUCAAGAAAUAAAUAAAAUAAUAUAAUAAUAUAAUAAAAAUGAAAAUUAAAUAAAAUUAAUGAAAAAUAAUAAAAUUAAAUAAAAAACUAAGAGGGAACAGAUAAGGACCGAAAAUGAGGGAGAAAUCGAAGCUCUUUGCACCAAUUAAAAACCUGUCGGCAAAGAGGGGAGAAAGAUUCAAGUUUUUUUUUUUUUGUUAGAUCUAAGGAUUGUCGGUGGAGGGAAGAGAUAUUUAGCGUUUUGGGUGACCAAGCUUCAAGCCACCGGUGGCGGGGAAGGUGAGAGAGAAGGAGAAAGCGACUAGCGAAGGAAAAGUUUAGAGUGAAGUGAGAGGGUGGCCGUGGCUAGAGAGAGAAAGGGAAAGAAGAAAAUGAAAGGAGGGAUUGUCUACAGAAGGAAGAGAUAUUUAGGGUUUUGGGUGACCGAGCUUCAAGCCACUAGUGGAAGGGAAGGUGAGAAAAAAGGAGAAAGCAACCGACAGAGGGAAAAGUUUAAAGAGAAGUGAGAGGGUGGUUGCGACUAGAGAGAGAAAAGGAAAGAAGAAAAUGAAGGGAGAGGAGAGAAAGAAAGGUUUUUAUACCUAGGGUUGGUAGCUAUUAAAUGACGUAGUUUUGACAGUUAGAGAAAUUACCGCAUAAGCACCAAACGGUGCGUUUGUGUGAAGAACACUGAGUUUAAGAGACAGGCCUGGGGCGCCCCUCUCAAAUGGAUCAGUUUUCUUGAGUCACUAUUUAAGCCCAAGUCAGGUAAAGGCUUUAUUUUUUUUAUAUAGAUAUGUUGUGGCUUGGGUUGGUCAAUUUUGUUUGUUCUUAAGAUUAUUGUGUAAUUGUAUAGGAUUGAGUUCAAAUUAUUUUAGCAUAAUAUUAUAAAAAAUCUCUACGUAAUGUUUUUAGAGUUAGGAAAUUCAUGCAAACAAAAAAAUAUGUAAAUAAUAAUAGCAAAAAGAUAAUAAAGUUAAAAUAUAUAUUUUUAAAAAAAUGUUUAGUUAUAAAAAGGAUUUGAAUUUAGGACAAUAUUUAAAAUAUAUAUAUAAACCUUGGCAAAUGAAACAUACAUAUGAAACAAAAUAAAUAAAUGUCUAAAUAAAGUAUAGUUGUAGUAAUGGAUUUAGUUCAGUUAAGAAAUAAAUAAUAAAAAAGAAAGAAGGAUAAAAGUAAAAAGAAAGGAAAAGAAGAAAAAGGACAUGGAAGUAAGUAAACGAUUAAUAAAAAUUAAAAAUAAAUAAACAAGUAAAAUAAAAAUAUAUAAAAGUAUGAUAAUAAAAUAAAAGAAAAGUAAAUAUUUGUCAACAAGGGUUAAAAUGAUGACGUAAAAAUAUAUUAAUUAUAAUAAUAAAAUUUAUGUUUUGGGUCAAUAUUAAUAGUUAAGAAAGCAUAGAAAAUUGAGUUUUAAAUAUUAAUCACAAGAAUAAUGUAUAUCGAUGAUGGGAUGUCAAUUCGUAACUCGAGAAGUCGCAAUUCUGAGUGAAUUUUCUUAGGUUAAGGAUUUUGAUUAAGACUCCACCAGUAUGAUGGGAGGGUCUUAAUUCGAAAUUCUAAUGUUCUUAAUUUUAAAUAAAUCAAAAACUAUACAUAUUUAAUCACCAAUUUCCAUUUGAGUUAUAUGGCAGUUCCAAUUCGUUUGAAAUUAAGUUGGGGGGUUUUAAAAUCAGAAUGGAUGGGUAGUAGACUUGGUUAAAGUUUAACACAUUUUUCAUUAGGGCAAAGGUUCAAGUCACCCUAGCAACAAAAAUUUAAAUAUUUUGAAUUUUAUCAAUAAAUUAAUGUUUAAUAAUUACUCAAUAUNUUAUAAAGUUAUAUAAAGUUGUAUGUAAACAUAUAUGUAUUAACUCAUAUACAUGUAUGUAAACAUAUAAAUUAACUCAUAUACAUAAAGUUGUAUGUAUACAUAUAUGUAUGUAAACAUAUAUAUACAUAUAUAUAUAUUAACUUAUAAAGUUAUAUCAGUUAAAGAAUAUAACUUUUAAUUUAAUAUUAAUACAAUAAGUUUUCUCCUUUUAAUAAUGCAGGUUUACAUCUAUACUCUAAUAUGGCUAUCAUUCUAAUUUGUAUACAUAGAUAUAAUAACUUAAUAUAUUUUUAAUAUAUUAUAUUAAUAAGUUUAUUAUAUAUCUAUCUUCUUAAUUUGUAUAUAUUAACUAAUUAAUCCUAAAACAUACAUAGAGUAUUAGUAUUUUUUUAAAAUUUCUUAUUAGGUCUUAUCAUGUGUUUUUUUUAAUUUAAAUAUUUAUUUUCUUCUUUUUAUCAAUUUUUAAUGUUAUAGAAUCAAUUAAUUUGAAAUUACUAAUUUAUAAUUUAUGAUUCAAUAAAGUUUAAAAAAAGUAAAAAAAUUGGCAAAAGAAAACAUAAUUAAACUUUUAAAUAUUAUAAACUUCACAUAUGAAUAUAUUUGCUUUUAAUAAUAUCAAUUUUUUAUAAAAGAUUAACAAAAUUUUAUUUAAAAAAUUAAAUAUUUUAAUAAAAAAUAAAAAUUAUUAUUACCAAUGAAAUUUUCCAAUGGAAUAUUCCGUUGGAAAAUUUCCGUUGGCAAUAACUUUUUCCAACGGAAUUUCUAUUGGAAACUUCAACCGGGUUUUAAAUAUUUUUACUCCUAGAACUUUCUGACGGAUUUUCAACAGAAAAUUUUCUGUUGGAAAUUUUGAACAGAAAAUUUUCCAUUGGAAAUUUCCAACGGAAAUUCCGUCGGACAUGGUGGUCUCUUUUUUUUUUUGCUCCCUUAAAAUUUUUCCAACGGAUUUCCAUCAGAAAAUUUUUCAUUGGAAAUUCCGUUAGAAAUGGUGGUCUCCUUUUUUUUGCUCACCAAAAAUAGUUCCAAUAGAAAGUUUUCCGUUAGAAAAAUUUUUGUCUCCUGUUUUUUUUGCUCACCAAAAAUUCCGUUGGAAAAAAUUGAUCAAAAAGUUUUUAAAUUUCCGUUAAAAUUCCGUUAGAAAAAACAAAUUUUUUUGUGGUGAAUGCACUUUGGAGGAGGCUUCUAGUAGUAAGUGUAGAAAGAGAAAAAUUAUUAUCCAAUUACAAGGCCCCACAUGGACUUGAUAACAUCCUUAAAGAUAACCAUAUAAUUAAUUAUAAAAUAAUUAAUUUAUUUGUUAGAUUAUUUCAAAGGCACAUAGUUGGACUAAUUAAAAUUCACCUUUGUGUCAUAUAUAUUAAUCUCUUGAGAUAAUUUAAAAAUAAUAUUUACAUUGGACCAGUUGAAAUUUAAUUAUUGGUUAUCUAAUUUUUCUCUUAACAAAUUAAGAUAAUUUAGAGAUAAUAUUCAUAUUUUUUACCAAUUAGUCAUCUAAUUUAUCUUUAAAACCAUUAUGAUAAUUUGGAGAUAAAACAAUUUUGAUCAUUUAAUUUAUCUCUAAAUAAAGUAAGAUAAUUUAGAAAUAAAACUUAAAUUCGAACAAUCAAAAUUCAAUGACUCAAAGUUCAGCCAAUCAAAAGGCCAUUUAUGAGUCAUCAUUAUUUAUCUCUAAUUAAAUAAAAAUAAUUUACAGAUAAUUUAAAGAAACUAAAUCCUUAUGAAAAUCUCUCAUUUAGCGCUAUAAAUAUAAUGCUCCUCCAAGCCAUUUGAGGAUCAUGUGGAGAUUGAGAAAAGAAGAAGAUUUCUGAAGACGAAGUUCUCAAGUCUAGUUCGUGUUCAAGAUUAAGUCACCUAGACCCUUGAAAUGAAGUUCUUAAGUCUAGUUUGUGAUCAAGAUCAAGUCGUCCAAACUCUUGAAAGUGAAGUUCUGAAGUCUAGAUCGUGCUCAAGAACAAGUUCGAGUUCAUGACUCUCGAAGACAAAGUGAAGAAAUUAAUUAAACGAAAUCUAGGGACUGCAGCUUGCAUCAAAUCUUUGUAAUUUGUCUCAUAAUUUUCAAGUCCAAAUAUUCAAUGCAAAAUUUGUGUUUACACUAAGUAUGGAGAAAAUAGGCUAAAAUGGUUACCAUCUACGAUAUACAAGUACAAAUUAUGACCUCAAUUUGUAGGAAUAUUUCCAAUUUACUGAGGAGUAAUGGGAGGGGUAGGCUUGUUGGUUUUGAUAAUUAUGGGUAGGUGAUUGGGGGUAAAGUGAAUGUUUCCUUUUGGCUUGAUUAGUGAUUGUUAGACUUAUCGUUAUGGUGUAUGAUAAGGAUAUGAAGGUUGCCAAAGCUUGGAAUGAUGGCAGAUGGAAUAUCCCAUAUCGGCGACAUCUAUUUGUUUGGGAAAAUGCCUUAUCUUGUGAGCUAAAGGCAAAAUUGUAGGGGGUGGUACUUAUGUCUUAUUUGGAGGCUUCAUUUGUUGGGAAAAGUAAUAAGGUGUGAAACCUUAAUUUUUGCUUAAGGUUAGAAUUGUAACUUAACUUGGUGAGUUGGAAACUUGACAUUUUUUAACAUGAUUUAUGAACCAUAAUAACUUAGAAAAUGUAUGCUUUGAUAGCCAAAUAAGUUUACUUGAAAGUUUGGACAAAAGGAUUGAUUUUUAGUCUUAAAAUUGCAUUUUGGAGCUAAGGUAUUGAUACUUGUUCAUGAAGUAUCCAUACAUGGAACUUAGAAAUGCAUCUUGAUGAACAUGUAUUGAUAAUAGCUCAUAAAAUAUCGAUACGUUAGCCAGAAACCAAAAGUACCUAUACUUAUCGAAAAGUAUUGAUACCAAUGUCAGAAAUUUGAGAAAAAGUAAGGGUAUUUCAAACUUUUCCCCCAAUAAAUUAAAGCCCUAAAACCUCAAACUUUUCCCAUUUGACUAAAAACAUUUAUUCUUUAAAAGCCAGCCACCUUUGUUGCUUUUGCUAUCUAUACACUUUUUCAUCCUUGCAAAUCAUUUCAAAGCUCCAAAUUUUAUAUUUGAAGUCAGAUUUUGAUUUUAAGUUCAUUUAAAGAUAAUGUUUUACUAUUUUUAAACGACUAAUCUUUGUUUUUGAUUUCCAUAAAUUUUGGUUUAUUAAAAAUUUGUUUUUCUCUUUAAAAAUUUAUGUUUUGGAUUGUUUUGGUACACACAAGCUCACCAAAGUAAAGUUACUAUAGACUUUAGUUAUUUGAAUUUUAAUCUCUUAGUUAGAAUUAGAUUUAGGUGUUGAUUUUAGGUUAAGAUUAAGUUAAAAGUAUGUAGAAGGAUAAAUGGUCAUUAUUAAGGAUAGAAUUAGAAAACAAGGUAUUAGCAAUGGAAAUUUGAAUGUUAAGUGCUAUUGAAGUAGUGGGCAUUUUUAGAGAAGUCGACCUUUCGAUGAAAGUUGCUAAGAGGAAAGUCACGUUUCAAUGAGGUGGGUAGAUAUGACAUUUUUAAUUAUUUUGAUAUAAUUAAGCAUGCCUAUUUUAAUGAAACAUGAGCACAUAAGUUCUAUAAGGUUGUGUUGUGAACUAUGGUUUUCUAAGUAUGUUUUGAUGAAAGCUAUAUAAGUUAUGUAGAUAUGUCUAUUAUGAAUUUAGUUUUGUGCAUGGGGAAUAAGAACCUUAAAUGUGUUGAUACCUCAAAACCAUGAUUAUUUUCUAUGGAUUGAUUGAUUAUGUUACUUCAACAUUUUAAAUGAAAAAUGAAUUUUCUUUGAAUGGACCAUAGCAUUGGGUCAUUUUGUCUUUGAGAUAUUUGUUUAUGUUAAUGAAAAUGGGUUAAUCUUGUGAGGACUCCUUUGAUUUUGUUAGUGAAUGGAUUCACUCAUUUGUUUUCGAAAUGAACUUUGGUUAGUCUUGAAACUUGGAAAAACAUUUUAGUGGAGCCUAUUAUGUUAAGACAUGUAGCUAGUGAUAGUAGAUAUUAGCCAUUGUGCACAAGGCUUUGUAUCUUUUACAAUUGGUGACUAUAUUUACCAAACCACCCUAGUGCUAAGGCAUGACUUUGUCUUGAUAGUUGAUGCAAUCUUACCUUCUUUGUUAUUCAGUUGAUCCCUAUAUGCCUGAGACUCACUUUGUUAUUAAUUCUUCUUAUUGGUGCUCCUCAACUCAAUUUAAUUUGAUUUGAUGUGUCAAUUUUGGUGACUUAAACAGAAUGAUUAUUGGACUUGUUUGAGAACAUAGAACUAUAGUUUAUGUGGAAAAUUUGAUUUUGUGAAAAAGGUCUCAAGUCUUCAAGUUAAAGUAUUGAUAAUUUCUCUUUGGAAUUCUCAGAAUUGCAUUCUAUUUGAAAAAUAUCAUUACUUUGAGCAAAAGUAUUGAUACCAUGAGUCCACGAGGUCUCAAGAGACAUUCUGUUUGAAAUUUAUCAAUCCACUUGAGCAAUGUAUCGAUACUUAAAGCUUAUUUCAAAAUUUCAAAAUUUUUAAAAGUAUUUUAAAAAUUCAAAUGAUUUGUUUUUAACUAUUAAGUUUUAUAAACACUUGAUUUUAUUGAAAAUACUUUGAAACAGUAGAGUUACAUUUUUUGAAGUGAAUUUUGGAAAUAUUGGAAAACUUGUUUAAUUGUAAUGAACUUCGAAACAUGUUUUAAGAUUUAAAAAAAAUGAUUUUGUUUUGAAUUAUUAAACUUUAUAAUUUGUGUUUUCCUUUGAACUACUUUGAAAAGAAUGAAUAUGUUUGGAAAGUGAAAUUUUGGAAAUAAUUGGAAAUUUGAUUUACACCUAUGGAGUGAACUUUGGAAACAUUUGGAAAUGUGAUAAUGCUUGCAAAGUGGACUUUGAUAAUAUUUUUGGAAAUUGUUAAAUUUCAUUAAUUUGAAGGUGUAUUUGUCAAACAUUAUUCCGAUUAAGCUUGCUCCCCUUCCUAGUAUCUGUUCAUAUAGUUAUUUAUAACUCACACAUGAAAGAUGUAUUGGUUUUUUCAGAUUAAUAGAUUGUUUGGCUUGCUGUCCUUUGGGAAGAGUUGUUAUUUCUACUACAGUUGGUUUGGGUAGGUGUUCGAUAAGGCAUCCAGUAGGCCUUAACCCCUUUGUUUUGAUUUAUACUUUGUUGGUUUGGUCAUGUUUUAUUUGUUAUGCAUUUUGAACUCUGUUUAAUUUUUGUAACAAGUGUCAUACUCUAGAUUUGCCAUAAGGUGGCUUUUACUUUGAUAUUUAAGAAAUGUUUUGCUUCCACACUUUGAGCAUGGGAUCUUACACGUUGAUAUAUUUUGACUUUUGAUAUACACAUGUGUUUGUGUUUUUGUACAUGUAUUAUACAUGAUUUCAUGAUGAUGUGUCCCAUAAUGUAAUUUGAGUAACUGGAUUUAUUUGUUUAAGGCUUGCUUAGAUUAAGUGGGACCUUUCCAUUAUACCCUUGUACUAGUCAUAGCUUUUAGGUUUGGAUCGUGACAAAGUUAGUAUUAAAGUUCUAGUUUUGUCUAAGUCUUGGGUAUUUUGUUUUGAGUCAUCAAAGUUGUUGGGUUUCCACGUCAUAUCUUGUUUUUGGUUUGUGAACUAUAAUACAACCCACAAAUGAGAGGCUACAUGGAUUUUUUUUGUUUUUAUUAAAACCUACCUUUUGUUCUUUUGUAUUGAGUUUAGUGUUCACUCUUAACUAGGUAAGGAUGCCACUUAGGACUUGAGCUAUAGUUAAGGGUACACCAAAGCAUGAUGCUCCCCUUGAUUCGUAUAUAAAGGUACAAACUUCCACUGAUAGAGGGAAUGGUAGAAGAGGUAAGACCCUUAAAUUUGCUGAGGAAGAGACACCCAUAGUUGGACCCAUUGAUGCUCAUUCUCAAGAGGUGAGAGAUGAGAUACCUAUUGGGGAAACUCUAGGAGUUUGAGUGUUUGGUGCAAACCUUGGGAUGACAGUGGUAGAGUAUGAUGUCAAGUUCACUCUGUUGGCUUGAUAUGCACCAUAAAUUGUUUCCACAAAAGAGAUUAAGAUUAAGAGGUUUAUGGAUGGCUUAGUGGGGCCUUUGUUUACAGGAAUGGCAUCUCAAGACUUUGAUUUCUAUGCCUCAACCAUGGAUUGUGCUUAAAGGAUAAAGAUGAGGAUUGUUGAGACUCGAAUAGCUAAAAAAGGGUCCAAAAGGGCCAAAACUGAGCAUCAAAUAAAUUUUAGAGGUAGUAGAGGAUCUUUUUUUACAUUACAAGUUAACUAAAAGACACUCAAUCUUCCAUUAGGGGAAUAGUUCUGAGGGUAAUGGUGCUAGACAAGAUAGGCAUGAUGGUAGACCACCCAAAUAGCAAACUUGAGGGCAUGACCUUCAAUUUACCCAUGAUGGGCUACUUAUAAUAAGAGGCACCAAGGACAAUGUUGUAAAGAGAUCCUUUCUUGUUUCACCCUUUUUUGUUUCACAUGUGGUUUACUUGGACACAUCAUUAGGAACAUUCUUGAGGGCCAAUAGUCACAAGGAUCUACCUAACUAGUUAUACCACUUACUCGUAUUGCUACACAACCUAUCAGAGAGGUUGAAGGGUCUAAGGGCAAAGGUGCCACAAAUGCUUGUCCAGGUAGAGCAUUAAGGUCUAAAACUCAAAGUACAAUUGGUCAAGGACAAGCCAAAGUUUAUGGAUUGACCCCACAAGAUGCAAAGCAUCCAAUACAAUUGUCUUAGGUAUUUUACUUAUCUAUUCGAUUAAUGCAUGUGUGUUAUAUGAUUCUGGUGCUACACAUUCAUUUCUUUCCUUAUACUUUGCAUCCAAGUUAGGCAUAGAGUGCUCCAAGAGGGAGGAAGGUCUAGUGGUAACCAUACCCCCGAGAUAGGUAUUUUGUGGUAGAACAUGAUUAUAAAGCUUGUGUAGUCUGAAUUAGGGAGAAUGACACCUAAGAAAAUUUAGUGCUGUUGGAUACGCUCAAUUUUGAGGUGAUACUUGGGAUGGAUUGGUUAUCUGCUAACUAUGUUAGUGUGGACUGUCACCACAAAAGGGUGAAGGUUGAAUACCCUGGAGAGAUAUCAUUCUAUAUUCAUAGAGAUUGCAACGUUGGCUCGAGUAGUAUGGUAUCAACCAUGAUUACUAGCAGAUUCAUGAGACAUGGAUGCCAAGGAAUUUUGGAAAUAGUCUUAGAUACCCAAGUGAAUAUGGGUAAUGUGGCAAAUGUGCCAGUUGUGGGAGAUUUUUAUGAUGUGUUUUCGGAGGAGUUACUCAGAUUGCCUUUAGAAAAAGGAGAUAAAGUUUUGUAUAGACUUGGUGUAAGACACUAAUUUGAUAUCUAUACUGCCUUACCGAAUGGCACUUACCAAGCUCAAGGAGCUCAAGGAUCAACUAAAGGAUUUACUAAACAAGGGUUUCCUAUGCCCUCAUAUAUCACCAUGAGGUGUACUAGUAUUGUUUGAGAAGAAAAAUGAUGGUUCAAUAAGACUUUGUAUCGACUACAAGCAAUUGAACAAAGUGACCAUAAAGAACUUUUAUUCUCUCCCAUAUAUUAAUGAUUUGUUUGAUCAAUUACUAAGGGUAAAGUGUUUCUUAGAGAUUAACUUAUGAUUAUGUUACCAUCAAUUGAGGAUUAGAGAUGGGGACAUACCGAAGAGUGUUUUCGGCACGAGGUAUGGUCAUUGUUAGUUUUUGGUUUUGUCAAUUGGUUUGACUAAUGCCCCUAUAGCUUUUAUGGAUAUGAUGAACAAGGUGUUCAAAUCCUAGUUGGAUAUGUUUGUAGUUGUGUUCAUUGAUGAUAUUUUGGUAUAAUCAAGAAGUUGAGAAGAACACGAGUAACAUUUAAAGAUUGUACUACAGACUUUAAGUGAGCAUUAGUCGUAUGCCAAGUUCUCCAAAUGUGAGUUUUUGUCACAACCUAAACUCGGGGGUUUGUGACCAGUGCACGAGCCCAAUAGGCAAAGCCCAUGAGACCCAAGUAAGCUUAAGAAUUCAAAAUCAUAAAACACGUAGCCAAGGGAGUUCAUAGCCAAAUAUUUUGAACAUAAAAUUUAAGUUCAAAUAUAAAAUAUUAUCCCUGGCACAAAAAUACAUACAAAUAUCCAAAGGCCAUACAUUAACCAUUCAAGGCGGGUUCAUACAUAACAACCUUUCUACAAGUUCAUAUGGCACAACGUGUCUACACACACAACAACUAAGUGUAAAGCAGAAACUUGUGAGUGACAUAGCGAUGGAAACCUAUCGGAUGUCAAAAUCGAUUCGUCACUGGACUACCUUUACCACAUAGAUCUGCUGUCUAUUUAUUUGCACAUGGUACAUAUAGGUGAGUACUCUAAUACUUAGUGAGUGACGCCGGUAACAAGAUCAUAUAUAUAUCACAUAAUAAAUAUUGUGCUAUCAGUGCAUACACAUGAUUUAUUAGAUAUCUCUAAAUAUAAGGCAUAUCAAUAUCCCUAAGUCCCCAAUAUGAGGGCAUAUCAUCAUCCCCAACAUCUUCAAAGAUCACUACACACAUAACUAGACUUAUCCAUGAAGCCAAUCAAAAUCAUUUAAAUCAUUCUCCACGGCACACUCUAGUCACCGGAGUAUUAUAUCAAUUCAUAUCAUGUUUAUCUAAGCCUCUCUAAGGCUAUCUCGCAUUGUAUACAAAUCAAAUCAAAUCAACAAGUGAUGUUCCCUUAGACAAAGUCAAAUCACGCUCGGUUGCCAACUGGCAGAGAAACGAAUCACGCACAGGGCAAAGCCGCUGGCAAAGAACAAAUCGUCAACUAGAGUAAUCUCCUAACAGUUGGCAUCAUUCGGAGUAUUCUCAAAUGGGUGGCCUCAAAGCACUAUAAAAGGGAAUCAUAGGGGGGACUAAUACCACUGUCCCUACUUACCACCAUCCUUGUAGGCAUACACAUGUCAUAAAGUAACAGAAUCCACUCAAUCCCGAGUCAAAUCAACAUCCAUAAUUCAUCCCUUAGAUGGAACACAAAUCCACAAUGAGGCCAUCAUGCCUUUAUCUUUCCAUAUGUCCAUAACAUAUCACAAAUUACAUUUAUCGAUCUUCAAUCGUCUAUAAGCUCGUUAGAGUUCUAAAUACCUUAAUGAUUCAUAAAUCAUAAUGUUAUAUCAUUUAAAUGGCCUCCUUAGCUUCACACACGUAAACAAUUCGCAUCAAAUAUCAUAAUACAUGGCCUCAUAUAUUCAAGCAGUUAGGCCUUAACAAUCAUAGCUCAUUGACCACAAAUGCAUCAACAAUCUCAUUUUAAAUUAGUCAUGGCCUAAUAAGCCUAUAUACAUAAGCAAUGUCUCAUCAAAUCAUGCAUCAAUAUUUCAUCGACAAUCGGGCAAUCUAUUCCCACAUCGUGGUAUAACCAUCACACGAAGUUAGUCAUAGCAUAUCCAAAAGCCAUUAAGAUCAUACAUCACCUAGAUGUCUAACAUCUCAUGCUUCCCAAUAGCAAUCACAAACAAACAUAUAUAUUAACAUAUAUUAAUAACAUACUAGCCUAGGCAUACUCAUCUAUGCAUGAACAUAACAAUUCAAUUUACCAUGGCCGUGCAUAUCAUCAUGCAUAAUGUAUUUUAUGCAUUUUCAAAGAUAAACCUCACUCACAACGACAAAUUGGAGUGUUCCACAACCAAGCUUUUAUCCUUAGCCUCCAACCAUAUUUUAGCUCAAAAUGUGCCCAAAUUGCUCAGUCUUUCGUUAAGUGCAUCAAAACAUCCCAAAACUAAUUAAAUCCUAGCUUUCCAAAAAUGCUAACUUUUCUAAACAUAACUAAAUCCUUAGCAAUUCAACAUAUAAGCUCAAAUCCUUUAACAAUGAGCUAAAACCAUACCUUAAAAGCUAGAUUGCACGAAUCUUAGCUCCAAAUUCCAACCAAAUCGAGGGAGAUCUAUCUACACAGGAGAAAUUAGAUUUCUUAAAAUUUAAUCGAUUAAAUUGAAAAAUAAUCAGUAAAAACAUUUAAUCUUACCUCGGAUUAGCUCUAAACCAUUCCAAAAAUCCAUUUGGGGCUUAGGGUUUUAAGAGGUUAGAGAGAGAAAACAAAAUCAUCAAAACUAAGUCUUUUUUCUUUCUUUCUUUUUCUUGGAAAUGAAAAUCCUUACCUUUGGCAUAUAGAAUCCAAGAUUUUUUGUUGGAGUUUGAAGGUUUUGAAGGGUGUGAAAUUUGAGAGAAAAUGGGUGGAAAAACAAGGAAUAAAGAGAAAAAUGAAGAAUUUUCGAUUUUGAGGCUUUUAAGCCUAUUUUAAGCUGAUUAGGCAGCUUAAGAUCGACUAUGGAGGAUCUGUAGUUGAUCUUGGACCAGAAAGCUUGUGUUUCACCCUUUUUCCCCUUCAUAGGAUCGACUAUGGAGGGUCUAUAGUCGAUCUUGGACUAGAAUGUUUGCAUUUCUUCCUUUUUUCCUUCCUAGUAUCGACUAUAAAUGGCCUACAGUCAAUCCUGGACUAGAAUGCAUGACUUCCCCUUCUUUUUACUUCACGAGAUUGACCCUCUAUGUACUAAAAUCGACUUCUUAUGUCUAAAUUGGUAAAAAUUAUCUUUUUUGAAGCAUAAACUCAUUCUAAAUGUCUUCCACAACCUCAAACCAUUCAUAUAUGACUCAAAUUUUUACCCAUAUACAUAAACAUAAGAUCAAAACUUCAAUCUAAGCAUCAAACCUUUGAAUUCCUCAAAUAUGUUCAUAAAAUUGUUGCCUAAGUAUCAUAAGGAAUAAUUUCCAAAUCUCUAACUCUUCACAUACAACAACCAAAAAGUACUUGAAAACAAAGAAAAAGAAAGUUUGAAUUAAGAUUAAGAUUUUUUGGUAUUAAUAUUAACAAAAAUUAUGAAAAUAAUUCCCUAGCAAUGGUGCCAAAAACUUAUUGUUGGAUUUACCAUGCAAGUGCAUGCAUCGUUAACAAGUAAUAUAAUAAAAAUUACAGUUCACUCCCAUAGAGAAUUGCCCAAAUCCAUUUGAUAAGUACUAAAAUUAAAAUAACUUAAUCUUAUUCAAACAACUGAAUUUUAACACUACUAAAAAUUAGAUAAACUAAAACUAGAACUGAAAGCAAAAAUAACAAUCUAACUAAUUAAUCAACCAACCAAAAGUCUAAAACCACAAUAUACCCUCAAUAUUUCAUCUGAGUCUCUUCUAUUCCUUCUUUACUUACUAGAUAAGCCUAAGCUAUUAACCUAGAGUUCUAAUUUAUUUAUAAGUCUCUUCCGAUGUUCUUAUAAAAAUAUCUUCCUUAAGCAAUUUACUGUAUUCCUAUGAAAAUUGAAAUCAAGGAAGACUCAUUAAACUCAGACUCUAAUUAUGGCUACAGAUGACAUGUAAGUGUAUUCCUACCCUACAUGCAAAUCAAAUUAAUCAUUUUAUGCAAUUGAUAUUGAACAUAUGCUAUUUCAUCUGUGACUUACUCUAAACUUUCUUUUCUAAUUCUGUUUAGGUUUCCAAAUCAAUCUAAUUGAUGGCCAAUCAAUCAGACACAUUAAGAACAAGAUUAAAAUAAACAACUCAAACACUAUCAAUCAUUAACAAGAAAGAAUAUUAAAAAUUCAAACUACACAUUGGGCUUAAUUACGAUUCUAGAUCAAAAAAUUAUUUCAACAUAAUUCCUAAAGACAUCAUCAAAAAAAGAAAUUUAACCAUCAAAACUAAACAAGAAAGUAUAGAGAUAACAAGAAAACAAAGAAUUCCAAUAUUUAUCAAGUCUUUGAUCUGUAAUUUUCCUUGCUUUCCUUGCUUUCUUGUUAACUUCAAUGCCUCUUUUUCUUCAAAAAAAACCUUGCUUAAUACUUACUUAAAUCUUGCUAUGGAAGGGUCGUUUACAUAGGCUUCAAAACUGAAUGAGAAUAGAAGUCAAAAUCAACUCAAAUUCUAGUCUCUAUGUUGGGGGCCCGACCAUGGAGCUAGGUGGCCUAGCCACGAAGCUUGACGUUUAUUUUUUAAAUUUCCUUGUUUAUGGCCAUGGCCAUGGGCAGUUGGGGGCCAUGUCCACAAACCUCCUGAAGGUUCAAAGCAUGAUGGUGUAGUCGAGGGGACGCAGCCACUAAGUGGUGAAGCUCGCAGCCACUAAAUGUGCACUUUGAAUUUUUAGGUUCCACUACAAUAAGUUUGAUGCAAUUUUAUCCUACUUGGAGGCUGAAUUAGGAGACAUAGUAAACAUAAAACUUUUAAAUUUGUCUCUUAUGUUUCCAAGGGUCUAAGAAUCACAUCAUUUGGACCUCUAUAGUGGAAGAUAUACUUGAAAUACCAGAACGUGUGCAAUGAAAGUCUGCACCUAGAAUGCACUCUCCUACUUCAAUUAAAAUCCUUUAUCAUAACACACCUACAAAAGCACAAUUUAAUUAAUAACGGCCAUACUUAGAAAAAUCAACAACUAACUUAGCCUAAAAUAAUCUAAAUUCAAUUGACCCAACAUAAUUUACUUAUUUUAAAAUAAAUAGCUAAAACAGCUAAAAAUUUAAAAUAAAACUCAAGAACAUGGCAAAUUGUUAACCAAAAUUAAAACCAAAAAACUCUAUAUCAUAGAGUUACCAAGUACUAGCCUUAAAGUCUAACUAAUAAUCAAGUGCAAAAUUCUAUCCAUCAUGGACAGCCUAGUAAUUGACUCAAGAGCACCAAUAUUGUUCACAUAAAGCUCUCUCUCUAAAUCUUGCACUACUAGAUUAUCACUAAUGUAAGUCAAUGCACCAAGUGCACUAUGAAGUCCAAACACAUCCUCAAUCAGCUUAGGAGUUAUGUUGAUUAAUCUACCCAUGAUGUAAGUGGUGAAAGCAUUAUUAUAAGUAUGAAGUGCAUCAUUCUCAUCCCUAUAAUUUACAUUUGCAUUGCUAUAGAAAACUCUAACCAACUUUUCAAACACAGGGAUGUUCAAACUCAAAUAUUCAUGCCAGCCUAAAUUUCUAAAGUUCUCAAUAUAAAGGACACCAAACUCUCUUAAGAUUUUAAGAUCAAUUACCCGGCCAUGGUAGACGGUUCUUGAGGUGAAAAGAUUCUUGUAACAAUCAUAAACAACAGCAUUAAAGAAGUUCAGAGAAUCUAAUCCAAGAUUGACACAAAAAUGGGUAUAAAUACCCAUCCAUCAACCAAGAGUCAACGGAGAGAAUGGAGAGGGAAAAAAAUAGAGAAAGAAAUGCUUUCGAUAGGCAAAAAACUUUACUUUUAGUGGUAAGGGAUUGGUUUUAGAAAAAUCUAAGGGUUUCCAAUCGAUGAAAGGGGAAAGAAGAGAGAAAAGGUGUUGCGCCACUAAAGAGAGAAAAGCUUUAGUAAAAAUGGAGCUAGGGUUUUAUUUUAGGUUUAUAUAGUGAGAGUACUAAACGACACCGUUCAAAUCAAAAUAAAAAAAUAAUAAUCAAUUUGCGCCAUAGCUUGGUUGCUUGGUUAGAUUGUAGUUUUAUGUUGAUGCCAUAGCUUGAUUGGUUGGUUGGACUGUAGUUUGCUUUGAUUGAGGUCAAUUUUAGUCCAAUCUUAGCCUAUGGUCUAUUCGAAAUAGCAAGCUCUAAAAGAGGGUAAACCUAGUUCACAUAAAGAAGGUAUGGGCUUAUUUUCUCUUUUCUUUAUCAUUAUAUUUUGGUUUUUAUUUUUAUUUUUAUUUUUAGUUUGUUUGUUUCUCUUUAUUUAUUAUUUCAUUUUUAUGGUAAUAAUAAAACCAACAAAAAUAUAAAAAUAAAAAAUAAUAAUAAAUAAAUAAACAUUGGAAAUAUUUAGUAAUUUGAAAACUAUAUCAUGAUAUUCACUUGUGAGCUUAACUUUAAAAAAAUUAAUAAAUAUAUAAAGGAUUUAUAUUUGAUACAUUAACAGUGUAUAGAAGCUAUAUAUUGUCAACUCACCAAAUGUUGCCACCUCAUUAACGAGAUAAAAUUAAAAAAUUUUUAGUUAAACGUAAAUAUUAAAAAGUUAUUAAUAAUUAAUUAAAUAAAAACAUAAAAAUCACUUUUUCUCUCUCUUCAACUCCCUCAUAACUUUUUUUAUUGUUUUCUUUUUUAUCUCUCUCUAGCUCAAUCUUCUGCUCUCUUCUUCUUCCAUUAAAAUUAAAAAUUAAAAUAUUUCACUUUUCCUCAAAACCUUUCACCUCAUUUUCUUAUUCUUCCAUAGGCAUUCGAACUUAAAUCUUAUUGAAUUCUUAAGAGAGUGUGUUGCUUAAACCCUAAGAGAGAGAAAAAGUGAAGAAUUUGGUAUGGAGAUUUUCUUUUUGUUGAGAGAAAGAGAGAGAAAAAGGAUUGUUGAACCAAAACGCCUUGUUGCUCAACAAGGAAGUAAUUCUUUUGUUAGUUAGCAUUGAAACCUAAUGGGGUGGGCAAUAUGUCAAUUUGACCACCAAUUGUGAUAAAAAAAUCUUUCCUUAAGUUGUGACUAUGGGGUAGUAUUAGUGUUGGAAAAACUUUGGAAAAAUUUUAAAAAAAUUUUGUCACAACUUGUGUUGGAAUUUUAAUUUGAUAUUAAGUUGAUGUUAGUUAAUUACUUUUACCAUUUUUUUCAUUUACCUUUAGUGGUUAUCACAUUAUAACCCUAAAUCAACUAAAAGUUAAACUCUAAUUUAUUUAUUUAAAAAAAUAAUUAAUUAACACAUUAUAACUCUAAAUCAAUUAUAAAAAUCAUUUAAAAAAAUCACUAAAUUCAACAAGUAAAAAUUAUCUUGAUAUCCCUUUAAGUUGAACAAUCACUACAAUAUUUUUCACCUUUGGUGCAAAAAAAUCCUGCAGCUAUUAGUGAAAAAUGUGCAGCCUUAGGUUAAGGUUGCACAUUUUCUAAGUGCAGCCUUAGCCAAUGUAUGGAAAAGUAUGGCUGCACUUAUUUAUGAGAUUCAACAGCAAAAUUAAAGUGCAGUUGUAUACUAUAUGACUGCAAUCUUAAAUCAUAUGGUAGCAUAUAAAAUGUGCAGCUAAAAGCUAUAAAUUAGAGACACAUAUAACCUUCUUAUAUGCAAUAAGUUUUAUGAUAGAAACAAAAUGCUCACAAACCAUAAAGUGCCUCUAAAAUCAAAUUGCAGCAACUAAUGCCUCAAAAGUCAAAUGUCUCAAAAACCAUUUCCAACUUGGAACAUGGACCCUCAAGGUCUUUACAACGUGUACAAUAUGGGGUAAUCUCUCUUUCUCUCUUUUUCUCUCCAAUUCCUCUUUGUAUAUAUUUGUUUGUCCCUUCUCCAACCUAAUAAAACCAUCUGACAUUGCAGUUCCCAGCCUUCCUUACCUGUAAAGAUUAAUUUGCAAGAUAAUAUUAAUUUGCAAGUAAUUCAUAAUGUAAUAUGAGACAAAGCAUACUCACUGACCAACUAACAAAAUUUAUUUGUGCUCUUUGAUUUGAUUUGAUUUGAUUUGAAAACAAAGUAAAAAAUGGAGAAAAAAAAGACCAUAGAAAACUGCUAAAAUUAUAAAAGAUUCAUUAUUUGUUCUCUUUCAUAUCUAACUCUCUUCUAGCAUGGUACUACACAAGUUUCAAAUGAUGCAUAGUUUAACAUUGGAGAUUGGAAAGCAAAAAAGGUGUCUUAUGUUUUAACAUCUACGAUAAGGCCUCCUAUGAAUCAAAUAUAGCUUGAAUGCAUGCUAUCUCAAUUAUUCUAGAGUAACUAUACUAGAUAUCCUAUAAAUUCAGCUUACACAUAAGAGACCCUAACUCCGAGUUUUAACAUCACAUUGCCAUUAGUUUUAAACUUCUAGAAUUAUUGCUUUUCUAAAAUAAAAAUUAAAAAAAAACCAAAACUCCAUACAUGUAUAAAUUAUGCAACACUUUAAGAAUUUUAAUUAAAUAAUAAUUCAAAAAGCAGCACAAAAUUCUUAAUAUGUCCAGCCAUGAACAAUCAAUUAAUUAACAUAAAAUGACUUAUAUGAUUCAUCAAGAGUAGCUAUAAAACUUGACCCUAUAAACACAUGUCAUGACAUACAUGCACUGAGUAGCAUGUUAUUACGCUAGAAAAGCACCUAAGAAUAGACGAAACCCGAUAUUGUACCUAACGGUACACUUAAAUUGAUUUAACCUCGAACUAGUUCAAAUAGGAAUUGUAGGAUGAAAUUUAAUAUUUUAUAGUCAAGGAAUGACUAAAAAUGAUUGCUCGGAGUUCGAGGGUUCAUUAGGGGUAAAAUUGAAAAUUUUAAUGUUCAGGGGUAAAAGUCGUCAUUUUGCCACCUAAGAUAAUAAUUUGAUCAAGGAGUAAAAUUUUUUACCAAGAUUAACUAUUUGGAGUAUAAUUUAAUGAUAGUGAGUGAAAAAGUUUAAUUCUGGUGAUUUCUGGAGUGUAAGGGCAAAAUCGUAAUUUUACCACCCGCGGACAAAUUUUGAGAUUUUGAGAGAAUUUAGAUCAAAUUUGACAAAUUGGAGAAUGGUAUGAGUAUAAGGGAUGAAAAAUAUGUCUAUGGGUAAUUUUUCAAUUUUUUGGACAAAAAUAUAAUUUUUCACUUUUACAGGGGCAAAAGUGUAAAUUUUAAAAAUUACUCCACCUACACUUUGGAUAAGUCUGAGAAUUUUAUCUAAGCUAUGGAUAUGUGGGAUAAAUGUAUGGUGAAAAUUUGAAAACAAAUGGAUGAAAUUUUAAAAAUGGACCAAUGGGAAAGUGACACAUGACAUUUUUUAAUGAAAUAAUAUUAUUUUAAUAAAAAAUCAGCCCAUUUAAACCUCAUUUUAAGUGCUGGCCGGCCAUAAGGAAGAACAAGAGAGGAAAUAGAGAGGAAAUGAAGGAAAAAAGAAAAACCAAAGAGAAACAAGAAAAUUCAAAGGGAAAUUCACGUUUUUCGCCUGUUUACGCGUUUAACGGUAAGAUUUUUCGAUUUUAACUUGAUUUCUACCUUUCCUAUGCCUUUAUUUCCAUUUAGCAUGCUUGAGGAGAGAGAUCAAAAAGUGAUAUCAAGGGCUGGAUGAAAUUCUAGGGGAGAGAAAUUGAAAUUUUUAGGUUUUGAUUUUUAGUUAAAUUGAUAGUUUUAAUUAGUUAAAUGUAUUUAGAAAUUAAAUUGCGUAAGGAAUCAUUAAAUUUUUACAAUACCCACCCUUGGCUGAAUCUGCAAUGAGGUACAAUGAUGAUGAUCUGAAAUUUAUUCUAAGAGAAAUGAAGAGAAAAUGAUGAAAAAUGAUUAAAUAUGAUGGAAAAAUAAAGUAAAAAAUUUACCGAGUUAAUGUCCCAUUUUUGGUCGAAUUUUCCAAGGAAGGGAGCGAGCUGAUUUUGUUGUUUUUAGAAGAUUAUUGACUGAUAUUUAAUGGUUAGAAAUGUUGAAGAGAGAAUGGGAUGAUUUAGAGCUAAAAUGGAGUGCGUUAGCAAUUUAUCGGGCAAAGUGCCAAAAAUAGAUUAAUACCUCAUUUAAGCUAUUUUAGGCUAUUGCAUUUCAUACCAUGCAUUAGUAUAGAAUUUAAGUUAAUUAUAUAGUGAUUUAGCAUCAAUGUGAUAAAUUGUGUAAAUUUUUGUAAUGUAUCUAGGAAGAGAGCCUUUCGAAAAAGGCAAAAAAAUCGUACCCAACGAGUAGUGAUCGGGACGCUUAAAAAGCUUUUAGUUUAUACAAACGGUGAGUAAACUUAUUAUUAUUGUAAAUUAUCUAGAAUUUAUUUUUAAAUACCCUUUAUAUAUUUUAUGAAAUGAGAACGAGAUUAAAACGAGAUUUUUGAUGUUUUAGGAAUAAAUGUGACAAAUAAAAAUAUAUUGUAUUGAUUAUGAAAUUGAGUAAUUGGAGGCUACAAAUUGACUUGAAAAAUAUAUAUUUUCCUAGGAAUGGCUUAUGAGAAAUGAGUAUAUGUGGCUAUAUUUUGUGAAUGCAUUGGGAAAUUUAUGUAAGUUGUUUUACUAUGCAGGCUGGAUAAAUAAAUAAAAGCCACGUUAUAUUGUCGAAAUUUUAUUAAAAUUGGUGGGUUAGUCACUGCAGUGACGGGUUUUCAUGGACUGCCUAUUAGAGGGGCACGAUAAACCCAGUUAUAUAAUUACUCCGGUUGUAGAGGCGAUGAGGGUAACUCCCGGGAUAGUAUUAGAGCUCACUUCACGUCGAACCCCCACGUGAAUGUGUAACUCGACCAACGCCAAUGAACGACUUGUUUUAAAAAUAAAAAUAUGUUUCACGUGUGAAUAUUUUGACACCCUUGGUGAACUCGGUUAGAUGCCUUGGUCAAGGUAUCCCCAAAGAUUAGUUUUGACUUGAGUCUUGUUUUAAUAAAAGACAUAAGCCUUAACAACUGUUUUGGUAAAUUACAAAUAUUUUAUGGUUUAAAAAAUAAAUUGAAAACAUUAUGAAAUAGGUUGAAAUUUAUUGUUUAAACUUACCUCUAUUUUACUCGCCUUUAGAUAUUUAUAAUAAUGUCUGUUUACUCAUUAAAAUUUUAUAAUCUCACCACCCUCCUUUCCACCCAUUUCAAGUUCAGUAUAGACUGUAGAUAGCUGAUUUCAUCGAGAACUACCAUUGGAUCUACAUUUUUCAAACCGUAGGUUCACAGUUCUCUUUACUUUUGUUUAUUCGGGAGCUCUCUUGUUAUUAUAAAUUAAAUUAAAUAUUUUGACUUACUGUAUUUCAAUAUGUAUAAAUUUAUUUAGCUUUUACGCUAUAAAAAUUAUUCACAUAUAACUCUAUAAAUAUUGUUUUAUAAAAAAAUAAAAUAUUUCCCUUAAUAUUUCUUUUAUUUUCUUAUUAUAUUCAAAUAACUGUAAUUUCGUUUUAAAUAAAGAUUUUAAACUUUUAAACUCAUUUUGAAUAUGAAUUAUGUGUUUUGUAUUUGCAUAUUACGUUUUAACCAGUUUCAAAAUUUUUGAAAAAAAAUAACCAAAAUACCCAUGUGUGGCAAAAAAUUUUUUUGAUUGUUUUUUAUCUAAAAUAGUGUAUAUUCUCUAAAAACUCGAUAUUUAACAACGAUUGCUUACAGAAAAGGAAAAAAACUGAUAUGUAAACCUUGCGGGGUUCCGAUUGACAUUUUGGAUAAUGAGUGUCAAUCGGGACGUCGCGACGAUUGUCAUGAGCCUGAAGAAGGUUCCGGGUCGUGACAGUAGCAUUUGGAAUCAAUUCUUCCAAGUAUCUUGUUAGGCUCAUUUGUUCAAAGUUGUGCUUUUAUUCUUCAAAGAGAAGUUGAGGAGCAUUGACUUCCACCAUUUAAAAAAAAAUAAAAAUGCAAUCAUAAAUCAUAAAUCAUAUGACAAAUUAGCACCUCAAAAUUGUAAAAACUCUUAAAGUGAUUGCAAGUAACUAACCUUACAAAUCUGAUUUACAGAUAUAUUAUCAAAUAUUUGGUGUUUGAUUAUUUGUUCCAUUUCUUGGCAACUAAUCAAUGAUGAUUGAUUAAGCUGUAAAUUGUUAUAAUUAAGUAACUAAACUUGAGAAUUGAAAGAAAAUAAAAAAUAGUUGCAAUAGAAAAUAAAAGCUUCCCUUUUGAUGUCCACUCUUCAAUGACUCCAAGGCCUUGUGAAUGUCCUCCUAAAAUCACAAUCUUUUAUCACAUGGUGAAAAGGCAUCCAUUUGAAUUGUCCCUUUUGACUGCAAAAUCAAUCAAUUUCAAGAUCUUUGAUAAGUAUUUAGAUAUUCCACCACAGUAAUCUUAAUUGUCCACAACAAACAAUCAUGGGAUCAGGACGUUCAAGAUAGUGGAACUUUUUCCAUAAAGUGGUAAAUGAAUUGGCACUAUUUAUAUCAUUCGACAUCAAUAUCCCAGCAUUCAGUAAAUCACCAUAUUUUCAAAUUCAAGUCAUAUGUAUCAAAUAAUUCAACAAGAAAACUUCUACGACUCCUCAAGAAUAGCAUAUUUAGUGUUUGUGCCUUAAAAAUUACAGAGAGAAGACCAGAUGAAAUAAGAAAAAUUUGAGUGUAAUACUCUAAUACUGACUAGAGAAGAAGACAUAUCAUGCUAUUACAUAGUUGCAACAAUGCCUACUUAUAUUCAGCAAGCAUAUAAAAAAGGUUGCAGUCACAACAAUACUCAAAAUGAAGACAAAUUGACAAAUUAACCUAUGGCCACUAAUGUAAGUUCUCCUAAAUAGAUAAAAACAAGUUCUUUUGCGAUGAAGUACAAAGAGGAACUGUAACUGCCGUCUCCAAAGCAAGAAAGCAAAAACAAAACCAAAAAAAAACCCUCUAAUUAUCUCUCUAAAAUAUAAAUUAAUAGCAAUAAGGCAUAUCUUUUUUUGUUUGAAAGAUGAGUUUUUAUUAUAGAUAAGCUGUAAUGCCAUGGGGAGUCUCAAACGUGGAGACUCCUGUUAGCAUAAAGCUAUCUUGAGAAGAGCUUGUUCUGUACAAUUACAAAAGUAGCAGCUACUCAAGGAGCACUUGGCGGCAUCUCAACAUGUAUAAUCUCAAAAAACAAGCAGAGUUCUAAAAAAAACCCCUAAACAAAAGUCUAAUACAAGUAAAACUCAACCAGAGUGAAAAAAGGUGAGUAGCCUGUGUGGCCCAGAUUGACAAACUCCCUAAUCGAACAAAUGAAUCAUUCCAGUCAAAACCCCCGCGAGUCUUCAAAGGUAGGCAAACAGGGUUAAUGCCAAGAAGCCUCCAAGAGCAAUCAUCCCUUCAUUGUUAUAAGGCAUAUCUAUUGUUAUAAGUUGGACAAAACUCAUUCACGAACCAAUCUGGGUUUCAACAGAAAAAGAAAUAAUCCAUCGUAACUCAUGGACUGAAAACACAUACUUAUUCCUUAAGGCAAGGUUUUACAUGACAAAUUCAUGCCUUUGAAAGACAGUUAUCGUAACACUUGAUUGACACAUGACUCAGUAAACAUGCAAUAUAACAGACAAUACAUGGCACUUAUAUCUACAAUAUAACAUACUAGAAAAAGGCAGAGGAAGAGAGAGAGAGAGAGUAAUACACGAGGGCAAUCAUAUCUGCAAGGCCAUCAAUAAAAUUGUAAAGAACACCAACGUCAUACGUUAUGCUUUGAGUUGCUGGGUUGAGCUUUUUAAGUUUCCUUUCAUAUAGUUCACGUAUAACUGCACACGGCAAAUAAUAUAUACUGUUAAAAUUGUCAAAUCUUUUAAAUGAUGGAAGGGAAGAAGAGAAGGGAUUCCAUCUAGUGCAUCAUAUUAAAACCACACUAAUUCAUUUCCUCUUAAUGCAACUCAGAAAUAUAAACAAUUUUGGACAUACAUUCUUGAGAAAAAAAGACAUAUGCACAAUCAAAUCUAAAGAUCAUUCUCAACUCCACAAGCCAACUUCCAAAAGGUAUAGACCAUUGCCUGCAAUAGAAACUAUUUUCAAGAAAACUAAUGCAAUAGGAACUCUAUAAAAUGUAUGAAAUGUAUAUGUAUCCUAUCAUAAAGCUCAAUUUUAAUUGCUUUGUUUUCCACCUCCAAACCCCUAUUCAUAGCUUGACUGAUAAAAUCAUAAUAUGAGCAACAACAAAAACAAAGAUAAUAUAAGCAACAAUAAACAAAAAGCAUACUGUCCAUAGCUUUGACUGAUAGAAUCAUAAUCCACAAACGUUCUAGGUGCUCUAUUUUGCGAAGUUUGAAUCAAAACAAUGGUGUGCCUGUUUGCCUAAAUCAUCACACAAAAUAAAAAAUGAGAUUAAAAAACACACAACUAACCAUAUCAAUCCAAUAAAAAAAAUAUUAUGAUUGAAAUAGGUUCAGUGUCAUUAACAUGCCAGCAAGAAUCAAAUCAAUGAACAAUCAAGUCCUACAAAAGAAAUCUUAAAUCGUGUAAUAAUAAUUAAAAAAAACAGAGAUUUGAGAAUCGAGUGCCCUGUUUUUGUACCAAAAGGGGUAACAUUUGACGAAACCCUAGUUUCUUGGGGGAAAGAAGAUGAGAUUAAAAAGGUGAGAUUUUUACGAGCAAAAUUAGCUUAAUUGGGAAAAGCAAUGAAUGAAGGAAGUAGAAAAGAAAAGAAAGAGGUUUUAGAGAGGAGAAGUGCGGCGAAGGAAAGGGAAAGACUUUGGAAGAAAAGAAAGAGGUGCAGAGAGAUAGAGGGGAGACAGAUGAAAAGAAAAAAAUGUUUUAUUCAUUAAUUUUCAAAAAUUUUAUUGUUAAUGACAAGGAAGAAAAAUUCGAAAACUAAAAAAAAAAAAAAAGGGGUGAGUAAAGGAAAAGAGAAAGAAAGAAAGAUAUAUUUUUCAUUCUUUGUGUUUAGUAUGAAAAGUGAAAAAUAGAAAGAACCAAAUAAUUGAUAUUUUUUUUAAUUUAGAGAGAAAGAGAGAUUAUAAGAUGUAAGAGUUAAUUUUUAUCUUUUCUCAGUCAAGACCGUAAAUUUUAUUGAAAAAAAUGGAAGAAUUUACCAUGAUAAAAAGUUCCCUAAAAAAAAGAGGCAAAAGGAGCGAAAGAUCUUUGUUUAUUGUCGUCUCAAAAGUCCAGAAAGCCAUACUCCAAUUGAACAAAAUCAUGACAUAACAAGGUCAAACUAAGAAGAAUUCAAACAUGUAUUCUUAUUCUUUCUUCAAAGGAUUACAUAAAUGGCAUAUGAACUACAAGGUUACAUUUCCAAGAAACAAUCUUAUUGAAAGUAUUUCAAAUAAUUUUUUUCCAUUCACUUGUUAAAAAUAUAGAGCACAACACGACAUAGGUUAUCCUACUUCUAGGUUCCGGAACAACGAGGCAUGCCAGAGGCAGGCGGCGGAAGGAUGCUUGUGUCAACGGUGGUUCCAUUCUUCACAAUGAAAACAGUGUCCAUACCC
rnacentral:lncRNA from 1 species